rnacentral:lncRNA from 1 species
AGAAACUGUUAAUUCCUUACUUGCUUGGAUAGUCUUGCUUUUAGCAACUCACGGAGAUUGGCAGGAUAAAGCUAGAAGAGAGGUGAUUGACAUAUUCGGUAACCGAAAUCCAGAUUCCAAAGGCAUUUCUAAACUCAAAACUGUAAGUAAAUUGUCAAAUAUUCCUAUAUAUUUUUUAUCUCAAUCUCAAAGCUGGUGUUUCAAUCACGUCUUGUUUAUCGCAAUCACAAAUGUAACAAAUAUUAUGUGUUUAGUACAUAUUCUUUAAUUUAAUCUGACCUAUUCUUGUUUUGCAAACAGAUUACUAUGAUUAUUUAUGAAACACUAAGAUUGUAUGGUCCAUCAAAUGGCUUGCAAAGAAGAGUUACAAGAAAAGUUCAGUUGGGAAAGCUAGUCUUGCCUGCUAAUAUAGAUAUUCUGGUUCAAAAUAUUGCACUUCACCAUGAGCCUCACCAGUGGGGAGACGAUGUACAUCUUUUUAAACCAGAGAGAUUUGAAGAAGGGAUUGCCAAAGCUACCAACUACAAUGCAGCUGCAUUUUUUACCUUCGGAUUGGGACCUCGAUCUUGUAUUGGUAUGUCCUUUGCAAUCACGGAAACUAAGGUUGCAAUCUCCAUGAUUCUACAACGCUACACCAUUACCCUCUCCCCUACCUAUGUCCACUCACCAAUGCCUAUUCUCGCCAUUCGACCACAACAUGGAAUUCAAGUAAUACUUGAGUCACUGCAUAACAAUGCUUAAAGUACACAAUAGCUAAGGGACUUGAGGUUUAACUCAAUUUGUUUAUGUAUUCACCUUUAGGUGUUAAAAUUUAAUAUAUGUGGCACUUUUAACAUUAGUAACCCCUUCCUAUUCCUAUGCUAUACCCUACUCAACGCAAAAACAUGGUAAAACAUGCAAUCCAUAAAUAUAUAUAUAUAUGUGUGUGUGUGUGUAUGUGUGUUUCAGUAUUGUUGAUCAAUAUAUAAUUUUUACUAGCUAUGCCUUAUUUCAUUUGAAUUGCAGUAUUACAUCCUAAAGCCUUUCCACCAAGCAAUAGCAGCAAGAAUUAAACUAAGUUGUGAACAUCGAUACAUUGUACGAUAGGCUUGAUCAAGAGCAUUAGCCAAACAACAGCAGCAAACAUAUCCCAUAGAUGCCACUUGAUAUCAAACACCAUAGAUACCACUCGAUAUCAAGCACCACCAUGAAUUAAACAUGGGUCUCCUCUUGAUUCUAGGUUUAACGAACGACUCUGCCAUGCCAUUCCUCUCACAAUUUACAUGAUGAAAAAGCACCGAACCAAUCUCAAUCACAAUUCAAUGAAUGUCAGAAAAAUACCCCGAAGCUUCCUGUUGGGGUUAUCAGGACAUAGAACAAGGAAGCAAGAUGCAUGAAAUAUUUUUACUUGCUCACAAUCUUGCAGCAAGGGAGAUUAUGGCUGAUAGCUCAUUUUGCUCAUUCAUUCAACUAGAAAACAAUACAUUUAUAACCAAAUACAUCACUAAAUACUGCCUACUACCACUAAGUAGCCUAGUAACUUGUUAACAUUGCUUGUGCACAUAAACAAGCCACCUAAACUAGUCAUUCAACUACCUAAACACUUCAAGCUUUUAUCAGCUUGUUCAUUUUCAACUAAUUUAAUUACAAUGUAACUAAACAAAAAACUUGUUAAUGCAGCAUGCACAAGAGCUGCAACAUGCAAAUAGCUUGCAUGCACUUUAAAAAAAAUAUAACAACAGCAUGGUUGGCCACUUUUCAACACUUCCAUGGUCUUUCAGAUUUGUUUUUUAUACCAACAAUCAGACCAUUAGCGUAGCAUCUUUUCGAUUGGAUAAAAAGAGCAAGAGUAUGCUUAAUUGCUGCAAUUUCCGCAAGUCCAUUAUCUUACCUAAAUUCUCCACGAUCAAUUAUCUCGUUAAAUUCUUUACUGCCUUCAAUAUUACCACUACAGUCUAUUCUUUCGCUUCUAUCUUGAACUACGUUAAAAUCGCCCAGCACACCCAAUUACCAUUGUGAGAGCUUCUCAGGUCCAAGACCUUCUACCAUAGCACUUUUUGAUCAAUUACAGAACACGAAGCAUAUAAAUUUUGGAUCCAACACUCAAAGAAUCAAUAUCCCAGACGACCAAGAGACCUCUUGAGCGUCCAAUUGAAGGGGAGAAAGAGAAUCCAAAAACAUCAUAAGGCCACAAAGAUCUAAUCUUCUGAUCCUUCACACUCACCAUUUUACUUCCAUGAAGACAGUUCGUGUCCAAUUUAUUAAGAACUACUGCUAGUCUCACCACUUUGUACUUAAUUUUAUUACCAAUACCCCUGAUAUUCCAAGAUAGGAUCCACAUUUGGAUCAAAGGCAAUAAAGCCACAAAAAACACUAGCAAGUAUAAACACAACCAAAAUUUAAAGAAAACAGAAACCGAUGAAAAGACCAACCAAAAACCUGCAACACACCAGACCUGCAGCAUAUUGAAUCGACAUUCUUAACCAAGUUUCUAUCGUUGCAUUCUAAAGUAAUCAACUUUACCGAGUCUUCACAAUUCGCAGACAACCCCAAAAGCUUUCCCACAUUCCAAGUUCCUUCGCCACUUGACUCAAGGUUCUUCGCCUAUUCUGCAGAUCUGAGUCAGUGAGAGUCUGACUAGCAAAUCUAUCACUCUAGUUUGAGUUUCCCGACCCCUUCUUUUACUAGUUCUUAUCCUUCAAUGUCGUCGGAGGAUUUCACCCUUCUCUCCUUAGUAGCAACAACGACAAUUUCCCCAUCUAAAAGUUACCACAUGUCUUCACCUGGACUAGAAGAAGAGAACACCUUCUCCAUAGCCCUCCCUGCAUUACAGUCCACCAGGCAAGAUUGGCCCACAUCAGUAUUCAUCUCAUUAUUUGAUCCAUUCAACUUUGGGUCAGAAGGGAACCCAUCUUGAAUGUUCUCCCCAUUUAAGUCAAAACGUUGUGUCUCUUAAAUAGUAAUUCAAAACUUGUAAAAUUAACUGUAUCGAGGAGUGUUUAUCACAAUUUAUUAACAUGAUAGGUACAAAUUUUAAAUAUGUAAAAUAUCGUACUUAUACAUAAAUACAACAAUUUUUAUUCUAAAAUAAAUAAAGUUUAACUACUAACUAGAGUCAUUUAAUUAUUAAUUAUGCUGAACCAUUUUAUAUACAUAAACAUCAGAUUUUGUGAUACUUACUCGUGUGGACAAUUUAAUAUGUAAUGAUUAUUAAAAGCCUAAGAAAUGAACUCACAAACAUUAACAAUAAUUGUCUCAAUUACACAAUCUGGAAGUUUUGUUCUUAAACUAAUCAUUAAACAAAUAAUCUCUCAAAUGAUAGAUUGCGAUUUGAUAACUCAUAUGUAAUUAUAUUGUAGAUGCAUCUACUAAAAUAAUAUUUAAACAUUCUACUUUUCAGAUAAAUGAGCUCAUAUUUCUUUCAUAAAAAUGUAAGAGAUUCAAUCUCAAUUUUUGUUAGUAAUGUUCUAAUAAAUCACCUUCAUUGAGAACAUUCGACUCAUGAUAAUUACUUAAAAUGAAGAAUCUUUAUGCUCUUUAAUAAAUAUCCAUGUAAAUUCUUAUUUAUCGUAUCAUUAUUGAUUGAGAUGGUCUAACCAAUCAUGCCAAUUAAUUAGUAUAUUUAGACCAGUAAACUUCUGGUUACUAUUCACAUGAUUCAAUGAUACUAAUGUGAACUUUUGGUUUACCAUCUCAUAUUAUUUAACCAUACUAAUAUAUACAUUGUAACAAUUAGAGGAAAAGACCAUAGUUUUUCAAUGCAAAAUUCUUACUCAAUAUAAUAGAUUUAAUUAUUUGUCUCCUCAUCCACAAUUUCAAUAUAAUAUUUGUUACAACGUAUAUCCUUUUAAAACCUGAUAAUUUAUUUGAGACUAACUAGAUUAUAUAUAGUGCAUUAAUUAUCACUUUGUUCUUUGAAUAACAAUGUAUUAACUCUUCUGGAGCCUUGAAUUAAUUUUGUUUUAUAAAAGAUUAACGUGUUCCAUUAUCACAUUAAAUACAGGGUAACAAUAUAUUAAUUUUUCUAGAGCUUUAAAUUAAUUUUGUGCCACCAAAGAUGGGUUUGUUCAUUACCAAACAAAAGAUAUGCUUCAUACCUCAGGAUAGUAUGUACUGUUGUACUGUCUAUGAGACAUAUGUUUCCUUUCCUUUAAGAAAUAUUAAUUAAAUAAUAAAUUUAUCAAGUGUACGACAGGUAAAUAACUAACUACUUUUCAUAAAUUCUCUUUUCUUUCAAGGGUGGUAUUGAGAACUCUAAUUGUUCUCUUAUUUGUCUAUUUCUUUCCACUUCUAGUGGCCAAAAGUAAUUAUUACUAAUAAGAUAUCCAAGAAUCAAGUAAUGAGUACUGUCACAAUUCACAAUGCCUAGAACUACUUAUAGUCUCUUCCCAAUCCAUAAAUAGGAGGAUAAUGCACUUCAGCACACUCAAACCAACAUACUCCUGCAUUGACAACAAUACCCAUACUAAUCGAGUUAAGACUUAAUCGGUAAAACUUAAGUAUCAUUGGGUGACUGACGAUGUUGCUUGUUCUUCCAUAACACAAUGAUUUGGUGCAUUAAUAUUAGUAUCAUCUCACCCUCAAAAACGUAUAAAUAAUGACUAAAUUAUUUCAAGCCUCCUCAUUAAUGGUAAGACAUUACAGCACAGAUAUGAUAUUUUACCUUAUCUACGAAGGAACAAAAGGAAAGAUGACAACCAUAUCCCACUCAAUUACCAUUUAAAUGCUUUGUUAAAUAUGGAAAUCACAAUAGAAUAACUAAAGGAGCAACUGGAUUCAGUGUUGAGAGAAGGAAAAAUGAGUGGCUUGAUGGAGCUUGUGAUUCUUGUCGCGUGUUGUUUCUUCCUCGUAACUUUAAUCAAGUUCCUUUACGAUUAUCUGUGGAUACCUCUGCGUAUACAGNNNNNNNNNNNNNNNNNNNNNNNNNNNNNNNNNNNNNNNNNNNNNNNNNNNNNNNNNNNNNNNNNNNNNNNNNNNNNNNNNNNNNNNNNNNNNNNNNNNNAACCUGUGGCCUGGACAGAUGAUUUAUUUCCCAGACUACAGCCACAUAUUUACAGCUGGAUCAACAGAUAUGGUAAGAUCCAUGCUGUUUUUUUUCACUAAGAUUUAUAACUCGUAGUUCUAUGAAAGAUUGAUCCUUUUUCUUUUUAUGUGAUUAGGGAAGAAUUUUGUUUAUUGGGACGGUGCUCGAGCUGAAUUGGUGAUUUCUGAGCCUGAACUAGUUAAAGAGGUUUUGAAAAAUAGUGAAAAUAUUUUUCAAAAAGUGAAGCUUCCAGAAAUUAGUAGGAAGCUCAUGGGGAAUGGGCUUGCGUUCACUGAGGGGGAAAAAUGGGCAAAGUAUCGAAAGCUAGCCAAUCACACUUUCCAUGGGGAAAGCCUAAAGGUAAAUCCUCCAAAUAUAUAAACUUGGUGUAAUUAAUUUACGAGAAUUAUACAUACACUACAAUAUUUUAGUAAAAUUUUGUAUUGUUUGCUAGGGAUGAGUUUCUCAUCGAAGUUGAUAAGUAUCGUGAAAAAAUAUUUUUCAAAAGUUUGAUUAUGUUUACCACAUAAAAUGUUAGAUAUAAAUUAAAAAAAGUAAUUUCAUUGAAAGCAUUAUUCCAAAAAAAAAAAAAACAAAAUAAUUAUUUUUUGGCUUUCUAGCUUAGAAUAAAAUCUAAUUUGAAUUCAUGCAUGGUUUUGUGUUGAAAAGUGUUUUCCAUCGCUACUACUUACAUAUUGGAGGAUUCUUUGGACAGAACAUGACUCCAGCAAUGAUUGCUAGUGUUGAAACAAUGCUAGAAAAGUGGAAUGGCCAAGAAGGCCAGGAGAUUGAAGUGUUUCAAGAAUUUAGAUUAUUGACUUCAGAAGUGAUUUCCAAAACAGCAUUUGGUAGCAGUUACUUGGAGGGGGAGAAGAUUUUUGCCCUACUGUACAAGUUGAAAAUACUUGUUAAUCUAAAUAUGUCCAAGACUACAAUUCCUUUCAUCAAGUAUGUUCCCUAUAACCUUAGUUAAUCCCAAGUUUUUCCUUUAUUUCAAUUAGCUUUUGAAUGCAAAUUUUGGACUUUUAUUCCCCAUAGCUUUUGGUUUUCUCCUUAUAUAUAGCUUACCAUAGUUUGCUUUUCCAGCAAGCUAUGGAAAUCUACUGAUUUGCUAGAGUCUGAAAAACUUGCAAAAGGAAUACAAGAUUGUGUAAUAAAGAUUGUUAAGAAGAGAGAAGACCAAGUUGUGAAUGGGGAAGCCGAUAGCUUCGGCAAUGAUUUUUUUGGAUUACUUGUAGAUGCCUAUAAUGAUUUGGAUGAGAAAAAUAAGCUUUCAUUGCAAGACCUGGUAGAUGAAUGUAAAACUUUCUACAUUGCCGGACAAGAAACAGUUAAUUCCCUACUGGGAUGGAUAGUCUUGCAUUUGGCAAUCUAUGGAGAUUGGCAAGAAAAAGCAAGAAGGGAGGUGAUUGACAUAUUUGGUAACCAAAAUCCUCAUCUCGAAGGCAUCACCAAACUUAAAACAGUAAGCAAACAAUCAAACCAAGAUUUUAAAUAGCCUUCACAACAUGAUGUAAUCUAACAUAUUUUCUAUUUUGCAAACAGAUGACCAUGAUCAUCAAUGAAACUCUAAGAUUGUAUGGUCCGUCAAAUGGCUUGGCAAGAACAGUUGCAAGAGAAGUACAGUUGGGAAAGUUAGUCUUGCCUGCUAAAUUAGAUAUUCUGCCUCUAAAUAUUGGACUUCACCGUGACCCUCACUUGUGGGGGGAUAAUGUGCAUCUUUUUAAACCAGAGAGAUUUGCCGACGGGAUUGCCAAAGCUACCAAUUACACCGCGGCUGCAUUUUUGCCCUUCGGAUUGGGUCCUCGAUCUUGUGUUGGUAUGACAUUUGCAACAAUAGAAACCAAGAUUGCUCUCUCCAUGAUUCUACAACGUUACACCAUUACUCUUUCCCCUGCCUAUGUCCACUCUCCAAUACUUAUUCUCACCGUUCGACCACAACAUGGAAUUCAAGUAAUAAUUGAACCGCUACAUAAUAAUUUUUGAAUUACAUAGCUAUUAAGAGAUGACAAUUAAUAUAUCUAAGGUUCUAGCUUUUACUACCCCUUCUCUAUUCCUAAGCUAUUCCCACCUUUAUAUAUAAUGAUAUGCAAGUAGCUACCGGUUUNNNNNNNNNNNNNNNNNNNNNNNNNNNNNNNNNNNNNNNNNNNNNNNNNNNNNNNNNNNNNNNNNNNNNNNNNNNNNNNNNNNNNNNNNNNNNNNNNNNNGCAAUCAAUAAAAAAGAAUGUGUUAAGGCAAGUUUUAGGAGUAGUGACUCAAGAUGUGACUGUUACACUUGGCACUACGCAAGCCACAAAAUUUUCCUUAUUGUUGGUAAUUUUGACCCAAAUAUUUUGAUUAUUUUGCUUGCAUCUUUUUUAGAAUUUGAUGCGGUCGUUGAAAGCACAAAAAAUAUCUUAUCCCUAAUAAAUAAUGAAAAAGAAUAGUAAAAAGGAAGUUGGGUCAAAUCCUUAGGGACUGGACUUGCAAAAUAUCUUGCUCCGUAAAAUCCUAGGCAAAAUCUUGCCCAAGAAAACUUAGGUGCCUGAAAAAAAUAAAAUAAAAAAAUAACAUAAUAAAAUGUUUGGAUUUGAAAACGAAAAAUAAAAUAAAAACAAAUUUAAGAAUAUUGAAUCUAAAAUUAGAGAAAUUAAAAAUAGAAUUGAGAGAAAAGAAAUUCUUAUGGGAGAUUCCAGCCUCCAGUUGUCUCGUUCCGCCUUGGGUUCAAUCCUCGGCUUUUAGAUGAUCCUUCCCAAACCCAAUAAGCCAGUUAUAGUGGAAGAGGACGCCUACGACCACCAGCUCCAAGGAUUUAGACUUACGAUUUAGUGGAAUUUGACUCUAGCCAACAAUCACUUCUGUGGGAUCGUCUUAUGCUAGAUCAACGCUUCUCAAUGGCAAAUCCCACGCCAUUUUGUCUCUUGGGCUCGCCAACCUCUGACGCAGUAAGCUAACGAACCGACUGUGCAACCUUCCCAAAACANNNNNNNNNNNNNNNNNNNNNNNNNNNNNNNNNNNNNNNNNNNNNNNNNNNNNNNNNNNNNNNNNNNNNNNNNNNNNNNNNNNNNNNNNNNNNNNNNNNNACAUGGACGGAAGCGUCAGCCCCGUAGUGCGGAGAAACGAAGAAUACUCAGCGAGGAGGCUAAGUACGAAUUCUAAGCCUCAUGAACUCUUUUGGGGAUUUUUGACAACCUUCGGCUAGAUGGGUUUAGUGGCUCAUGGUUGUGGUAGAAAAGAAAAUAAAUAAAUAAAAAUAAAGAUUUUAUUAAAAAGAAAUAUGAGAAGAACAAAAGCCUAAACUUUUGGGGAGAAAGUGUUUUUAGAAAAAUAUCUGGAUCCCCUUUUGAGUCACUUCACCCCCUAUUUAUAGUGCUAGGGGAGAUAGUCUAAUCCUACUUAAAUUCCUAAAAGAUAAAUACAUUUAAUUGAAGAUAAAUAAAGAUAAAAUAAAAUCCUAAAAAUAAUCCUUAAUAAUUAUCUCAAUAUUAAUUAUCCUAAUAUAAUUAAAAUAAAGUUUAAUAGAAUAAAAUCUCUUCUUUUUGCAUUUCAACCCUUGUGUCCUCCAUGCUUGCACUUUUGGCACCAACUUUUCCUCUUGUGUCGCACAUUGGCCCAUUUUAUCUCUAAAUUCACGCUUUUGGCCCUAAAUUUUGCUUUUGCCUCAAAUUUAGUCCCUAUGAGAUAAAAGAUCAUAAAUAGCUCAAAUUAGCAAGAUCAUACUCAGAAUAAAUACAUAAUUAAUACAUAAAAAUACAUUAUUCUAGAGUGUUAUCAGAAUAUUGUUUAGAUAAUCUCGUGUUUAUUAUUAAAGAAGAGAUUGAAUCAAAUAAAAUUACUUUUCAAGGAUUCUUAUGUGGCCUACUUACCUUAUAUACUAAGAUAUGCAAUCCAAGAAGAUGUAGACUAACUUUAUGAUAUUUUAUAUCCUUAUAUUAAUGAUAAUUGAUUUGAUGAGAUUUUGAUAAAUCAAGAUGAAUUAAAAGUUACUUUGUGAAGGUGGGUUUGUGCUCUAAAUAUGGAAGGUGUAAGGCCCAAUAUUUGCCCGGCUCAUAAACCAAAAAAUAAGCCAGUUAAAAGCCCAUGAAUCAAAAAAUAAUAAUACAAAAACAAAAUUAAUAAUAGUCUAAAUGUCCAUUUACAGACAUCAAACCCAAUCAACCCAAUUGGCCUAGAUCCUAGCCCAAACCUAAACCCGAUUCUAAUGCCCAUCAGCCAACCCCAGCCCAAUGGCCCAAAUCCACCGAAACCCUAGCCUUCUUUAGCAGCAUUCACCCCCCAACCGCCGCAACAGUGGCCUCCUCUCCCUAGCCACGCGCACCUCACGCACGUAGCGCCAUCACGAGCCUCCAGUUGGCCUCGUACGGCCUCGCACCUGCAACAACCUGCAGCGAACGCAACAAACAAAGCAGGGGCAGAGCAAAACAACAGAAAAUGAUAGCAAAAAGGGCAGAAAUAGUAGGAUAUUCUUGGGGAACUUUUUUCAUUUUUUCGGCAAUAAAAAUGCCAUUUUCCAGCAUUUGUAAGGGAGGGGGGAACGCAUAUUGUAGAACAUACGCAGAAAAUCAAUACAAAAGAAAGAAAAAAAAAAGGUUUUCUUUUCCUUCCACUUUCUUUUCUUCUCCGAUGGUUUUUUUCUUAUCGUUUGUUAUUAGCCUCAUAUAAGUCUAUAUAUAUAGAGCAAAUAACAGAAAGAGGGAGAAGUUAGAACUCUUACCUGGCCGCCGGAUCUCUGACCAUCUCCGUCGCCAUCGGAGUCUCGGCAGGGGUCGAGAGCGCAAGAGAGGCGCAGAGAGGAGAGCGUUUAAGUUCUCUAUUUUUUUGUUUUUUUAUUUAUUUUAUUUUUCUUUUAUUUUUUCUCUUUCUUUUCGUUUUGAAAGAAUGAAAGGAUGCCUAUCAGAUUAGGGUUUUAACUUUGGCCCUUAUGAGAUGUGAAACGACGCCGUUUGGAGUCUGAUCAGUGGCUCCAAAACGGUGCCAUAUUGGAGCCAUGACCCGAUAACCCGAUCCGAUCGUGGCUUGACCCGCAUGUUUUGAAAAGGGAGGGUUAUUUGCGCUCCAAGUCCUCCUUGUUUGUGUUUGGUUUCAAGUUGGUUUAUGCUGCUUCUUUUAAAUUUGGCCUAUCAUUUCAUUUCUGUUUCAUUUUAGUCCGUGUUGAAACGCUGGGUGUUAGGGUGGGGAUUAUUUCCUGAUUGGUCAUUCGCCCUUUUAGCGCAUUUUAUUUUGGUCCCUGGACCAUUCUUUUAGUUAUUUACAGCUUUAAUCUCGAAAUUCAUCUUAAUUUUUAAUUUAGUCUUUUUAUUAUUCUGUUUAUUUUUUAUUUAUUUUUAUUUAAAAUUAAUAAGUUUAAUAUUAUCACCAUUGGUAUUACCUAUUAUUGCCAUAUUUCUAUUUAUUUGUUUAGCUAAAUGUAAAUAUCUUUAAAUAUCUUUAUUAUUAUUAUUUUUUACCCACUUAUACUGUUUUUAAACUUUGUUUUAUAUAUAUAUAUAUAUAUAUAUAUAUAUAUAUAUAUAUACUUAUAUAUAUUUUUAUAUUCUAUAAUCUAUAUGCAUUUUUAUUUAUAUAUAUGUAUAUACAUGCGACUUCUAUACUUUAUAAUUUUUUUAAAUAUAUAUAUAUAUGCACGUAUACAUUUUUAUAACCUAUACAUAUAUUUAACAAUUCCUAAAUAUAUAUUUUUAUGUUCUAUUGUUUUAAAUAUGUACAUACUUAUAUUUUCAUAUAUAUUUCUAUAAUUUAUAUAUAUUAAUAUAUCAAUACACAUUUUAAUUUCACGAAUAUAUAUAUACUUACAUGCUUUUUUAUCUUACAAAUUUUUUAUACCUAUAUAUACAUAUAUAUAUAUUACUCUUGUAAUUUUAUUCAUUUCUUUAUUUAUCUUUUAUUUAUAUUUUCAUCAUCAUUUAGAAUGAAUGUUAUAAUUUUAUUGCUUAUAUGUUUGCAAUUGUGUAUUUUAUUAGUUUGUCUUUGUAUUUAUUUUACUUCGUAGCCCUCGUUUGUAUUAUUUUGCUUACAUCAUCAUCAUUCCAUUACGCCCAUUUUAUUUAGAUUUUCAAAAAAAAGAAAUUUAAAAAAAUAUAAGUAAUAAUCAGUAUUUGGGAUCUUCGAAAGAAUCAAGCCCUAACGUAUUGGGUUCCGAUUUUCUUCGUUGAAUCUAAAUAAUCGAGAUUUUCUUUACAUACAAAUUUCAAAUAACCCAUUCUCGGGAAUUCGACACGUUGUGUCCUAACGCAUUGGAUAUGACAUGUUAUUUUCUCGAGACGAGGAUUUUUCUAACAAAGGCAAUAUUCGAUAUUUAGGGAUAUUGUGAAAUCAAGCCCUAACUUACUGGGUCUUGAUUUUCUCAUUUAAUUCAAAUAAUCGGAUAACCUUCUCAAAACGCAUGGGUUUUAAAAGUCAAGAGAUAAAUUUAAUUUUGAAGAUUUAAAAUGUUGCACUCUAACUUACUGAGUGUGACGAUUUAUUUCUUUGAAAUAAGUGAAUCUCAUCGUCUAAUUCAUUUUAUCCAAAAGAAAAGGAUCGUAUUUUAAAAUCUUUUCAAAAUUUCGACAUUAAGACGUUAAACUAUCAAUUCGGUACCAAUUUUGGGCGUUACGAGGGUGCUAACCCUUCCUCGUGCGUAACUGACUCCCGAACCUAUUUUCUCAGAAAUUCGCAGACCUAAAAUUAUUUUCAAGGUGACCCGAUCACACCUUAAUAAUAAAAGAUCGGUGGCGGCUCCCAAUUUUCAUUUUCAAAAGUCGAUCCACGGUUUUCUAAAAUGGUUUCGAUAGAAGGCUUGUUCAACCUUGAUAAAUGUUUUAUCAUUGAGGUAGACUUUUUUGAAGUAGUUGCCAAAGUGCCAAUGGUAGUGUCCUUCGUAUCUAGCACUACAACAAGCAACAAAACUUGUCAUUUUUGGUGUUGAAAAUCUUUUCCACAAAAUCAAUUGUGCAAUGACUUGUGGACGUGUGCUGGUACACGGUUUACAAAUUGAUUUUCAUGAUAUUUGAAUGUAUUUGAAAAUGUUUACAAAUUGGUACCAAAGAUGAGAAAGGAUCGAAUUGUAAAAUGAUGUUUAGAAAUGUGUACUAAGCCCGAAUGAACAUAUGAUAGGAUACAAUUGGCAUGCCAAUAGGGGUAUUUCGCACGCUGUAUGGGUUUGAUAUGUGAUGAGGUAAUGAUGUGCUGAUCACACUGAUUGUAUCAAAAUUUAGCAUUUAUUGCGAAUUAUUAAGUUAUAGUUACAGUGAUUCAGGUGUAUUUUGGGGGGAGGAUGUGUAGCCUAUAAGCUUGGCACUCAGUGCCCAGGUGUGUUUCUGGAGGGAUGUAUAGUCUACAGGCUUGACACUUAGUGCCCAAGUGUGUUCAUCAAUGGUAUGGCUCGUUUGAGCAAUCAUAUGUGUUUUAAGUGGUUACCCAUGUAUUCGUAUUUGUUCAUUAUAGUUCAUCAAGUUAACGGUUUUUAUAAAUGGGACAUUGGUUGAAUAGUAAUAAAUAUAAUAUAAUAAAUGAUAGAUGAAUGAUGUAAAGUUUGCUUAUGUUCAAUGGUUAGUUGACAUGAUAUUGAUUUGGAUCAAUUUGUAUAAUAUGGAAUGAUAUGACUUAAAUGUGAUGAACUCACUGUUGAUAUGAAUUGUGGUAAUAGGAUAAAUCGUUUAGUUAAUUGUUUUGUCAUGUAAUUGUGGGAAUUAAGGUAAGUUACAUUGUUUUAAACCUAUGAACUUACUAAGCUUAUUUAAAGCAUACUCUGUUUCAUUUUCUAUUUCUUGUAGUUAACAUUUUGCAGAACUAGGUGAUAGGAUCAUCUCGAAGGUCAUACUAUCCAACCUCCACUUUGGUAGACUUUUAAACCAUUAAACUCAGUGAUGUGGCAUGUAAUAGGAGUUGAUUUGUAAAUACAUGUUUUGUUGAAGUUGAGUGUUAAAUGGUGAUGUAUAAUUGUAUAUAUGUUUGUUAGCAAGUUGAUAUGCUAACUUUUGACUUGAAUGAUAGCAUUUGAAUGUAAUGUUUUGGUGAUAGGGUCAUUUAUGCGUGAUGAUAAUUUGGUGUUUGGAUUUCAUAUAAGGCAUAUAUGUGAUCAUAAUCUAAUUGACAUGAGAUAAGAUUAAUUACUUGAAUUGAUGCAUGUUAUAUUAUGGUGCUAUUGAGGCAUAUUAAUUAGAUUCUAGGGAUCAUGGUUUGUGAUUUAUUUUGGCAUGAAAUUGUACAUUUUGGAUGAGUUAUCAAGUGGAUAGUUAUUAUGCAUAACUUAGGUGAUGAAUUGAUUUUGAUAGUUUGUUGAAAAAGGUACCUUUUUUGUAUACACAGGCUAACACACGGCCAAAUAUUACACACGGGUAAGUGACAUGGUCGUAUGCUUUGUUUUUAAUUGGGAGGUUUUGGGUUACACAGUUCCAAUUUGUUACAUGGGGUGACCACACGCCCAUGUGAUACUGUAGAUUUGGUCAUUAGAAUUUCCACACGGUUUUAGUCUCUCUCACAGCCUAGCCACACGGCCGUGUGAUUGUUUGUAAGUUUUUGCAUUUAGGUUCCCACGAUUUCAUUGAGUUACACGGCCAGGUUGCACGACCAUGUGACUUGAAUUUCGCACGGUCACCGAUCGUAACACGGCCUAAGCACACAACCAUGUAACCCUGUAUUGCAAAUUUCUCCUUGAUGUUUAAAAGUUUGUAAUUAAGUCUUUAUUUGUUUCUAGGUUGGUUUAAGAGCUUUCAUAAGCUUGAUUGAGACUCGUAAUUGUUUGUAGGUCAUAUUAUAAAUGAACUAUAAAUUGUUUUGUUGUUUCAUUGAAUGUUAAAGUUAGAAAUGUAUGUGAUUUAUUCAAUUAACUGUUGUAGAAUCCUGUAGCUCGGGCCCGACAACCGGACCGGGUGAGGGGUGUUACUUACCAAUAAUGAUGAUCAAGUGGAAUGUUCCAAGAAGUAUGUUUUGAUCCUUGUUGAAAUCUCUAACCAUCAAGUUAUUUUUUCAUUAUUGUGGAGCUCUUGGUCAUAUUAGACCUAAAUACUUUAACAUGUUGAAAGAUUAAUGGUGGAAGCAAGUAGUGGCAGAACCAACGCCCACUGCUCCUAUCACUGCUCCAGGUCAAGGGUAAAAAUCUAUAUGAGGGAGAAUGAGAGGUCAUCUCAAGGAUUUGAUGAACAUAAGAAGAGAAACUGGGUUAUCUAUCAUUAUUGUAAUAUGGUUGGUCAUAUCAAACCGCAUUGUUAUAAGAUGUUGAAUGACCUAAUAUGACAAUUGUUUGAAGACAAGUUGCAACUCAAUCAAGAUACAACUAGAAACAUGUAUGGGUGAGAAAAGAUUGACAAUUGAUUGAUGUAUGUUAGAAUCGUGAAGUGGAAACUGACGCAACAACUUUUGAAAAUCAAGAUGAAAAUAUUUAUGCUCUCUAGAGAUCUUGUGGUAAAAAUCCUUGUUGCUCCAUGAGUUGUAACUCUCACCUACAGAGCUAUUGAUAAGUUAGCAUCCAUUGCACCCUAUGUUGAAACACCUUAUUGAGGGGGAGUGUGUUAAUGCUACAAUUAAGGGGGAGUUUCUUCUUUGCCAUGCUUUUUGUUAUUGAUUCUGUUUAUUCAUGAUGUUGCCUACAUGUUAUUACUUUAUGUAAUUGAUAAAACUUUAGCUUAUGGAGAUGUCGAGAAGAGCGGCAACCUUGGCCAAACUGCUAGGUAAUGCCAUAAUAUAACCCAUGGCCCAUCCAUUAGCACCUUUGAGUAAUCAUCGUCAUCCUGAAACUUGAUCAAGUAAAAAUCUUUCUUCAAAUCCAUUAAUUGAAUGGAUUUAUUCAGCUUUCAGAGUACAUACACCUUGUUAGAGAAAGCAUUAAAAGUUAUGCGUCGGCCCAAAAGUUUGAUGUUGACAGUACCCACACCAUACGCUUCUCAAUAAAUUUGUGAACCUGAUUUGAAAAACUAAGAGAAGGUAUUCCAUCAACAUUAGUCGUUGUGAUGUCCCCCUCAUGGAACUCAAAAUCAUCAUCUUGUGAAACACUAGAAUGAUGUAAUGAAGAACCCAAAAAACGUGUCCUUAAAGGAUGUCCUAGGCAUCAUUGGUUCCUUCAUCUGCAAACCAUUCCUACCAACCAUCUGAUCGUCAAUAUCCGGUAGCUCAUCCGGUCGCCUCCAUACCUUCUUGGUUGUCUGACCAAAGUUGACACUGGAAGUAGCGGAGUUGGAGCCAAUCACAAAAGCACCUCUGGAGAAAUUCUAUAACAUGUAAGUCAUUUAAUCAAUAAGAUAAAUCAAUAAUCAAUAAUCGCUAUAUGAUUAUUUUAAUACUCGUAAGUACCUGCUGCUCCAAAAUAAUAAUAAUUAAGCCUAGACCUGAAUUUGAUCUGCUCCAACAAUUUGUUUCAUUACUAAUCUAUUAAUAAAAUGUUGAAAAAUAUAUUUUUUAUAUUAAUAUGAUCAUUAAAUUUAUAUUAUUUUUAUUUUUUAAAUUGAAUUUAGGUGAGAUGAAUGAAAACUAAUAUUAAAAAGGGCAUAAUUUUCUAUUAGAUCUUGUACUUUGCGUAAGUUAUGGAUUUAGUACUUAUAUUUUAAUUUGGUUAUUUUCAGUUCUUGUACUUUUAAAUUUGAAAAUUUUAGUCAUGACCAAAUGAUUUAUUUUUAAAAAUUGAUGUGUCAAACAUAGUGUCACAUAUGUAAUGCUAUGUUUGUUUGUUAUUUUCACAUUUUAUUCACAAAAAAUUAAUUAAUAGAUUUAACGACUGUCAUUUGCAUUAAGAUUAAAAUUUUGAAAUUCAAAAAAAUCUAAUUGGUGAAUAUGGACUAAAUCUAUAACUUUAUGCAUAAUACAAGAAUAAUGACAUAAUUUAAUCAAAUAAAUUUAACUGUUACCAUUAAAUCAGGACUACAAUUUCAAAAUUCAAAAUAAAUAAGAAUUAAAAUUAAAGUCUGAAGUUUAAUAUCAUAUUAGACCUAUAAAAAAAAACUCUCCGUCUAAAGUCUAAUCCAAGCCGGGCGUCCUACUCGGCAUGUGAACAAAACUACUCAUAAGGCGUGAUAGACAUUGAUGUUUUAACUUAUAUAAUAAUAUGUCUGACUUAUACUUCCAACUAAUCUUUAUGUUGUUCGAAGGAUCCAAAAGGAAAAAAGGACACUAACCCAUAUCCAGGAAUUGCUGACACGUUUUUUUUUUGUCUUUUGUUUUUUUAAUGAUUGAGACAAGACUAAUACGACGGAGUUAAUUAUUGUGAUGAUAACUACCGAUUAUUAAAAAAACCCCUUAAAUUACAAGGAGCAUCUGUUAUUGAGACUACAAGGAGCAUCUGAGUUCAGAAUUAAGACAAGCAAAAUGAGUGGCUUGAUGGAGCUUGUAAUUCUUGUCCCAUGUUGUUUCUUCCUCGUAGCUUUAAUAAAGUUCCUUUAUGAUUACCUGUGGGUACCUCUCCGUCUACAGCAUCUGAUGAAUUCACAGGGAAUCAAAGGACCUCCUUACAAAUUCAUCCAUGGAAACAAUGAAGAAGCUACCAAGAUGAGACAAGAAGCAUUAAGCAAACCUAUGGCCUUGAAGCAUGAUAUAUUUCCUAGAGUGCAGCCACAUGUUUACACCUGGAUCAACAGAUAUGGUAAGAUCCAUGCAUAUUUUUCACUAUAGUGUUCCAAUAUAGUAGUAAAUGAAAAUUUGUAAGUAAUUAAAAGUUGACUUGGUUACUAAUAAAAGUUGUUUAUUCAAAAGUGAUGCAGUUACUUGAUUAUUAAUAAAAAAAAUUAGGAUUAUUUUAGUAAUAAAUAAUGAACAAUUGUAUUUAUUUUUAACAAAUAAACAUCUAUUAAAUAGUUAUAUUUUUAUAAGUAGACAUUAGAAUUCGUAUAGAUAAGAGAGGAAUUUCAUUUUUAUAUGCUAAAAACCCAAAAACAAAGCAUUUAUCCAUUCUCCUUCAUCUUCAAAUAUUCAAAGGUUGUUUUAUCAAGAACUAUUGCAGAAGUUUUUAUAGAAUAUGAUACUUUUCCUAAUGUUCAGUGUACUAUUUUCAUUAAUAUAAAAAAGUGGCGUUGGUUAAUUUUUAUAAGUUUAUUUGUAUUCUUACCCACCAGUUCUAUUAAAUAGUUAUAACAAAAUUGACCCGUCAAAAGUCUUUGCUUCAUUCUCGUUACACGACAAUGAGGAAAGAGAAACAGCUGUAACAGGUCAAUUUUGACCUAGGCCUAAAGACCCAAAACAAAUGAAAAUAACCCAAAAAUUACAGCCCAAAGCCCAGUAAAUUAAAAUUUGUUUCAGCAAAAAAACCUAGCCCUAGCCGCAUGCACACCUCUGCCAGGUGCGCCGCUCCAGCUCCUCACACGCCGCCGCCGCCCAAGGCUCGCCUACCACCGGUCGUCCACGCGUCUGACACCUGCGAAAAUUAAAUAUAAUGGCAAAAAGGAAGCACACGAGCAAUAAUAAUAGUUAACAGAUAAUAAAGAAGAAGAAAUCAUUUUGAUUCGGCUAUAAAAGCCCGAAUCUCACCGUUGUUUUUUUUUACGAACACACAUCAGUGAAUCAAGAAAUACAGAACUGAGAUUCUAAAAGGUUGAUAGAAAUCUGAUUAUUUUCUUUAGUUUUUUCUGAUUUCCGUUUCUUAUCAUCUAUCAUUUAUUUAUUUCAUUUAUUUAUCUACGCAUUUUUUACGAAAUUUUUACAAAGAAAACGUGAAAAUAAAAAGGGAAGAGGGGACUUACCGAGGAAGCGCCGGGAUCCGGCUCACGGAGGGUUCUCCUCCUUUGCGACCGCCGGAUCUAGAGGGUGCUGAGAAUCUUCCUCUUUUCUUUUUUAAGGUUGAAGGGUUCAGCCCUCGGGGUAUUCUAAGGCCGAGGUCUUUGACCUCUUUUUCUCCGUCGUCGGCCACCGGUCUUCAUGGCUGCGGCGGCGGUGCACUGGAGGCUAAGAAACCCAAGGGUCGGUGUUUGAAAAAAAGGGAAUGAUUUUGAAACUAAAAAAGGAAAAAGAAAACAGAGGCAAGAAUGAGAAUUUUUCUUAAAUGCACCAAAUAAAAAGGCGCCAUUUGAGGGGAAGACCUGCGCAUUCUUACCCUAAUGGGUAAUUUGCGCGUUUGGUCCCUCCAUUCGUCGCUGAGAUGCAAUCUGACCAUUUUUUUUCUUUCGAUUUGGCCCGCGAGUUUUGUCUCCGCUUCAAGCAGGUCCUCUGACUAUGCGCGAUCACUUGCCUUGAAAUGCCGCGUCUAAGGGGUUUAGGAUAUUUUCUUCUUCGCUCCCUGAUACUUUCAGCGCGUGGCGAAUUGGUCCCUUUUUCCUCUUUGUUUUUUUAUAUUUAUCCCCUUUGUUUUAUUAUGAUUUCAAUUGCACCCUUGAUCCUUUUAACACUAUUUUUAUAUAUUUUUAAACUGUCUUUUUUAUUAUUUAAGACUUUCUUUUAUAUAUUUUAUUUUAAACUAUUUUAGAUUAACUAGUAUUUAUCUCAAGUUUUUUAUUUUAUUUAUUUAUUUAUUUGGUUUAAAUUUAUAUGUCAUCAUCUUAUAUAUUAUUAUAUUAAAAUAUUUUAAUAUUCAUAAUUUCAAAUUGUUGAUACAUUUUUAUAAUAUAUAUUUACGUACAUACUUUUCAUUUAUUAUAAAUAUACUUUUUAUAUUUUAUAUUUCAUAUUUUUAUGUAUACAUAGAUAUAGGCAUAAAUACAUACAUCUUAAUUCAUAUAUAUGUAUAUAUACGUACUUAUACAUACUUAAAUAUAUUUUUCAUAUUUCAUAAUUCUUAUAUACUUACAUAUAUUUAUACAUAUUUUACAUCAUAUACAUACUUAUAUAUAUUCUUUAUAUUCUUAAAAAUACUUUUUGUAUAUUUCACAUAUUUUAUAAUUCACAUACAUAUAUUUUAUAUUAUUACAAUUUGUAAAUAUAUAUAAACACAUAUUUACAUUUUUAUUUUUAUAAUACUUACCGAUUUUUUAUAUAUGUAUAUAUUUAUCUAUGUUUUCAUACUCUAUAAUUUAUAUGCAUUUCUUAUUUUUAUGGCUUAAAAUUAUACAUGCAUAUACAUUUUUACAUAAUUGUAUUUAUUGUCAUCAUUGUUAUUUGGUGUUUGUUUAUUUAUUCAUGUACACUUGUGCUUUUCUAAAAUGUUAGUUCUAUUUAUUUAUUUGUUUGCUUUGUUUAUGUAAUCGCCUCGUCAUUUCAUUUUGCCUAUUGUAUUGUUGUUACUCACUUUACUUUGCUUACCUUGUCGUAUUCGUUAUUGUUUUGUCAAGCAUUAACACCAAACAUCAAAAGGAAAGUUUUUCUAAAUAAGGCAAUAUUUCGCGUUUGGAAAAUCGAGAAAACGUGCCCUAACGUGCUGGGUUUCGAUUUCUCGUUCGACCAAAUAGCCAAAUAUCCUUUUUAAACUUUUAAAUAAGGCAAUAUUUCGCGUUUGGAAAAUCGAGAAAACGUGCCCUAACGUGCUGGGUUUCGAUUUCUCGUUCGACUAAAUAGCCAAAUAUCCUCUUAAAGCUUCAAAGUAUGGUUUCAUUAAACUAUAAGGUGAUCUUGGUUUCGAUGGUUUAGAGUAUCGUGUCCUAACGUGCUGGAUGUGAUAUUCCUUCGGAACAAGAGAAUCUUAUAUUUCAAUUCACGUUAUCAGAGUUUCUUUUAAGGAUUGUAUUUUUAAAACUCUUCAAAUUUUUAAUUUUCGACACUAAGACACUAAUUAAUCAACUAUGUACCAAUUUUGGGCGUAUCGAGGGUGCUAAUCCUUCCUCGUGCGUAACCGAUUCCGAACCCUUUUUUUGAAUUUUGUAGACCAAAAUCUUUGUUUUAAUAAAAAUUAAAUCGUUUAUUAAAAACAACCACUUUUCGAGGUGACCCGAUCACACCUCAUCAAAAAAGAUUGGUGGCGACUCCCGUUUUCAUUCUAUUUUCAAAAUCUAAGUCGACCCCGUUUUCAUAAAAAAAAAAUGGUGUCAACAAUCAAUAAUAAAAAUUGGUAUAAUUAGAAAAUAAUAUCUAUUUGUUCUCACACUAACUUUUAAUAUUUAUAUAUUAUUUUAUAAAGAAUUAUUAUAAAAAAAUCUUUUAAAAAUUGAUAUUUUUAUAAUACAUCACUCAAUGUUGAAUACAUUUCAUUAAUAAACAAUAAUUAGCUUAAUUAUUAAGAGUUGAAUUAACUAUUUUUUAAUGAAGCAUUCUCUCUCUAAAAUCUCCAUCCUCACCACUAUUCUUACCUAAUUCACCUUCAAGUUUUAAAAUCAAUGUUCUAUCAUGUUUUGAUUUUCUUUUAAAUUUAUUUAAAAAUUCCUUUUUAAAAAUCUCAAAUAUAAUCAAUAACUAUUGAGUACAAUGGUAAAAUAUAUUGUAUUUCACACUUUUAAGAAAAUAAUGUACGUUCAAACAUGAAAAAUAACAUAAUUAAAUAGGAUAAUCUCGAAUCUUGAAAAUGAACCGUAAAACGAUUUGUUCAAUUCAAAAUUUAGAAUGAUAGAAUUUUAAUAGAAAAUUUAACCUAAAUUUUGAUAUAAUGUUUUGAGAGGAAGAAAGAAGAUGAGACAAGAAUUACAAACUUCAUCAAGCCACUCAUUUUUCUGCUCUUGCUUCUGAAUUACAGCCUGAUGUUCCUUUAGUAAUUAUAUCAUGUUUGAUGCUAUUUUGUCCUUUUUACUUGUAAAUUAGAAGAGAUGCUCCCAAUUAUUCAUUCAUCCUCUCAUAUUCAACUGCUUAUUGUAAACUUUAUUUAAAGGAACAAUGAUUUAUCUAAUCUCCAUGAAAUUUCUGUCACUAUUUUUUUAUUUUUUAUUUCUAGCCAUUGUUGACUAACUGCACUUGUUAGUGGUGGAGCGGGUGCCGGGUACUGUACUUAAAAUGGAAAUUUUUUUAUUUUACACCUUUUAUAAUUUAUAAAAUUUUAAAUUAAUAAUAAUAAAAUUAUAUUUUGACUCCUCUAAAACUGAUAAAAAUUUAAUUUGAUCUUUCAAAAAUUAUAAAAUAUAAACUAUUAAAAUAAUGAAAUUACAUAUUUUAUAUUACAUAAACUAUUAAAAAUUUAAAAUAUAUUUCGAAUAUUUUGAUAUAAUUAAAAAUAUUUGUUUAAACUAUCCUUUUAAAAUAUAUUUAAUAUUUUAAUAUAUAAAAAAAUCCGUAUUAAAAUUUUAAAAUAUUUAAAUAAUCACGUUUUAUAUAUAUUGAAACACGUUUGAAUUAUAUUUUAAAUUAUUACGUGAACAAGCUAUAUUCUAUAAAAAUGCUUUUAAACAAAUUACACUUUUGGUCCUUUAUUUUUGAAAAUUUGUAGUUAUGUCACCUAACUUGAGAUUUUUUAUCACCGAAAUUUGAAUUAGAAUUUCUUGGUUCAGUACUUAAAAUUUUCUAGAUGUUCAACAGAUUUGAUAAUGGAAUAUAUUUAUUCCAACUUUACAUUUAAAGAAUAUAAAUAUAAUAAAGUAAAAGUUGAUAUAUAAUCUUAAUUUUGGAUAGACUAUUUUCAAACUUAAUGCCACCAACAACUCCUAGAAAGAGUAUCCACUAAUAACAAUAAACUUACAUGAGUGAGGGAUUUCUUUUUGAAAGUUUGUAGUUAUGUCACCUAACUUGAGAUUUUUUCCAACUUUAAAAUUAAAGAAUAUAACUAUAAAUAGACUAAUUUCAAACUUAACGCUACCAACAACUCCUAGAAAGAGUACUAUCCACUAAUUAUAGCAAUAAACUUACAGGAGUGAGGGAUUUCUUGAAACAAUCAGCAACCAAUUUUGACUCUUUUUACCAAUUAUUUUAUAUAUUUAUUUGUAUUUUGAAGUUAACUUUAAAAUAUUCUAUAUAAAAUGAAUUUAAUAACAGUAAAUGGACUUUUACGUUUACGAAAUUUGACCAAAUGGAAACGUUUCAAUGUGACAGACUAUAUGGAAUCCAAAUUAUAGCUGAUGAAAUGUUAUUUCUUUUAAUUAUUAAAAACAUUAUAAUUAAGAGAUAUGAUUAUUUUAAUAAAUAGUUAUAAUUAUUAUUAAAAAAUUUCACUAUUUAAAUAGUAUUAUGAAUAUCUUAUUAAGUGGAUAUCCAUCAAGAUCCAUAUAAGUCUUUGAUGUACUUUCAAUUCUAAUAGUCAUUAGAAGUAGGUUUUGCAAAUAUUCUGAUUGAUCAAUAAAUUACGCUCAUUCUCAUUCUCCUUGUUCUUUAUUCUUUGUCUUUUAUUUUUUAACACGUUAUCAUAACGAUUCUCUUUUAAUUGUUUUUCUCCAUAAGUCACAAAAAUAUCCAAAAUUUUAUUGUUGUCAAUUGCCUCCUAGAGCUGCUACGCGCACUAUGGGUAAUCAUUAGAGCCUUUAAACAAUUAGGUACACAUAAAUCUCUAAAAUUUUUUUAUGUCCUUUUAUGCAAAGAAAUUUAUAUAUUUCUUACGUGGUAUGUUUUUCUCCUUUAUUUAUUGAUUUUUGGAAAAAUUAUUUUACAAAAAAAAAGUAUUAUUACUUUAAGGUUUCUUUUAAACUAAGAUUCGCAUAAUAUUUAGAUGUUUAAAGAUUUGAUUAUUGAAUUCCUGUCAUUAAAUAUUCUUGUAAUAUGAUUAAAAUUAUAGUGGAAAGUGUUAUUAACCUACCAUAGUUGAUCUAUUGAGUCUUACUAACUUUCUAAUGUUGAAUGAUUGUAUUAUAUAUUUUAAAUUGAAUUUAUAAAUAUUUGAUUAGAAGCUUCAAAAGAUUUUAUAACAUAUAUAUGGUUUUGAAAUUCGGUACAAUGUGUAUCAAAUAACUUUCAAGUAUUGUACACUAAAAUUUUGAUUUUGUUUAUUAAAUGAUUUUUUUACUAUUAGAUUAUAAAUGUUAUUACGAAAACAAAAUUGUUUUACUACUUGUAAUAUUGCUCGUGAUAAUAGCCAAGGUGAUACAAUGAUGUUAAAGAAUCUCAGGUAUAUUUUAUUAUAAUUUAUUUAUUAUGCCAUGUUUAUUAUAAUUGGAGACUAAUCACGACAACAUGAAUAGAUAGAUUUUGAUUUAAAAUCCACGCAUGUUUUGCAAUGGUGAUUAUGAAAUAAAGAAUCAAUGGAGGCGUUUAGAAGUAUGCCCCACUAGAUUUGUUGCAUUCCUUGAAGUGAAUGCAAACAUAAAGAAAAUAAAAGAUAUAAUCAUGGAUCACUAAAAGUGGGAACAUAGUAAUAAAUAAGAGAACAAUGAGAGUUNNNNNNNNNNNNNNNNNNNNNNNNNNNNNNNNNNNNNNNNNNNNNNNNNNNNNNNNNNNNNNNNNNNNNNNNNNNNNNNNNNNNNNNNNNNNNNNNNNNNNNNNNNNNNNNNNNNNNNNNNNNNNNNNNNNNNNNNNNNNNNNNNNNNNNNNNNNNNNNNNNNNNNNNNNNNNNNNNNNNNNNNNNNNNNNNNNNNNNNNNNNNNNNNNNNNNNNNNNNNNNNNNNNNNNNNNNNNNNNNNNNNNNNNNNNNNNNNNNNNNNNNNNNNNNNNNNNNNNNNNNNNNNNNNNNNNNNNNNNNNNNNNNNNNNNNNNNNNNNNNNNNNNNNNNNNNNNNNNNNNNNNNNNNNNNNNNNNNNNNNNNNNNNNNNNNNNNNNNNNNNNNNNNNNNNNNNNNNNNNNNNNNNNNNNNNNNNNNNNNNNNNNNNNNNNNNNNNNNNNNNNNNNNNNNNNNNNNNNNNNNNNNNNNNNNNNNNNNNNNNNNNNNNNNNNNNNNNNNNNNNNNNNNNNNNNNNNNNNNNNNNNNNNNNNNNNNNNNNNNNNNNNNNNNNNNNNNNNNNNNNNNNNNNNNNNNNNNNNNNNNNNNNNNNNNNNNNNNNNNNNNNNNNNNNNNNNNNNNNNNNNNNNNNNNNNNNNNNNNNNNNNNNNNNNNNNNNNNNNNNNNNNNNNNNNNNNNNNNNNNNNNNNNNNNNNNNNNNNNNNNNNNNNNNNNNNNNNNNNNNNNNNNNNNNNNNNNNNNNNNNNNNNNNNNNNNNNNNNNNNNNNNNNNNNNNNNNNNNNNNNNNNNNNNNNNNNNNNNNNNNNNNNNNNNNNNNNNNNNNNNNNNNNNNNNNNNNNNNNNNNNNNNNNNNNNNNNNNNNNNNNNNNNNNNNNNNNNNNNNNNNNNNNNNNNNNNNNNNNNNNNNNNNNNNNNNNNNNNNNNNNNNNNNNNNNNNNNNNNNNNNNNNNNNNNNNNNNNNNNNNNNNNNNNNNNNNNNNNNNNNNNNNNNNNNNNNNNNNNNNNNNNNNNNNNNNNNNNNNNNNNNNNNNNNNNNNNNNNNNNNNNNNNNNNNNNNNNNNNNNNNNNNNNNNNNNNNNNNNNNNNNNNNNNNNNNNNNNNNNNNNNNNNNNNNNNNNNNNNNNNNNNNNNNNNNNNNNNNNNNNNNNNNNNNNNNNNNNNNNNNNNNNNNNNNNNNNNNNNNNNNNNNNNNNNNNNNNNNNNNNNNNNNNNNNNNNNNNNNNNNNNNNNNNNNNNNNNNNNNNNNNNNNNNNNNNNNNNNNNNNNNNNNNNNNNNNNNNNNNNNNNNNNNNNNNNNNNNNNNNNNNNNNNNNNNNNNNNNNNNNNNNNNNNNNNNNNNNNNNNNNNNNNNNNNNNNNNNNNNNNNNNNNNNNNNNNNNNNNNNNNNNNNNNNNNNNNNNNNNNNNNNNNNNNNNNNNNNNNNNNNNNNNNNNNNNNNNNNNNNNNNNNNNNNNNNNNNNNNNNNNNNNNNNNNNNNNNNNNNNNNNNNNNNNNNNNNNNNNNNNNNNNNNNNNNNNNNNNNNNNNNNNNNNNNNNNNNNNNNNNNNNNNNNNNNNNNNNNNNNNNNNNNNNNNNNNNNNNNNNNNNNNNNNNNNNNNNNNNNNNNNNNNNNNNNNNNNNNNNNNNNNNNNNNNNNNNNNNNNNNNNNNNNNNNNNNNNNNNNNNNNNNNNNNNNNNNNNNNNNNNNNNNNNNNNNNNNNNNNNNNNNNNNNNNNNNNNNNNNNNNNNNNNNNNNNNNNNNNNNNNNNNNNNNNNNNNNNNNNNNNNNNNNNNNNNNNNNNNNNNNNNNNNNNNNNNNNNNNNNNNNNNNNNNNNNNNNNNNNNNNNNNNNNNNNNNNNNNNNNNNNNNNNNNNNNNNNNNNNNNNNNNNNNNNNNNNNNNNNNNNNNNNNNNNNNNNNNNNNNNNNNNNNNNNNNNNNNNNNNNNNNNNNNNNNNNNNNNNNNNNNNNNNNNNNNNNNNNNNNNNNGAAACCCCAGUUAAAGUGCGAGCAGGGUUCACAUAUGUUGAUAUCAAUGUUUUUUUGUUUAGUCUACAUAGGGUGAGUUUGGAUGAGCGGUGCGUUUAUCUGCGGUUAGUGUAGAAACAGUGGUGGUGAGAUUAGAUACUGUAGCGAUACUGUAGCGUGAGACAAAAAGUAAGCUAAACGCACCGCACCGCACCGCACGCAAUCGCCCAUCCAAACCCACCCUUAUUUGAGUUUACUUGUCAAAGCAAAUAGAGUUAGUAUUGAUUUGAUGUUUUUAAGUAUUGAUUUCUUAACUUAUUAAUGUAAUUCAUGUGAAUUGAAAGAUGACAAAUUUGAUAGCAGUUCAUAAAUUAGCCAAGUAUUUUUCCUUAUUUUCUCUCUUAUUUUGUUAUGCUCUCUCAACUUCUCGAAACACCAGCAGCAUCCUUGUCAUCAUUUUAAUAUAUCUUUAUAAACUUUAAAUAAUUAAAUAAAAUUUUUAUCAUUUAAAUAAAUUUUUUAUCAUUUUUGAGAUCAAAGUACAAUUUUACCCUUAUUAAUUUAAAAUUUUAUAAAGUAUAUCACAUUAGAUUACCAUUUAAAUCCUUUGUUAAGUUUGGCUAUAAAACUAAAGGCGCAUAUGGAUUCAGUGGUAAGAGAAGAAAAAAAGAGUGACUUGAUGGAGCUUGUAAUUCUUGUCCCAUGUUGUUUCUUCCUCGUAGCUUUACUAAAGUUCCUUUAUGAUUACCUGUGGGUACCUCUCCGUAUACAGCGUAUGAUGAAUUCACAGGGAAUCAAAGGACCUCCUUACAGAUUCAUCCAUGGAAACAGCAAGGAAGUUGCCAGAAUGGAACAAGAAGCAUUAAGCAAACGUAUGGCCUUAACAGAUGAUAUAUUUCCCAAAGUACUGCCACAUUUUUACACCUGGAUCAACAGAUAUGGUAAGAUCCAUGCAUGUUUUUUCAUUAUGAUUUAUAACUCGUAGUUCUAAGAAAAGAUUGACCUUUUUCUUUUCAAGUGAUUAGGGAGGAAUUUUGUUUAUUGGAACGGUGCGCGACCUGAAUUGGUGAUUNNNNNNNNNNNNNNNNNNNNNNNNNNNNNNNNNNNNNNNNNNNNNNNNNNNNNNNNNNNNNNNNNNNNNNNNNNNNNNNNNNNNNNNNNNNNNNNNNNNNAAUUAAUCAAAGACUUAUCUUCGAGCGAAAAAAAAAUUCAAGAAAAGAGCCUUUCAGAUAUUGGUAGGGAGUUCCUGGGGAAUGGGCUUCUAUUCAUUGCGGGGGAAAAAUGGGCAAACCAUCGAAAGCUAGCCAAUCACGCUUUCCAUGGGGAAAGCCUUAAGGUAAAUCCUCCAGUGUGAUUAAUUGACAAGAAUUAUACAGACUACAGAAUUUUGUAUUGUUGGCUAACAACCAGUUUAUAGUCGAAGUUGAAAGUAUUCGUAGAAAAGUAUUUUUUUAACCUCAAUAGUAAGCAAAGUCUAAAUAGUAUGUGGCAACUACUUAUAUAUUGAAGGAUUGUUUGGGCAGAACAUGACUCCAGCAAUAAUUGCUAGUGUUGAAACAAUGCUAGAAAAGUGGAAAGGUCAAGAAGGCAGAGAGAUUGAAGUGUUGAAAGAAUUUAGGUUAUUGACUUCAGAAGUGAUUUCCAGAACAGCUUUUGGUAGCAGUUACUUAGAAGGGGAGAAGAUUUUUGCCAUGUUACAGAAGUUGACAAUAAUUAUGAGUCGAAAUCUUUUUAAGACUAGAAUUCCUUUGAUCAGGUAUCUUCCCUAUAAGCUUAAUUAAUCCCAACUUUUACCUUGAUUUCAGCUAGCUUUUGAAUGCAACUUUUGGACUUUCAUUCCCCAUGGAUUUGGUUUUCUCCUUACAUAUAGCUGACCAUUGUUUGCUUUUGCAGCAAGUUGUGGAAAUCUGCUGAUUUGCUAGAGUCUGAAAAACUUUCAAAAGAAAUAAAAGAUCGUGUGAUGAAGAUUGUUAAGAAAAGAGAAGACGAAGCUGUGAAUGGAGAAGUCAAUAGCUUUGGCAAUGAUUUUCUUGGAUUACUUGUAAAUGCCUAUCAUGAUUCGGACGAGAAAAACAGGUUUUCAUUGGAAGACUUGUUAGCUGAAUGCAAAACAUUCUAUUUUUCUGGACAAGAAACUGUUAAUUCCUUACUUUCAUGGAUAGUCUUGCAUUUGGCAAUCCACGGAGAUUGGCAAGAAAAAGCGAGAAGAGAGGUGAUUGACAUAUUUGGUAACCAAAAUCCGCAUCUCGAAGGCGUCGCCAAACUCAAAAUAGUAAGAAAACUAUCUAACUGGGAAUUCAAAUAGCCAUCAACAUGAUGUAAUCUAACAUAUUUUUCUAUUUUCCAAACAGACGACCAUGAUCAUCAAUGAAACUCUAAGAUUGUAUGGUCCAUCAAAUGGCCUGGCAAGAGCAGUUACAAGAGAUGUUCAGUUGGAAAAGCUACUCUUGCCUGCUAAUAUAAAUAUUCUGCCUUUAUAUAUUGGAGUUCACCGUGACCCUCACUUUUGGGGAGAUGAUGUGCAUCAUUUUAAACCCGAGAGAUUCGCUGAAGGGAUUGCCAAAGCUACCAAUUACACCGCGGCUGCAUUUCUUCCCUUCGGGUUGGGACCUCGAUCUUGUGUUGGUAUGACAUUUGCAACAAUAGAAACCAAGAUUGUUCUCUCCAUGAUUCUACAACGUUACACCAUUACCCUCUCCCCUGCCUAUAUCCACUCUCCGAUAUCUAUUCUCAGCAUUAGACCACAACAUGAAAUUCAGGUGAUACUUGAACCACUGCAUCAUAAUGCUUGAAGUACAUAGCUGUUAAGAACUAAGGGUUUAACGUGGUUCAUGUAUUUUAGGUUUAAGAGAUGACAUUUAAUAUGUUUAAGGUUCCAGCAUUUGCAUCCCCUUCCCUAUCCUAAGCUAUACCCACCUUUAUACAUAAUGAAAUUCAAAUAGCUACUGAUUUCCAAGGUGGUAAAACGCAAUCAAUAAAGAAGAAUAUGUUGAGGCAAGUUUUGGGAGCAGUGACUUGAAAAAUGACAACUGCACUUGGCACGUGUCCCUUAUUUGUUAGCUUGUUUAAAAUAAAUAUUUUUGAUUAUUUGCUUGAAGAUUUUGUACAUCCAAUUUCAUGUUUAUUAAUGGAUUGGUUUUUCUUAAACUACUGGUUAUACUAAGGCUUGUUUAAACUUUGGGCAAAGCAUAAUAGAUGUAGAUAUGUUCUCCUUGAUUGGUGUCAAAUCUACUAAAAAUAAAUUUUUCUGCCUGAUACUGAAAUUAAAUUUAUAGUAUAGAGAGUUGAAUCGAUCUCACAAAAGUUAAUCUAUCCAAAUCUAUAUUCUUUAUAACUAGAACGUGUCCCAAGUAGUUUUUGUGCCCAUGACUUGUGCGAACCUGUACAAAAAAUAAGAGGGGUUAAAUCUGAAAAAUAAAUAAACAACCGAAAUUAAUUAAAAAUGAAAAUAAAGUAGAAAUAAGUAAAACGAAAUAAUAUUAUUGAAUUAAAUAAUUUCAUUUUUUAUUAAAAAAUUAUCAUACACACCUGGAAAAUAUGAAACACAUGGUUAAAUCUAAUUGGCUUCUAGACUAAAAAUAUUAACUAGAAGAAAGUUCCGAGUAAAAAAAAUUUAAACAUAAAUGUGAGAAAACGAGUAUAGUUUAAGAGCUAAAAUAUGAAUAAAGUCGAAAUAAAUUCCUAAAAUAUAAAAUUUCAUAAAUACAUUAAUGUGAUUAUAUAUAAUCAAAAUUAAAUAUUAAAUCGAACUAAAUAUGAUUUAAACUUGAAUCAAAGAAUGAAACUCGUAAUUCCCGUAAAAUUCUUAUUCAGAAAUAAGUUUUUGAACUCGAAAUAAGAUAAUAAAUUUAUUAAAAGAGGCAACCACUUAACAGUGGAUGAUACAAGUCCUUGCAAGAGCAAUUACAAAAUCUGCUGAACUGCACAAUUAACAUACACCAAUAUGACAUCACCACAAGAAAAGCACACUUUACCAAUGCCAGAAAACCAUAGCCCGGAGCAGAAAACAAGAAGCGAGAGAGCAAGUUAUAUCUGAAACAAGCACUACUACGAAACCCUUCUCAACAUGGCAAACACCAUAUCAGAAACUAUGACCAACAGCAGCUCCACCCAUAAUCCAGAACCAAGCAACUAACUAUAGUGAUCGCCCUUGCUUAAAAAAAAAACUUUACAUAAAUCAACGAGCAAGCAUUGGGCCUCACCCCAAGUAAGAAAACGAUCCAUCAAACCUUGAAAAAGCUUUAGACACCAUCAGUUAUCAGCAGAUAAGAAACCUAAAACAGAGCCAACACCAGCAACACCUUAUCAAGACCAACAGCCUAGAAAAAAUCUCAAUGGAACCGAUAGCAAAGGAAACUCAAUGUCAUAUCGGCUCCCAUAAAACUUUCAAACCACCCCACUGUAGCUCUUAAGACUGACGAUAACCAUACUUUAAAAUCACCAAAGCAUCCACUUCGAGAGACACCUUCAACCAUAACACAAUGAAUAGACUCAAAUUCAAUUCUAUAAUCACAACAUACAAAAAAAGACAAGCCAUAUUCAAUAAAAUAACAGCCUCAACCAAUCAGUAGGCCCAUAAAAGGCACAAAACACCAUAAUGCAUCAUCCAACCUCAACAACAUAAAGUUUGUUUAUCAUGGUGUUAUAAUCAAUAUUGGGUUCAAACCCACUAUAAAUAUAUUUUUAUUGAUUUUUAUUAACUUGUGAUUUUUCGUCCACCAGAAACGGCGGUCACCGUCGCCGACGACCGGCGGCCACGACGGAGGUCCGCCGUCCCCAUAGCCUGCCUAAGAAAAAACAUCAGAGAGAAAAAAAAAAGGGAGGGGUUUUUUAAAAAAAAAAACAAAUGAAAAAUGAAUUUUUUGGGAAAAUUUUAACUUAAAUAGAGUAUUGAAACGGCGUCGUUUUGGCCUGGUUCCAUAAAACCAAAACAGCGUCGUUUUGGUCCAGAUUCGCCGACCCGACCCGACCCCCUCAGGAUCCGCGCUUUUUAUGGGGGGUCUAAUUCCUUCUUUGGCCCUUCCAGUUUUUUGUAAUUUUCAAUUUAGUCCUAUCGAUUUUUAUUCGUUUUAAUUUUCGCCCCAUAAUUUAAAUCCUUGUGCAAUUUAGUUCCCUGACCCACUAUAAACCCAUUGGGGGAGUGACACGUGUCUAUAUAUGGGGGAUAAUUUCCAUAUAACCCCCUAAUUUUUAUCUUAUUUUAAUUUAAUCCUUCAAAUUCUUUUUCUUUAUAAUUUAGAAUGUUAGUUUUGUUAUAUUUUAAAUUUAGUUCUUUAUUCCGUUUUCUUUAUUUAUUUUGCGAUUUAUGCUUCAAGUUUCUCUUAAAUUUUGAUUUAAUCCCUUAUUUGGUUAAUUUUGCCUCUUUAUUUACUAUAUUAUUUAUUUUAGUAUUUAACAUUUAUGUUAUUUAUAUUUUCUUUUAUUUACACAUUUUAUUUUUAUCUUAUCAUAGUUAUUAUUAUUUUAUUUACUCCUGUUAUUAUGAUAAUAGUUACGAUAUGAUUAUCACUAUUAUUAUUAUAAAUCGAUAUUCUUAUUACUAUUAUAGUUGCAUUAUUAUUAUUUACCAACAUGUUUCUUUUAUUUUAUUUUUAAUUUUUAAUUUUCUCAUUUAUUUUAUUUCAUUUUAUUUAAUUUUUUUGCUUAUUAUCCUAAUAUCGUCAUUUCUUUUUUUUUUACCUACAUGACUAUUUCAUUUUAUUUUGCUAUCACUAUUCCAUGGGUCAUAUCACAAUGUAUUUAUCAUUUUUUACUUUGCCCAAAUAAAUGUAUAUCGUUUUAAAAGUUACAUUCGUUUUACGUAAUACAUAAUAAAUUUUUAAAAUCAAGGCAAUGUUCAUUAUUUUUUGGAUUCGAGGAGUUGUGCUCUUAACUUACGGAGAAUGACAUCUUUCUAAAACCAAAGUAAUCGAAUAUCCAUUUUAUUUAUUUAUUUAUUUAUUUUUCUAAAAAAAUAAAAACAAGACUUAAAAUAAGAUCAAAUGGUGAUUGUUCUGGUUUCCGAGGAUUCCAAGCAUCGUGUCUUAACUCAAGGGUUACGAUCUUUUCUCCUCAACUAACUCAUAAUAAUGCCUUUUCGUAAAAUUUAAUUUAGCUAAUUGGUUUUAAAGAACAUCAUGCAAACAGAGAGGGAUCAUAGUUUAAUUUCUCUUCGAAUUUUCAACUUCCGACAUCAAAACAUCAAGUAAUCAACUAGGUACCAAUUUUGGGCGUUAUGAGAGUGGUAAUCCUUCCUCAUACGUAACUGACUCCUGAACCCUUUUUUUCCAGAUUUGUAAGACUGGAUAUUAUCGUUUUAACAAAUCUAACGUUUUAUUAAAAUGGCUGAGUUUUGAGGUGAUCCAAUCACACCUAAGUAAAAAAUGUUGAUGGCAACUCCAUCUUCGUUUUCAAAAUAAAGUCAAUUUCAAAAAAAAAAAAGUUUCGACAAUAAUUAUAGAUACAAUUGAUGAAUAUAAUAAAAUAUGCAUAUUAAAAUAAAAAUACAUAAACAAUAUUAAAAUAAUGUUUUGAUGGUGAUAAACUUGAAGUUUUAUUAUUGUGAUUGUUAUAGGUUCAAAUCCCCUCAUAUUCGUUUUUAAUUAUUUUUUUAAAAUAAAAAGAUUAAACUACCCUCGAACAAUAUAACUUAUUCUAAUUAUGGAAGAAUAUUUUCGUAAUUUCUCUAACUGAAUUGGUGUUCGGUUGACUCGUGACACCAAUUCAGUUAGAGACUUAAAUAAUAGUAUAGAUAAUAUAAUUUUUGGCCCUCAACUUGGCAAUUAGAUGCACUUUAAUAUUGUAUUAUUUUUGUCCAAUUUUAUAACUAAGCUUGGCAAGUAAAUUCAAGUGGUCACUGAACUUGAAUUCUAUCAAUUUUUGAAGAUGUGAUCGGUGUUAUUGAAGCAAAAUCAGAUCAUUCGGUCAAAUUAAUUAGACUGAAAAGCGAUUGGUAUAACGGUCCAAACAAAGGGGUUGAAUUGAUUGAAUCGGGAAUUAGUUAAAAAUCGACAAUUUAAAAAAUUAUUUUAAAAUUAUUUUUAGAUUUUUAGGAAUUUUUAAUUAAUUAAUUAAUUAUUAUUGGUCUAGUAGUCGAACCGAUUGAAUAAGAAAUCAAUGGUUUGAUCUUUUAACCAUUGGUCCGAUUAUUAAAACACUGAAUGCAAUACUGUGAGAUUGUAUCAUAUCAUCACCUGAAAAUUUAUAUAAUUUUUUUUAAUUUUCAAGUAAUAUAUAUAAUCAUGUCACAUCAUCAAACUUUUAAAAUUUUCAUGUUCAAAAAUUAAAAUAGACCUAAUUGUUAAAUUCAAAUGACAAAGUGGGCCGAAAAAAUCCUAGUAGCCAAUAAUAGAAAAUAUAUAUUAUUUAAAAAAAAUAAAAAUAUUAAAGCGCACCCACGUGGUGAUAUUGCUCUUUGUCCAUAGUUCCCGACAAUAUUGUUUCCGUCUAUCUCCAGCAAAAUGUGUUUUCUAAUAUUUGGCAACUUUUACUUGCAAGACAACGAUGAAAAACACUUAAAUAAUUAGUUCAGUCCUCCUCAUUAAUUGUAACUCGUAAUAGACCUGAUAUUUUGGCUCAUAAUAAUGUCUCACAUUUACUUUCACAUCUAAUCUUGAUGUUUUUAACAAUGGCGUAGCGUAAUGGACAUUCAGGUGCCAUCACAAAAUUACAUUUUUCAAAAAAAAAAAAACAAAAAAACAAAAGGACCAUCUGGAUUCAGUGUUAAGAGAAGAAACAUGCAUGGAUAGUCUUGCUUUUAGCAACCCAUGGAGAUUGGCAGGAGAAAGCUAGAGGAGAGGUGAUUGACAUAUUCGGUAACCGAAAUCCAGAUUCUGAAGGCAUUUCUAAACUCAAAAUUGUAAGCAUACUGUCAAACAUUCCAAAAUAUUUUGUAUCUCAAUCUCAGGUUUUUUAGUCAGGUCAUGUUUAUCGCAAUUGCUAAUUCAACAAAUACUAUGCAUUUAGGACAUUAUAUUCUUUAAUUUGAUUUGACAUAUUCCUGUUAUGCAAACAGAUCACUAUGAUUAUUAUGAAACUCUAAGAUUAUAUGGUCCAUCAAAUGGCCUACCAAGAGGAGUUGCAAGAGAAGUGCAGUUGGGAAUACUAGUCUUGCCUUCUAACAUAGAUCUUCUGGUUCAAAAUAUUGCACUUCACCAUGACCCUUACCUGUGGGGAGAUGAUGUGCAUCUUUUUAAACCAGAGAGAUUUGCAAAAGGGAUUGCCAGAUCUACCAAUUACAAUGCAGCUGCAUUUUUUCCCUUUGGAUUAGGACCUCGAUCUUGUGUUGGUAUGUCCUUUGCAACCACAGAAACGAAGAUUGUGCUCUCCAUGAUUCUACAACGCUACACCUUUACCCUCUCCCCUGCCUAUGUCCACUCACCAAUGCCUAUUGUCGACCUUCAACCGCAACAUGGAAUUCAAGUAAUACUUGAACCACUGCAUAACAAUGAUUGAUGUACACUAACAGCUAAGGACAUGGGAUUCAACUCUGUUUGUUCCAACAUUCACCUUUAAGAGGUAGCAUUUAAGAUAUCCGGGGUUUUUAGUAUUAACAACCCCUUCCCUAUUCCUAAGCUACGCCCUCCUCUAAACAAAAAGAAAUCUAUGCAUUUGCUAGUUUCCUUAGAUGGUAAAACAUGUGAUUAAACAAUACAUCCUUCAUAUGGCGCAUAUUCCAGCAAGUAAACAGUUAUAUUAUAGUGCAUUUUACUUCACCAUUCUGCUCAUAUUUCAUUUGAAUUGCAGUGUUAUCAUCCUAAAGUCACUCUAGCAAGCAAUGAGGUUGCAAGUUUCUGAUAAAUUUAGUUCUAAUAGACUACUUAAGCUAAUCCACCUUGGUGCUUUGUUUUCUUUUCCUAAACUAUAUUUUUUGCUAUUCCUAGCCCAUUUAAGCAUUCAGUUGGAAGAUGGUCGAGAGUUGUUAUAGCAUUCGGAAAGAAAAGGUUAAUGUGUGUUAAGUGACUGUGUGAGGCUAAGGUUAUGAUAAUCUUCAGAUUGGUUCUGCUUAUAUUAUCUAUAAUAUAAAAUUUACUUUUUAAAAAGUUGUUUAACAAGCUUAUAGCUAAAAUAGGAUAUCCAAAUAAAAUAUAUUAACAAAAAGUAUAUUCUUAAAAUCUUAAAAGAGUAACCAACAAGCGUUGGGUGGAAUGAUAAUUGCAAUAUCAAGGGGAGAACUCAAGUUCCAAUUUUAAGGACGACAUUGUUUGAAGGAAUAAUCACAAACCCCAAAAAAGUUAGUCUCAUUGGAUCAUAAACCGAACAUGAGGAUACAUUGGUUCCACAAAAACAUAAUUUUAACAAGUUAAAAUCAUCAAAUUGUAAUAAUAUGAUUCUUUUUACAAAUAUUCAAAUAUCAAGUUAUCUAAAGUCACCGAUUGAGUCUUAACUCGAUUGGCAUUGGCAUGCAGGAGAAUGCGAGUUCGAGUGCGCUGAAGUUAUUAUCCUCUUAAUUAAGGAUGGGGAGGGACUAUGAAUAGUUCUAAAGAUGAAUUAAAUUAAAUUAAAUUAAAUAAUAAAUAUGUUAAUUCAUUUAAUUAAUUCAUUUAUAUUUUUAUACGAAAUUUUUGUAUAAGUGGAAUAUCCACCUUUCUGCUAAACAAAAUGUAUUGAAUUCAUAAUUUAGUAGAUACUUUUUAUGAAUGCCAACUAAGUAUUGUAUGUAAAUUGUCAACUGCUCCUAUCAAAAAUAGGAUUGACUAGAUAUUCGAGUCAUAUACACAUGGUUUCAUAAAACCGUAUGAUUCUCUGAUCUAAAUCAAGCAAGUUUUACAUGAAGAAGGUUUGCCUCAACAUGUUCAAUUCGAUAAAAGUAGAAGCGGUAUUCUUAAAAAAAAAAAGUAGAGAAAUCAAAACCAAGUCAAGAUAACACAGAUCAACCCCUUCUUCGUGCGCCAAAGAUCUUACCAUUUCGGAAGAAAUUGGAAUUACAUCUCUUUUUCAAUUCUAUUCAAGCUCUUAUGUGUUUCUACGACCAUUUAAGACAUCAAAAUUUUGACAAAUUUAUUUUCUUUUAUUAGGAACACAUACAAGAUUCGUCACUUCAAACAAGAUAAUGGUAACCCCACAAUUAAUUACUUCAUUUAUGACUUUCAUAGUAAUAGAAAUAUAUGUCCUACCAGAACACAAUUUUUAACUUGCUACCCUCUUGCAUAGUGGGCAAGGAUUUACUUCGCGGGAAAGAUGAUUUCACGGGGUUCUAUUUUGCCUUCAAUCCAAUCAUUGUUCACGUUUUUUUUCUUAUCAAUAAAUAGAUCUAAUUACUUGUAUGACUUAGAUAUCUCGUAUCUCUCAAAAUAAUGGUUCGAUUGAUGAGAUUUGGUACGAUAUUUAUGAGAUCAAUGAUAUCAAUGAUAUUGAUAUUCAAAUAUUUCUUCUUAGAACGUAUUGAUUUAACCCCAUAAGCAAGACCACCACCCCAUAAUGUUGCCUCCAAAAGCAGAAUCUCGUAUUUUCUCUUGAGAAUCUCUUAAUUGUUCAAGAGUACCUAGAACGAAAUUCUUUAAUUAGAAAGAAUUUAGUUUCGAUGUACGAUACCUAUCCAGAAGUUUUUGCAACUCAUGAUAUAGAAUCAUAAAAAUUUUUUGACUUUUUAAACAAAUAGAUCACUUGGGUGUAGAAAAGAAAUAAUCAAUAAUAAAAAUUGGUAUAAUUAGAAAAGAAUAUCUAUUUGUUCUCACACUAACUUUUAAUAUUUAUAUAUUAUUUUUAUAAAGAAUUAUUAUAAAAAAUUCUUUUAAAAAUUGAUAUUUUUAUAAUACAUCACUCAAUGUUGAAUACAUUUCAUUAAUAAACAAUAAUUAGCUUAAUUAUUAAGAGUUGAAUUAACUAUUUUUUAAUGAAGCAUUCUCUCUCUAAAAUCUCCAUCCUCACCACUAUUCUUAUCUAAUUCACCUUCAAGUUUUAAAAUCAAUGUUCUAUCAUGUUUUGAUUUUCUUUCAAAUUUAUUUUAAAUUUAAAAAAAUUCUUUUUAAAAAUCUCAAAUAUAUUACAUUUCACACUUUUAAGAAAAUAAUGUACGUUCAAACAUUGAAAAUGACAUAAUUAAAUAGGAUAAUCAUGAAUCCUGAAAAUGAACGGUAAAACGAUUUGUCCAAUUCAAAAUUUAGAAUGAUAGAAUCCUAAUAGAAAAUUUAAACUAAAUUUUGACAUAAUUUUUUGAAUAAUCUUAUUACAAGUUCUGAUCAUAUUUUUUUUAACACAAUAUCUAAAACUAAGCAUAACCGCUCCCAAACUCAUAAAAAGGAAGAUAAUGCGCUUCAGUGCAUAUCCUCCUACAUUGACAACAUACCCAUAUCAAUUGAGUUAAAGACUCAAUCAACACUUAAAAAAUAUUUAAAUACAUUAAAAUUAAUUAUUAUAUUGACAGUAAAAGUAUAAAAAAAAAAACUAAAUUUCCAGAAGAAUUCAAAAAAUAUCAUUAAAUAAUAAACGUGUUAAAAUCGACCCACGUGGUAAAGAUGCCGAUUCUAGUGUUUGCCACGAUACGUUGUCUAUAUGGCGCCAAGGCCAUUUUAUUUUCAACAUAGUUACACGCCGUUAAUUGUAAGUUUUGGCUUUAAAUAGUUAUUCAUCCUAUUUAUUUAUUCGUUAAUAUUGUUAAAUUUGUUAACUGUUUUAUUUUAAAAUUAAAAGAAAUUAUUAAUUUAAUAGUUAUGUAACAAAAUAUGAUGUUUGUGAAAUAUUUGUAUUUAAAGAAAGAAUUUUAGCAGUAUUAUCUAGUAGACUUACAUUUUUAAAUUCGAAAAAUAAGAUAAAAUUCUUAAAAAUAAAAAUAAAAGAGUAAAUUGCAAAUUCACGAUAAUUUUUCAAUAAUUUCUUUAGAAAAUUAAUUUUUAGAAAUGAAAAAUAAUUUUAUGAAAGAAGUACAACUUUAUUUUUUCAUAUUUCACAUUGCAUAAUUUUUUUAAAUAUGAAAUAAAAAAUUUCUUCAAAAUUUGAGAAACUUUUAUAAUCUUCAAUUUUUUUUCACUUUACUUUUUAUUGAAUUUCAAAGAGUUUUUACUUCUUUCAUAUUUUUUGAUUUUUUUUUUAAAAGAAAACCUUUUAGAUAUUUUAGAACCUUUAAUAUAUAUUUUAAAAAAUUAUAGUAGUUAAAUAAAUUACACAUUUGGUCAUUUUAUUUUUGAAAAUUUGUAGUUAUGUGACCUAACUUGAAAUUUGUAAAACUAUUAAUAUUUUAUUUCAAUUAAAAUUUCUUGGUUCAUUAAAUUUUUUUAGAUGUUCAAUAGAUUUGAUAAUGGAAUAUAUUUAUUCCAACUUUAAAUUUAAAGAAUAUAAUUAUAAUAAUGUAAAAGUUGAUGUAUAAUCUUAAUUUUGCAUAAACUGUUUUCAAACUUAAAUGAGCUAAAAAUAUAGUUGAAAAAUAGAAAUUAAUGCUACCAACAACUCCUAGAAAUAGUAUCCACUAAUAACAAUAAACUUACACGAGUGAUGGAUUUAUUAAAACAAUCAGCAACCAACUUUUGACUCUUUCUAUCAAUUGAUUAAUAAUUAUUAAAAAAAUUAUAAUUGUAUCUAUCGAUUAAUAAUUAAGAGAUAUGAUUAUUUUAAUAAAUAGUUAUAAUUAUUAUUAAAAAUGUCACUAUUUAAAUAGUGUUAUGAAUAUAUUACUAAGUGGAUGUCCAUCAAGACUAAUAUAAGUUUUGAUGUACUUUAAAUUAUAAUAGUCAUUAGAAGUAGGCUUUGUAAAUAUUCUAAUUGAGUCAUUAAUAAAAUACGCUCUCUCUUUGCUAUCUGACUCUCAUUCUCAUUCUCCUUGUUCUUUAUUCUUUGUCUUUUAUUUUAUAACACGUUAUUAGCACGAUUCUCUUUUUAAUUAUUUUUCUCCAUAAGUCACAAAAAUAUCCAAAAAUUUAUUGUUGCCGAUUGCCUCCUAGAGCUGCUGCGCACACUAUGGGUAAUCAUUAGAGCUUUUAACCAAUUAGGUACACUAAAUCUCUAAAUUUUAUUUAUGUCCUUUUAUGCAAAGAAACUUAUAUAAUCCGUGGUAUGUUUUUCUCCUUUAUUUAUUGAUUUUCGGAAAAUUUAUUUUAUGAAAAAAAGUAUUAUUACUUUAAGGUUUCUUUUAAACUAAAAUAAUAUUUAGAUGUUUAAAUAUUUGAUUGUUAAAUUCCUGUCAUUAAAUAUUCUUGUAAUUUGAUUAAAAUUAUAGUGGAAAGUGUUAUUAACCUACCAUAGUUGAUCUAUUGAGUCUUACUAACUUUCUAAUGUUGAAUGAUUGUAUUAUAUCUUUUAAAUUGAAUUUAUAAAUAUUUGAUUAGAAGCUUCGAAAGACUUUAUAACAUAUAUGUGGUAUUGAAAUUUGGUACAAUGUGUAUUAGAUAACUUUCAAGCAUUGUACACAAACAUUUUGAUUUUGUUUAUUAAAUGAUUUUUUUACUAUUAGAUUAUAAAUGUUAUUACGAAAACAAAUUGUUUUACUACUUGUAAUUAAUAGUGCUCGUGAUAAUAGCCAGGGUGGUAACAAUGAUGUUAAAGAAUCUCAGGUAUAUAUUAUUAUAAUUUAUUAUAUCAUAUUUAUUAUAAUUGAAGACUAAUCAUAACAACAUGAAUAGAUAGAUUUUGUUUUGAAAUCUAUGCCUGUUUGUGAUGGUGAUUAUGAAAUAAAAAAAAUCAAUGGAGGCGUUUAGAAGUAUGUCCUACUAGAUUUGUUGCAUUCCUUGAAGUGAAUACAAACAUAAAGAAAAUAAAAUAUAUAAUCACAGACCACUAAAAGUGGGAACAUAGUAAUAAAUAAGAGAACAAUGAGAGUUCUAAAGAUAACUCUUCAAAGGGUAAAGAUAACUUAUGUUAUCGAUAUGAUAUGAAAUAUUAUUGGCCACAUACGUAUAUCAAAUAUUUUGUUUCUGUUAAUAUUUUUGAGGAAUGAUAUGAGAAUGUUGAAAUGAAUUCUAUUAUUACAGAUAUAAAAUAUUUAUCUUAUUUGGUACUGAAAUAAACAAAUAUUAUUCAAAUAUUUUGUAGUACAAAAUUAGUCUACAGCUCCAGAAGAGCUAAUUUAUUAAUAUAUUGUGAUAAUUAAUCCAUAGGUUUUAAAAGAUAUUCAUUGUAAUGGAUCAUAUAAAGAUAUUUAUCUUAUAUUUCAUAUGAAUCAUUAUUGCUAUAAAUAUCUAUUUUAAAAGGAUUAAAAAAAAGGGAGGAUUGAGUUAUUAAUUAAUCUUGUUAUUAAAAUGAAUUUAUUGUGACUAUCUUUGUAAUCUUCUUUUGUCAUCAUCCCCAUUAAGGGGUUGAAAGCAAAAUAUUUAACUGUGAAAGAUCUAUUUUUGAGCAAUAGAAUAUGGUAAUUCUAUCUAAAGCUUGCUAUGGUUGGAUGCAACUGAAGUUGCAAGUUUUUUAAAACAGUGAGUAUAACUCUACAGUAUUCAGAAUAAGAUCUCAAUUAAAAUUACGUGAAAAAAAUAUUACUGAUGAGAAAAUUUUAAUUUAACCCUUUAAAAAUUACAAAGAUAUAGACUAUUAAAAUAAUAAAUUUAUUUUUUUAUUAUUAUAAAAAUAUACAGUUUAAUUUCGACCUCCCAAUAAAAAUUUCAAAAUCCGCCACUCGAAGGAUACAAAUAAAAAGACCACAGUGAAUUCAAUUAAAUUUAAAUUCUCACUUAAAUCCAAAUUCAAAGUAAAACAAAUGCGACAGAAUGAAUAAAAUAAUGGGAGAAAGUUUUUCAAGAAGUAGAAAUGCAAAAAUAGCUUCAAAAUCUACUCUUACUAAAAAAAAAAAAAAACAAGAAAGAAUUUAUUAUCUUUUAUAAUAUUAAUUUCUCACAUAUAUACGGCCAAGCUACUCUGAACGUACAACGCACCCAUUUGCGUCAUUGCAAACGCAAUUUUGGUCCUUAUGCAAUAAUAAAGGGGGAAAUGGUUCUGGUUUAGACAAGAAAAAUGAAUGCGUUGAUGAAGCUUCUAAUUCUUGCUCCAUGUUGUUUCUUCUUCAUAGCUUUAAUAAAGUUACUUUAUGAUUACCUAUGGAUACCCCUCCGUAUUCAGCAUAUGCUGAAUUCAGAGGGGAUCAAAGGACCUCCUUACAGAUUCAUCCAUGGCAACAACAAGGAAGUUACCAAAAUGAAACAAAAAGCUUUAAGCAAAUCUGUGGGCUUGACAGAUGAUCUAUUUCCCAAAGUACAUCCACACAUUUACACCUGGACCAACAGAUAUGGUAAGAUCCAUGCUUGUUUUUGUCACUAUGAUUUAUAACUUGUAGUUCUAAGAAAAGGUAGACCUUUUUUCUUUUCAUGUUAUUAGGGAAGAAUUUUGUUCAUUGGAACGGUGCUCGACCUGAAUUGGUGAUUUCAGAGCCUGAAUUAGUCAAAGAGGUUCUGAAAAAUAGUGAACAAAUUUUUCAGAAAAAGAAACUUUCAGAUAUUGGUAGGAAGUUCUUGGGGAAUGGUCUUAUAUUCAUUGAGGGGGGAAAAUGGGCAAAGCAUCGGAAGCUGGCCAAUCACACUUUCCAUGGGGAAAGCCUAAAGGUAAGUCUUCCAAAUAUAUAAACUAGGUGUAAUUAAUUUACAAGAAUUAUACAUAGACUACAAUAUUUUGGUAAAAUUUUGUAUUGUUAGCUAAGGAUAAGUUUAUUAUGGACGUUGAAAAAGUGUAGUAAAAACCUACUUUUGAAAAAUUUAACACCGUUUACUACUUAAGAGGUCAAUUUUAAACUUGAUGUUGUAAAAUAAAAGAUUAAAUCAGAGAUUUAAAAAAAGAUUAAAAUCUAGUUUGAAAUAAGAUUUAGUUUGAAAAGGUGUUUAUUUGUCAAAUUUUUUAAUUUGAAAUCAUGAUUUUGUGUUGACAAUUAUAUAUGUCACUACUACUUACAUAUUGGAGGAUUGUUUGGGCAGAACAUGACUCCAGCAAUAAUUGCUAGUGUUGAAACAAUGCUAGAAAAGUGGAAAGGCCAAGAAGGCAAAGAGAUUGAAGUGUACCAAGAAUUUAGGUUAUUAACUUCAGAAGUGAUUUCCAGAACAGCAUUUGGUAGCAAUUACAUGGAAGGGGAGAAGAUAUUUGCCAUCUUGAGAAAGUUGACAGUAAUUAUGAGUCGAAAUCUUUCCAAGACUAGAAUUCCUUUGAUCAGGUAUCUUCCCUCUAAGCUUAAUUAAUCCCAACUUUUACCUUGAUUUCAACUAGCUUUUGAAUGCAACUUUUAGACUUUCACUCCCCAUGGAUUUGGUUUUCUCCUUAUAUAUAGCUGACCCUGGUUUGCUUUUGCAGCAAGUUGUGGAAAUCUGCUGAUUUGCUAGAGUCUGAAAAACUUUCAAAAGAAAUAAAAGAUCGUCUGAUGAAGAUUGUUAAGAAAAGAGAAGACAAAGCUGUGAAUGGAGAAGUCAAUAGCUUCGGCAGUGAUUUUCUUGGAUUACUUCUAAAUGCCUAUCAUGAUUCGGAUGCGAAAAACAGGAUUUCAUUGGAAGACGUGGUAGCUGAAUGCAAAACAUUCUAUUUUGCUGGACAAGAAACUGUUAAUUCCUUACUUGCAUGGAUAGUCUUGCAUUUGGCAAUCCAUGGAGAUUGGCAAGAAAAAGCGAGAAGAGAGGUGAUUGACAUAUUUGGUAACCAAAAUCCACAUCUCGAAGGCAUUGCGAAACUCAAAAUAGUAAGAAAACUAUCUAACUGGGAAUUCAAAUAGCCAUCAACAUUAUGCAAUCUAACAUAUUUGUCUAUUUCCUAAACAGAUGACCAUGAUCAUCAAUGAAACUCUAAGAAUGUAUGGUCCGCCAAAUGGCUUGGCAAGAACAGUUGCAAGAGAAGUACAAUUGGGAAAGUUAGUCUUGCCUGCUAAAUUAGAUAUUCUGCCUCUAAAUAUUGGACUUCACCGUGACCCUCAAUUGUGGGGAGAUGAUGUGCAUCAUUUUAAACCCGAGAGAUUCGCUGAAGGGAUUGCCAAAGCUACCAAUUACACUGCGGCUGCAUUUAUUCCCUUCGGAUUGGGACCUCGAUCUUGUGUUGGUAUGACAUUUGCAUCAAUAGAAACAAAGGUUGCUCUCUCCAUGAUUCUACAACAUUACACCAUUACCCUCUCCCCUGCCUAUGUCCACUCUCCAAUACCUAUUCUCACCCUUCUACCACAACAUGGAAUUCAGGUAAUACUUGAGCCGAUACAUAGUAAUGCUUGAAGUACAUAGCUGUUAAGAAAUAAAGGUUUAACAUGGUUCAUGUAUUUUAGUUUUAAAAGGUGACAUUUAAUAUGUAUAAGGUUCUAGCAUUUGCAACCCCUUCCCUAUCCUAUAGUAUGCCCACCUUCAUACAUAAUGAAAUGCAAGUAGCUACUUAUUUCCAAGAUGGUAAAACACACAAUCAAUAAAGAAGAAUAUGUCGAGGCAAGUUUUGGGAACAGUGACUCAAGAAAUGACAACUGAAUUUGACACGUACAGAUCACAUAACUUCUCUUUUUUGUUAGCAUAUGUUGGUGAUUAGAACUCGAACUUUGAUGAUUGAUCGAGAGAUUUGAAGCAAAAAGAAGAGAAAGGAAGUUUUAAGAUAGAAAGUAAUUGAAGACUGAAAUAAUAAUGGAUUUGCUCCUCAAUGACUUAAAUACAAAAGUUGAAGACUAAAAAUAGAAAAAAAAAGGUUCUAAAAAUCUGCUAAGAAUCUGGUAACAAUAAACCAAACAAAUCGUAAAACUAAGCUCCUAAAGUAAAGGAGAAUUAUUCAAACUUAGCAACAAAAAAUUAAAUGGCAGCAAUUUUAAACAUGUGAUCUCAACACUUUCUUUAUUUAGAUGCUGCAAACUCCAAGUUUCUUCCUGAAGCUUUCAAACUUGCUAAGUGGCAAUGGUUUGGUGAAGAUAUCUGCAAUUUGAUCUUCAGAUUUGCAGUAACAAAGAGACACAUCACCACUCUUUUGAACUUCUCGAACAAAAAAUAACUUGAUGUUGAAAUGCUUAGUCUUCCCAUGAAAGACUGGAUUGUUAGAGAUUGCAAUGGCAGCUUGGUUAUCAACUAGAAUCUCUGUGCUUUGCUUCUGCUCCAUGUUUAGAUCAACAAGAAUCUUCCUUAACUAGAGAGUUUGGUUAACUGAUGCUGUUGCAGCCACAAAUUCUGCCUCAGCAGUGGAUUGAGCUACAAUUUCUUGCUUCUUCAAGCUCCAAGAGAACAUGCCUGAUCCAAGGCAAAAACAAUAACCAGAGUUACUCUUCAUAUCAUCAGUUGAGCCACCCUAAUCAUUGUCAGAGAAACCAAUUAACUUUAAUUCCCUGUGCUUUAAAAACUUCACUCCAUAACUCCAGGUCCCCUUGAUGUAUCUGAUAACUCUUUUUGCAGCUUUCAUGUGAGUCUCAUUAGGACAAUGCAUGAAUCUAGAGAGAAUACUUACAACAUUCAAGAUGUCGGGUCUGGUUGCUGUUAAGUACAUUAGACAACCUACCAAACUCCUAAACUCAGCUUCAAUGACUUUGGCAGAACCAUCAUCUUUGAUUAGCUUCUCUUUUUUAUUCAUAGGAGUGCUCAUUGCUUUUCAAUAUUCCAUAAGAAAUUUUUUAAGUAUCUCCUUUGCAUAGUUUCUUUGACAGAUGAACACUUCAUCUUGGCAUUGUUUGAUCUCAAUGUCAAGGAAAUAAGACAUCAGACCAAGAUCUGUCAUUUCGAAGACCUUUUUCAUUUCCAAUUUGAACUGAUUAACUUGAUCGAGAUUGCUGCCUGUAAUCAAUAAGUCAUCUACAUAAAGAGAAAUGACUAAAGUGUUUGUACCUUCAUGCUUUACAUAUAGUGUGAGCUCAGAUUGACUUUUCUGAAAGCCAAUGCCCACCAAAUGAUCAUCAAUUCUGCUAUACCAUGCUCGUGGAGCCUGUUUUAGGCCAUACAGAGCCUCUUCAGCAAGUAAACUUUGUCUUCAUUGCCUCUGUUUACAAAACCUUCAGGUUGCUCGACAAAGAUUUCUUCUUGCAAGACUCCAUUUAGGAAUGCAGAUUUAACAUCUAACUGAAAAACUUUCCAGUUCUUUUGUCCAGCAAGAGCAAGCAGUAACCUUACAGUGUCAAGCCUGGCAACAGGUGCAAAUGUUUCUGAAUAAUCGACUCCAAAGACUUGUGCAUAUCCCUUCACAACAAGUCUUGCUUUGAAUUUGUUAACUGAACCAUUGGGAUUUAGUUUCGUUCUGAACACCCAUCUUACUCCAAUUAUCUUUUUGUCCAAAGGUUGAUCAACCAGCUCCCAAGUUUUGUUUUUCUCAAUCAUCGAAAGCUCCUCUUCAUUGCAACCAUCCAAUGUUGACUGUUUUUUGCAUCAUGAUACCCUGCAGGCUCACAAAUAGCUACGUUACAUCUUUGGUAAAUGUCGGAAAGCAGCCUUGUACCUCUGACAGGUGUAUCAUCAGCCAAAACAUCUUGCCCUUCAUCUUCAAGCUCCUCUAAUGUGCUGCCAAUGGUAAAAUGAUCUGGUGCACUAGAAGCUUGGUUCGUCUUGGUCGAGUCUUCCCAAUUCCAUUGCUCAUUUUCAACAAAAUAAACAUCUCUGCUCACAAUAACAUGUCCAGUGUGUGGUUGAAAUACUCUGUAAGAUUUAGAUACAGUGCUAUACCCAACAAAAAUGCCAGCUUCUGCCUUUUUGUCAAGCUUAUCACGCUUGACCUGUGGAAUGUAAGUGAAACACAGGCAACCAAACACUCUAAGGAACUUUAAAUAAGGUUUGUAACCCUACCAAGCUUCAAAUGGCAUCUAAUCCUUCACAGCUUUUGUUGAAAUCUGAUUUUGCAAGAACACAGCAGUGUUUGCAGCUUCUUCCUAAAAGCCUUUUGGAAGAUUCUUCUCAUAAAGCAUACACCGAGUCAUCUUCAUUAUGAAUCUGUUCCUCCUUUCACUGACUCCAUUUUGUUAUGGAGUGUAUGGCACCGUCAACUGAUGCUCAAUUCCAGCCUCUUCACAAAACCUAUUAAAAGUUUCUGAAGCGUACCCCUUGCCAUUAUCAGAUCUUAAAAUCUAAAUCAUGCAUCCACUUUCAUUCUCAACUUUGGUUUUGAAUUUCCAGAACACACCAGCAACUUCUGAUUUUUAUUUCAAUAAGAAAAUCCAACACAUUCUUGUUAGAUCAUCAAUAAAGGCUAUGUAAUAGAGGUUACCGUUUAACGAUGGCAUUCUCUGAAGACCACAAAGAUCGGUAUGAACAAGCUAUUCGAGGCUCUCCAGGCUUGUUUAGGAAAGGGUUGUCUAUGUUGUUUCCCAAAUUUGCAAGAUCGACAAUGAGGUAGAUCAUCAUCAAUGUCUAUAAGUCCUUCUACCAGCUUCUUUGACUGCAUUUGAAGCAAUCCUCGAUGGUGAAAGUGCCCAAGUCUCUUGUGCCAAGUCUCAGUGGCACUAACUCUGGAUUUAAAAGCCAUUUGCUCCUUUUCCAUUGGAUUAAGAUAAAAAAAUUUUCCCUUCAUUUUGACAUUAAACAAGUCUCUGCCAUUAGCAUCUCUGAUCAAGCAUUGCUUAUUCUCAAAUAGCACUUUAUAGCCUUUAUCCAGUAACUGACCAACACUGAGGAGAUUUUGAUCAAUUUAGGUGCAAACAAAACAUCUGAAAUGAAUUUUGUACCUUUAUAGCUUGUAAUAGCUAUGCGCCUUUUCCCUUGACUUCCAAGUACUCAUCAUUUUCAAUCCUCACUAUUUUGACUUCAGUGUUUCUCAAUUCCUCGAAGAGCUCCUUGUCAUACGUCAUGUGAUUUGUGCACCCACUAUCAAUCAACCAUCUCUCACUUGAUUCUCUGCCUGAGAAACAAGUAACCACAAACAAUCGAUCUUCUUCUUCUUGAUCAGCUACCUGUGCAUCUACUUCUUGCACCUGGCCUUUGACCUUGCAAACCACUGUUUUAUGUCCAAGUUGAUUGCAUUUGGAGCAUUUAACGUCAGGUCUUUUCCAACAUUUGAAUGGUAAAUGACCUUUCUUCUCACAAUGGUAAUAAGGUGGGUAGGAUUUCUUGACACCUCCUCUUUUGCUCUUCUGAUAAUUGCCUGAUGAAUUUUCUCUACUCGUCGACUGGUUCCUAAAAUUUUUCUUCUUUUUAUACCUGUUGUUGUCUUGAUGCUUGACAAGUAAGGCACCUUCUAUCACUCCCUCUUGCCUCAUUAGUCUUCUUUGCCCUUGUGCUUGUAAAGCAUUCAAGAGCUCUGCAAGAGAGAUCUUUGACAGGUCCUUGGUGUUCUCCAGAGUAGUAAUGGUGGCUUCAAGCUUCUCUGGAACAGUAACCAGCAGCUUUUCUACGAUUCUAGAGUCAUUCAACUCAGAACCAAGCAAUCUCACCUUGUUGGCAAUGCUGAAAAGUCUGUCAGAAUAUUCUUUCACUGACUCAGACUCCUUCAUCUUCUGCAACUCAAAAUCCCUGAUUAGAUUUAGGACUUUCAUUCCACAAAUCCUCUCAUCUCUUGCAUACUCAGCCUUUAAGUAAUCCCAGAUUUCCUUUGCUGAUUUCAGAGACAUUAUUCGUGUGAAAAUCAUUUGAGACUCAGCUGCAAAUAAGCAAGCUUUUGCCUUUGAUUUCCUUGUCUUCUUUUCCUUUUAUGCUUUAAUCUGUGCCACAGUAGGAUUUGCUGAAAGUGGUGGGACCUCGUAAUCCGCUUCUACAGCUUCCCAAAGAUCCAAAGCCUCCAAGCAAGUCUCCUUACGAACUGCCUACAUCUGGAAAUUGUCUCCAUUGAAGACUGGUAGUGCAGCAACUGAAAAACUAGACUCUCCUUCCAUCUUAACACGCAAAUAACCUCAUAGAUCCCUUAAGAAAAUAGCUCCGAUACUAAUUUGUUGGUGAUUAGAACUCGAACUUUGAUGAUUGAUUGAGAGAUUUGAACUAGAAAGAAGAGAAAAGGAAGUUUUAAGAUAGAAAGUAAAUGAAGACUGGAAUGGUAAUUGAUUUGCACCUCAACGAUUUAAAUAAAAAAUUCAAGACUAAAAAUAGAAAAAAAAGGUUCUAAAAAUCUGCUAAGAAUCUGGUAACAAUAUACCAAACAAAUCGUAAAACUAAGCUCCUAAAGUAAAGGAGAAUUAUUCAAACUUAGCAACAGAAAACUAAAUGGCAGUAAUCUUAAACAUGUGAUCUCAACAGCAUGUUUGAAAAAAAAAAUAUUUUGAUUACUUACUUGCAUAUUUUUGAGGAUUUUGUGCAUCCAAUCUUGUGUUUAUUAUUUGAUUAAUCUCAGAUUGAUUUUUCUUAAACUAGUGGUUAUACUAAGGCUUGUUAGCGGAUUAAACUUUGGGCAAAGCAAUAUAGAUGUAGAUCUGUUUUCCGUGACGGGAUUUGAAUCUACUAAAAAAAAUUCCUACGCUUGAAACCAAAAUUAAAUUUUAGUAUAUAGAAUAGGGUCGAUCCCACAAAGGUUAAUCUAUCUAAAUCUAUAUUUCUUUAUAACUAGAACAUGUCCCAAGCAGUUUUUAUGCCCAUGACUUGUGCCAACUUGUACGAAAAACAAAAGGGAAUUAAAUCUGAAAAAUGAAUAAACAAAAAAUAUAAAUUAAUAAUGAAAAUGAAGUAGAAAUAAGUAAAACGAAAUUAAAAUUGAAUAAACCGAUAAAACAAAAGCUCUAGCUUCAAGCUUGAAGCUCGAUUUUGACUCUGUCUUCAAACUAAUCACAAAGAAUGAAUUUUUUCCUUCAUUAAUAAGUCAAUUGUAGAUACCAAGAAACAAGCUCAAACCACCUAAUUCUUUCAUAGUGGUAAAUUAAUUGCUGGAACAGCUCGACGACUAAGCCUUAUAAAGUGAAUAACCUUGAAAGCAGCAUUCGUGAUUUAAUUCAUUAGUAGCCUUGCGAACUAGAAGAACCUGGCUUAAAUCAACGACCUCAAUUGUAUGAGUCAUUUAAAAUUAAUUAUUAACUUCCUUGAUGGAUCCAACCACUCAUGUCAAUUUGUUCUUCAAUGGAUCUAAUACAACAAUUACAAUCACAUUGAUUCUCUAACUGUAUGUCCUUCAACACUAAACCAAGGGACUCUUCUUGAUUUUGAUGCUAAAAUAACAUUGAGAAGUAAUUGAGUUUAUCUUUUAAUUGGAGAAUUAACAAAUACCGAAAUGGAGAAUAUAAACACGAUUUUGAAAUUUCACCGUUCAAAUAUCGGAUCAAUUAUCAAUCUAAAACUAGGUUAAAUUUAACUUCUCAUAAAUUAAAAAACAAGAAAAGAAAAUCGUUGAAGGAGAAUAUUUAAUUGAAAUAAAAAACACUAAAAUAAAAUCAAAACAAUAGUUAAAUGAUAAGGUUGCUUUGAAACUGGAGUUGCCAUUUUCGUUGGAGGAGAUAAAAAAGGCAGUGUGGAGUUGCGAUGAGUCGAAAGCAUCUGGGUCGGAUGGCUUAAAUAUGUGCUUUUUUUAGAAAAUGUUGGGAUGUUGUAAAAAAUGAACUUUUUAGAAUGAUACUAGACUUUUUUAGAUCUAGAAAGCUUGAGAGGAGCAUCAAUUCUUCAUUUAUUACACUCAUAUCCAAAACCAAAAAUCCAAAUAAAAUAUCAGAAUUUAGACCAAUUUUUUUGGAGAGCUCGUUGUACAAGAUAGUGGCAAAGGUGUUAUCUCGAAGAAUUAGGGAGGUUGUUGGAGAGGUAGUGAGAGAAACACAAUGUGCAUUUAUCAGAGGUAGACAAAUAUUCGAUGAAAUUUUAAUUCUAAAUGAAAUUAUCCAUUCGAUUAAAAAGAAAAAUGGUAUGGGGGCAAUCUGAUUUUUAAACUGGAUUUUUCUAAAACAUAUUAUUGUGUUUGUUGGGAUUUUUUUGAGUUAGUUUUACUCAAGAUGAGAUUUGGCCAGAAAUGGAUAGGAUGGAUUAUGGAGUGUGUAUCUAUGGUGAGAGUAGCAAUAAUUAUCAACGGGUCAACCACAAAUUAAUUUAGAUUCCGCCGAGGUCUCCGUUAAGGACAUCUGUUAUCUUUAUUUUUAUUUAUCCUAGUGACGAAAGUGCUAUAUUUGUCGAAGGAUAAAGUAGUGGAGAUGGGGCUAAUUUAGGGCAUUCAAGAUGUUAUUCCCGUGCAGAUUUUUUCUCAUUUACAAUUCGUGGACGAUACUAUACUAUUCUUGAGAGGAGAUGAAGAAGACGUGAGAAAUGAUAAGUAUAUUUUACGGUGUUUUAAGAUCUUUUCAAGUCUUAGUAUCAAUUUCAAAAAAUCAUGUUUAGUAGGAUUUGAUGAGAAUGAAGAACUCUUAUAUCAAAUGGCUACAAUAUGUUAGUGUAAGAUAAGAUUUUUGCCUUUUAAUUAUCUAGGGAUUCCAUUGGGAGCAAAUCUGAGGAGAGUAUCCACUUGGGAUGCAAUUGUAGAGAGAUUCAGGAAGAAAUUAUCGGGAUGGAAAUGCCAUAUGCUCUCGUGGGCUGCAAGGAUUGUGUUGAUUAAUGUUGUUUUAUCUACCUUGUUGAUUUAUUUCAUGUGUAUAUUCCAAGCUCCAGUGACAGUUAUUAAAAGGACCGACAAGAUAAGGAGAAAUUUUCUUUGGGGGGGAGUAUAAAUGGUAAAAGGAAGAUGGCGAAGGCAAGCAGGAAACAUAUAUGUAAGCCAAAGGAGAAGGGAGGAGCGGGAGUGGUGAAUCUCAUAAUUAAAAAUAGAGCUUUAUUAGAAAAAUGGAGUUGGAGAUUCGCGGUUGAAAAAGAUGCAUUGUGGCAAAAACUCAUCCUAGCAAAGUAUGGUUCGCGCCCGCAACAAUGGCACUUUAGGACGACUAAUCUAAAAGUUAUGUCGAUUGUAUGGAGAGGUAUUGUAGAAAAUUCUAAAGACGCUAAUGGUUCUAAAUGGGUGGGGAACGAAGCUUUUAGAUGGAUGGUUGGGAAUGAAAGGAUGGCGGUGUUUUGGGAGGAUAUUUGGUCCUGUAGUCAACCACUAAAAAUGGAAUUUCCUAGAGUGUUCCGCUUAGCAAGACGAAAGAAAGGUAUGGUAGCAGAUUGCUCGAGCAACAAUGGUUUCACCACCAAGAGUGUGAAGUUUUCUAUGGAUGCUUGCUAUUGAUAGAAUUCCUACAAAGGAAUUUCUCGUUAAAAGAGUAGUGUAGCUUCAACACAUUUCGAUCGAAUGUCCAUAGUGUGAAAGAGUACCAGAGAGAGCAUAUUAUCUAUUCUUCAAAUGGAAAUAUAUUGAAAGGUUCUGGUAUAAAUUUUUCAAAUGGUGGGAGGUUGAAUGGAAUUCGAUAGAAGGAUUUGCUGAUUUUUAUUCUUUGUGUUAUAACGUGAAACUGUUAGGAGCCCGAAAAAGUUUAUGGUUGUUAUCGAUUUCGAUAGCUUGCUAGUCAGUGUGAAUAGCAAGAAAUGAAAUUGUCUUCGAAAGAAAGGUGACGACUAUGGAAGCUUUGAUAUUUCAAUCCAAGAUGAGGGCAAAGUUGUGGAUAAGGUUUGUAUAUAUAUGAUGAGUAAAUGGUGCAAGAGAGCUCUUGGUGGAUUUGUCCGAACAAGUGCAAAUUUGAUACAAUUAAACCAAAUCCUCUUCGUCGAUAUGACGCCCUCCUCCACAAGGCUAUCCAAGUUUCAAUGUAUGUGGGAUAGAAAAUGAGGAAGUUACAGGUUGUGGUGGAGUACUAAGAGAUAUAGAGGGUGUUGCAAGAGCUUUAUUUUCGGGUCCUAUUGUAGCUAAUGACACAAAUUCAACAGAGGUAGGGGUAGUGUUUAUAGCAUUGGAUUUGUUCUUAUCCAUGGGAUGGAAGAUUAAUAGCUCUCUUAUUGUAGAAAUUUGUUCAAAAAUGGUGUACAAUUGGUGUCUGAACAAGGAUAUGAGACCGUGGUUGUUACAAACAACAUUUUCAGUUAUUGAGAGGAAAAUUGAGCAGGUUGGUAGUGUAGUAUUCUCGAUGGCAGAUCAAAAACGUAAUGAAAUGGCUUCAACCUUGGCAAUAGCAGGUAUUAAUCGUGGUGACAUGUUCAAAGCUUGUUAGUGAGUAUUAGCUUUGAUGUUGAAUAUUAGUUUUCGAUUGUAGGAAAUGUUUCAUUGUGGUAUUUUGUAACUUGUUUCUUUUAAGUGUUGUUCUUGUUGUAUUUACAACAGAUUAGUUUGAAUGAAGCAAAAAAAAAAAAUUUUGGUGGGUACCGUGUGCCCCCUCUCUUCACGCCUUACUAUAUAAUAAUAAUAAUAAUAAUAAUAAUAAUAAUAAUAGACAAGCUUAAGAAUAUAAGAAGCCUUUACUCAUUCCCUAAGAUAAAAUUUAAUCCUCAUUAAUAUCUUAAAGAGAAACAUUUUUCCAUAAAAAUAAAAAUAAAAAAUAAAAUAAUCCUAAAUUUUAAAUGUCUUAUAUGUCAACUUCUCAAUCCAACUAUAAAUUUACUUUUUUAUAUUGUACUCUAACACUUCGAACAUGUGCUAUAUUUAUAUAGAAAAUAGUCAACAAAGUACCAAAGUAGUAGCAUCCAUGUCCAAAAUUAAUCAGAAUAAAUCAUUAAAAAAUAUCUAUUAAGAACAUUAUCACCCCCCUUAAUCAAUACUUGCCCUUAAACAUUUCAUGCAUUCAUCAUCUAAACAUAUCACAAUCAUCCAAGCCAUUUCUUGCAUUCAUCAUCUAAACAUAUCACAAUCACCCAAGCCAAUUCAACUUUCACAGUCCUCAGUUCAAUAAAAAAAUAAGCAUUAUCAAAAUUUUGACCGUACAACCGUCUCCCUCAAGCAAGCACAUAGAUUAACAAUUUAUGAUAAGUGCUAAAAGUAACAUAUUUUAACCUCGUUUUGUAACAUCUUGGAAUUUGGGGUUAGAAGUUUUGAGGUUUGUAGUGAGGGUCAGCAAGUAGGUUGAACAAUUGGGUUUAUUUUCGCGUUUUAACAUCAAAAUGAGUUUACUAAUUUGGUGGUAGAGUAUGUUACUAGUUUGCCUUGGUCUAGUGUUUGAAUCCCGAUGUGAGAAUAAAGGAAGUUUUAUUUUAAAUUUGUUUCUUUUUGUGUUAACUUAUUUUUAUUUAGAUUUUUUAUUUGAAAAAAAUAGAAGAAAAUCCCAAAAAUUUCUCACGUUUUCCACUUUCUCUUCACAUCAGUCUUUCUCCUUCUUCCAGUAAAUAAAAAUUAUAGAUUUUGAUUUUCUUUCUUUUUUUAUUGGGUUUCAAUACUUUUGUAAACCGCUGCCUUCAAAUACUAGUGGUGCUUUUGUUCUUCGUUUGAUCAGACGUCGAAUCGGGUGAGUGUAGGGAUCAUUUUGUAUUUAGGUUUAUGCGAUUAAUUCUUGGUAAUUUGAUAUAAGGUUUAGGUCGGAAAUUUUUGUAGCUUUAGUAUGUUUGCGGAACUGAGUUUCAGGUUGUUACAGUAAAGGCCAAGUGGUCGAUUCUUGGUGCUCUAAAACAUCAUUCAGGUGUGUGUUUUGAAACUGUUUAAUUUCAGUAUUGAAUUACUGUUGGAUUUUAUGGAAUUCAGCAGUUUCUAGUGUGUUUCUAAAAUUGUGUGAAUUCAGUAAUGAAUUGCUGCUGGAUUUUGGGAAAAUCUACAAAAUUCUUAUGUGUCUUGAAUGGUUUGUGAUUAGGGUUCAUUUUGCUAUUGCAAAAUUGCGAUUUCAACUUGUUUCAAUGUGGUUUCAUGACCAUACUGGUGGGCACACGAGUGUGUGCAGCACACAGGUGUGUGUAGCACAUGGGUAGUCCACACAGUCAUGUAACAUUGGGAAUUAGGGAUUUUGGAUGUUUUUUAGUGCCACACGGUCGUGUGGUGGCUAUUUGGGGAUUUUUUUCAUUUUUCACAUGGACAUGUGCCUUCGACACACGGUCGUGUCCCUUAGCCACACGGGUAUGUGAGAUUCCCACACAAGCGUGUCUACUAUGCUCCUUAUUUUGACACUUUUGGACAAUGAGUUACGCGGAUUAUCAACACGGCCAUGUAACUCGGUCACACUGAUGUGUCUCCUCCAUACGAGCUUGUGUAGCUUGCACAUGGGCGUGUAAACCACCACAUGGCCUAGUAGACCUCCACACGACCUAGUCACUCCCACACGGACGUGUGGCUCUGUUUUGGAAAUUUUUGUUUUGUGUUAAAAUUUGGCUCGUUUUGUGUUUCUGUAUGUUUCGACCCUCAGUUAAGCCUUGGUAACUGUAUUGAGGACUCCGCUAUGAUAUGGAUUUAAAUGUGUAUGUGUGUGUUCAGUUUAGGUAAUUGGGAAAUGUAUUAAUGUGUAUGUGUAUGUGUAUGUGUGUUUUGCAAAUUUUUGUUCUGUGACAAUUGGUAUUGGACUAAGUUUUAAAGCUACUAGUUGAGAUGAAAAAAGGAGUAAAAGAGCAGAUUGAACCCAGAGAGACCCAUGAGAGGGGCAGAAAAGAUAGUAGAUCGAGGGAUAUGCUGUCGACUUUGAAAGGUCAAGUGACUAAUCUCGAGGAAUCCAUAAUUUGAGUUCUUGAACUCAAAAUAAGAGAAUUUAACGUGCAUUUUGAAAUUAAGAAAUCGAUAUUUUAUUAGUCAGAAAAAAUUUUAACCCAAAAAUACUUAAACCCUAUCUAAAAUUAUAUUAUAAAUAAACUAAUUUUUCAAAUUUAAAAACUGAGUAGUUCAAUAAACUUGAAUUAAUAAAUUUUCCCUAUUUGUACAUUUAUGACCACACAUGAUAAUGGGUAAGAUAAGGUCCUAACGGACUUUGUUUAAUAUAUAAAGGUAAGUGAUAAUUGUAGCAAUUCUUGCUACUGGAGCAUAGGUAUCAAUGUAAUCAAUACCUUGUUUUUGUGUAAAACCUUUGGCUACCAACCUUGCUUUAAAUUUAUCAAUGGUUCCAUCGACCUUCAUUUUCUUUUUGAAGAUCCAUUUACAACCUAUUAGUUUGGAACCUGGUGGAAGAUCAACUAAGAUCCAUGUUUGAUUUCCCAUUAUUGAAUCCAUCUCAUCAUUUAUUGCUUCCUUCUAAAAAGUAGAGUCUUGAGAUUUCAUUGCCUCUUCAAAUAUAAUAGGAUCAGAUUUCGUAUUAUAAAAAUAAGGUAUCUUAUUGCAUAUACAUUCACCUUUACCUUCUACAAGAAACAUAAUGAAAUCUGGUCCAAAAAUUUUUGACCUUUUAAUCCUCUUACUUCUUCUUAAUUCUUGAGAAGAUUCAUCAUCAUUAUCAAUUUGUUCCAAUGGGAUCUUUUUCUCAUUUGAACAAUGAAUCAAUUGUUGUGGCUGUAAUUGUAACAACUCGGUUUUAGUUAAAUUAGAACAAUGGUUUUGAAACCACAAAUCUGAGGUCAAAAAUUCAUUUUAAUAUUAUUUUUGGUAUUUACAGCAUGUGAUUAUAUAUGUGUAAAAGUUUCGUCAAGAAAUUUUACUGUUUGAAUGCUUAAUUCGGCAAAAGGACUAAAUUGCGUAAAAUGUAAAAGUUGUGUUCUAUAAGCUAAAGGUGUCUAAGAGCUAUAGAACAUUAAAGUAAAGGUCCUUAAGUGGUAAAUAGGAUAUUUAUGAGUUAGUGUAUGAUAGUGGAGUGACAUUUGGUAUAAUUACUAAUGUUUUUAAUGGUAAAAUGGUAAAUAAGUAAAUUAAUGAUAAAAAAAAAAAUUUAAAGCCACCAUCUUUAUUCAUCUUCCCCAACCGAAAUUUACAGCAAUAAGGAAGGCUUUGGGAGCUUGAAACUUUUGGUUAAUAAAUCUCUUGUGUGUAAGUGAUUUUUAAGCCCGUUUUUGAUAAUUUUUAUGUUUUUGAGAUUGUUGCUUCAUGUUCUAGCUAGCCCAUGCCCUAAUUUUUGAAUUGGUUUGAUGAAUUUGUGAGUUACCAUUGAUGAUAGAUUGAUGUUUUUGAAUGUUGAUGAUGGAAAAUGAAUAAUUGUUGAUAGAUAAAUAUGUUUUGUAAAGUGAUUUUUGGCAAAAAUGUCAAAUGGAGAUAAAUUGUGAAAUAUGCCAGUUGAGUGGUUCAAAUGUGAAAUAAAUAAAAGUUUUGGUCUGCUAGGGGCACUAUAGUAAUUCGGCUAAGCUUGGGUUAUAUUGAAUUGUGUAAAUUUUGUAUAUUUGUCAAAUAGGUACUAAAUUGAAUAAAUGUGAAACUUUAGGGGCUAAAGUGCAAAAAUUUUCAAAUAGGUAUUUUUGGAUGAAAUUGAAUGAAUAGGUGAUUAAAUGAGUUAAAUUUGAAUUCACGUAAAUCAACAAAGAAAGAAAUCAGAUUUAGAUCGGGGGAAAUCGAAAGUUGACGAGUAGUUGAUCCGAUCCGUUCGUUUCUGUAUGAGGUAAGUUCAUAAGUAAAUAAAUAUUUUUGAAUUCAAAUAUAUAUGUUUUGUAUAUUGCCGAAUUGAUUUAUAUGUAUAUAUAUACAUUGUCGAAUUGAUUUGUCUAUGUAUAUAUAUAUUGCCGAAUUGAUUUGAGCAUUGGAUGACUGGUUUCGUGCAUGUAUUGAUUUAAUUACGAAGUCGAAAGCUCCGAAUGAAUCUUAGGAAAUGUAUAGGAUGAUGAUUUCAUGAUAUUAGGACUUCCGAGGUGUGAUUUCGUGUAAGACCAUGUUUGAGACAUUGGCAUCGAAGUGAGAAAAUCUAUAAGACCAUAUCUGGGAUAUGGCAUCGGCAUUGAUUUAAGAUCCCGUAUAAGACCAUAUCUGGGAUAUGACAUCGACAUCGAUUCGAGAUCCCAUAUAAGACCAUAUCUGGGAGAUGGCACUGGCAUUGAUUUGAGAUUUCGUAUAAGACCAUAUCUGGGAUAUAGCAUCGUUAUGAGACUUCGUGUAAUACCAUAGCUGGGAUAUUGGCAUCGAUAUGAGAUUUCCAUGUAAGACCAUGUCUGGGACAUGGCAUUUGUACGAUACAUUAUGUACGAGUUUUCCCGAGUAUCCUUAGUAUUCCAAGUGGUUCAACAGGUAAUCCAAAGAUUAUGUCAAAGAAAAGACAAGGUAUGAUCAUAUUGAAUGGAUACAGGUAUGUACGAAAAAUUCAUGAGUAAUGAACUCAAUGUAUUUUGGACAUUUGAUAAGAAUGUAAAUGAGUAAGUCAUACUUGUAAGAAUGAUAUUGUGAUGACCUUGUGAUUAUAGGUCUAUACUUAUGAGGUAUAGAUUUGUGGUAAAUUUGAUUGAUGAUUGUGCGAGGCUUUUAGGCCAAAUUAAAUUGAGACAUGAUAUGUUUAAGUCUUUGUUGUUGAUGUAUAGGUGAAAUUGGCCAAUGAUUGGCAUGUAAAUAUAUGAUAAUGAUUAGCUAUUGGAAUGGCUAGUUAUGGAUAUGUUUUGGUGUUAUGUGUGUCUAAAUAAAUGUUAAUACAAAGAAAUCAUGAAAGAGUAAAAUUUGCAAUAAAAUAGUUUUGGACAACAGCUGUUGUAUAAAUUUGAAAAAUCACCAAAAAUUGUAGGAAUUGCAUUAGAGGUUGAAUAAGACAUUAAAAUGAAUAUUAUUGAGUCUAGUUUCACAUAGAAGAAACGGUGUAAGCAAAAAAAUAUGAUAUUAUGAGAUAUUUGAAUUUUUGUGAGAUAAGGUUAGAAUGAUUUCGGAAUCCCCAAUUCUGAUUUUGGAAAAUUAUUAAACAUUGUAUAAAAACAAUUAUGGGUUAUAAUUUAUAUGAUUAAAAUUCUUAAUGAGUCUAUUUUCAAUAGAAACAAACGGGAAUAUCAUUCUUAAUUUUGAAAAUUUUAUGGUAAGAAGAUAUGUGAGUCUAGUUUUGGUAAAAUCAAGUGGAUCUUAAUUUGGAGUUCUGUAGCGCAAGAUAUAAAUAAUUUAGGUAAAAUCAAGUGGAUCUUAAUUUAAAGUUCUGUAGCACAAGAUAUAAAUAAUUUAGUGACUAUCACUUGAGUAGACAGCUUGAUGUAAACAUGAGUAAAUAGUGCAACUCUGUGCAAUUUUGAUUGUAUUACCUUGAGAUAUGUUGUGAGGAUUGGUAAAAGCAUGCUAACAGAUUUCUUAUUGUUUACUUACCAACUUACUAAGCUAUAUAGCUUACCCCCUUUCUUUCUUUUUCCUAUAGUGUCACAGAUACUAGCUCGGGUUGGAGAUCGUCGAAGAUUCUAUCACACUAUCAAGCUAUUGAUCGAUAUCAACAUAUUCAAACAUUUUAAGUUUAUGGCAUGUAUAGGGACUCAGUCAUUUUGUGUAUGAGUUAUUAUGUUUUGGCCAAAUGUUUUGGUUUGUAAUGGUUAAAGGUUUGAUUUUAUGUGUAGCCAUGUAACUUGACUUAUAUUGGCUAAUUGGUUGUAAGCCUAUAUAUAUAUUAAUUAUAUGCCAAUGUCUUGUGAUGUGAGUUGCGUUUGCAUGAUACAUGAUGAGUUGUGGGUAUGGCCUAAAUUCCUAAUGGUUGUAUGUGCUGCAAGUCUUGAUGUCCAAUGGCUAAGUUUUACUCAAUGGUAUGGUAUGUUAAUUAGAUAUAAUUAUGCUAGUAUAAGAGUUGUUGAUGAUGUAUAUGUAUAAAUAGUUUUAAAUUGAAUGAAAUUUUAUGGCCCGGUUUUGUAUGGUUGCUUAUGUUUAAGACAGGUAAUGCCUCGUAUCCUGUCCCGACGUCGGACACAGGUAAGGGAUGUUACAGUAAUUGUCUUGAUAUAAAAUUAAAUCUAUUUUAAUCAAAAAUAGCAUCUCUUGAUUCAAUAACAGUAUUAAUUGAAACUGAAUCAUUUGGUUCAAUUACCAUGAACCUAUAUGCCUUGCUAUUAUGUGCAUAACCUAUAAAUAUGCAUUCAAUUCCUCUUUCACCUAACUUUUUACAUUUAGGUGUUGGAACUUUGACAAUAGCUCUAUAACUGCAAACCGUCAAAUAAUUAAUGUUUGGUUUCCUUUUCUUCCAUUGUUCAUAGGGGGUUAUUUUAGUUUCCUUAUUAGGAACUCUAUUCAAUAUAUGACAAGCUGUUAGAACAGCUUCUCCCCAAAAACAUUAUCCAAGACUUGAAUAUGAUAACAUUGAAUUUACCAUUCUAGUUAAGACUUUAUUUUUCCUCUCAAGUACGCCAUUUUGUUGUGGGGUGUAAAGGGAUGAAACUUGAUGGACAAUUCUAGUGGAUUCAAAAUAACUUGGAUUAUAGUAUUCUCCACCUCUAUCUGAUCUUAAGCACUUGAUAAAUGAUUCACACUGAAGUUCAACUUCAGAUUUAUAACUUUAAAUUUAUCAAACGCUUCAUCUUUUGAAUGCAAUAAAUAUGCAUAACAAUAUCUAGAACAAUCAUCAAUAAAAGUAACAAAAUAUUUCUUUCCACCUAACGUAGGAGUAUUAUGCAUGUCACAUAAAUCAUUAUUUAUCGAAUCAAGCAAUUUUGUUUUCCUUUUAACCUUAGGGAAAGGGUUUCUUGUAAUUUUAGUCAACAUACAUGUAUUACAUUUUUCAAUAUUAUUAUUAAAAAUAUGAAUUAAAUUUAACUUAUACAUGUCAUUCAAUUUUCUAUAAUUCAAAUGACCUAAUCUAUAAUGCCACAAAUAAAAAGAUUCAACCAUUUAAGUAGAAAUAGUAUUUUUAUUCUUGAGUUUGAACAUACUCAUACAUAUACCCUUUCCCCAUAAAAAUUCCUCCCUUAGACAAAAUAAACUUAUCUGCCUCAAAAACAAGUUUGAAACCAAACUUAUUCAACAAACUUUCAGACACUAAAUUCUUCCUAACUUCUGGUACAUAAUAUACAUCAUUUAAGGUUCAAACUUUUCCAGAAGUGAAUUGUAGUUCAAGAAACCCUUUGUCUUUGAUUGCUGCGGUGUAAGAAUUUCCCAUGUACAAGACAUUGUCAUUUUCACAUUGUGUGAACUUUGUGAACAUGCUUUUGUCUUUCACACAUGUUUGGUUACUCCGGUAUCAAUCCACUAUGUAUUAUCAUCUUGUGCCAUAUUAAUUUCAAAUAUCAUUGCAACGAACUUUUCGUUAUUAUCAGCAUUAGAAGAUGAUUUCUUCCUUAAAAAUCGACAUGCAUUCUUGAAAUGUCCUAGCUUUCUACAAUGAUAGCAUGAGCCUUUUUGUUCCUUUUUGAACUUAGGUGCUCUAUCAGUCUGUUUGAACUUUCUCUUCAAUGGUUUAGUAGUUUGAACUUCCUCCGUAACAUGCACUUUGGCAUUUUCAAAAUUUAGGUUAUGAUCUUGUUUUUGAUAUUCUUCUUCAAUACGAAGAUGAUUUGCCAAAGCCUCAAGAGAUAUUUCCUCUUUCUUAUGUUUUAGACUUCUUUUAAAGUCUUUCCAAGAUGGAGGAAGUUUGUGUAUUAUGGAGGAUACAACAAUCAUUUCAUCCAUUUUCAUAUCAUAUUGUUUGAACUGAUUUAGCAUCUUUUCAAUAUCAUGGAAUUGUUCCAUAACAGAACGACCAUCAACCAUUUAAUAAUUAUUGAAACGACUGACAAGAAAUUUCUUACUUGUAACAUCUUCGGUCAUGUAUCUUGUCUCCAAUUUUUCCCAUAAUUCUUUAGCGAUGACCUCGUUUUGGCAGGUGUCGAACAAACCAUCAAAUAAACCAUUCAAUAUGUGGCCCAUGCACAUGUAAUCAGCAUUGUCCCAUUUUUGUUUUUCUAUAAUUGUAGCAACAGAUUAGUUAUCAUUCUCUUUAGGUUUAGGAGUAUCCAAAACAUAAGCAAUCUUCAAAGUUGAUAAUAAGAAGUGCAUCUUUUUUUGCCAUCAUCGAAAAUUGCCACCAUCAAACCGAUCAAGUUUGACAAAGUUGGAAGCCAACUCCCUUAGUAUUCCACUUUCAUGUGUUAUGGUAGUCAUCAUGAAUUAUAGAACCUUAAAAUUGUUAGUACAAAACUCUGGUGAAGAAAAUCUUGAACACACGAACAAAACUCGAACAAAAAAAAGAAAUAGGACAAGGCUCCAAGGCGUGUAUCAAGUCACUAUCUUUAAGGUUAUAUUCACCCCCACCUAUAUUCGGUGUGCAAAUGAGUUCCAAGAAAAUUAACCUCAAGGAUACAAUGAAGCUAAUGACUAUUUACAUUUUGGACUGACGAGAACAGCCCACUACACACUGAGCAAUGUAUGACAAGAAACUCAAUUUCUAUAAAGGAUUUCUAUUGAACUGCACAAUUAACAUACACCAAUAUGACAUCACCACAAGAAGAGCACACUUUACUAAUGAUAGAAAACCAUAGCCCAAAGCAGAAAACAAGAAGUGAGAGAGCAAGUUAUAUCUUAAAACAAACACUACUACGAAACCCUUCUCAACAUGGAAAACACCACAUCAGAAACUAUGACAAAUAGCGGCUCCACCCAUAAUCCAAAACCAAGCAACUAACUAUAGUGAUCACCCUUGCUAAAAAAACCUUUACAUAAAUCAACGAGCAAGCAUUGGACUUCACCCCAAGUAAGAAAAUGAUCCAUCAAACCUUGAAAAAGCUUUAGACACCAUCACUUAUCAGUAGAUAAGAAACCUAAAAUAGAGCCAACACCAGCAACACCUUAUCAAGACCAACAGCUAGAAAAAAUCUCAAUGGAACCGAUAUCAAAGGAAACUCAAUGUCAUAUCGGCUUCCAUAAAACUUUCAAACCACCCCACUAUAGCUCUUAAGACUGACGAUAACCGUACUUUAAAAUCACCAAAGCAUCCACUUCGAGAGACACCUUCAAUCAUAACACAAUGAAUAGACUCAAAUUCAAUUCUAUAAUCACAACAUACCAAAAAAGACAGAAGCCAUUUUCAAUAAAAUAACAGCCUCAACCGAUCAGUAGGCCAUAAAAGGCACAAAACACCAUAAUGCAUCAUCCAACCUCAGCAACAUACAAAUUGUUUAUCAUGGUGUUAUAAUCAAUCUUGGGUUCAAACCCACUAUAAGUAUAUUUUUAUUGGUUUCUGUUAAAAUAAAAAGACUAAAAUACUCAAUUAACUUGUGACACCAACUUAGUUAGGAGCUUAAAUAAUAAUAAGUAUAGAUACAAUUGAUGAAUAUAAUAAAAUAUGCAUAUUAAAAUAAAAAUAUAUAAACGAUAUUAAAAUAAAGUUUUAAUGGUGAUAUACUUGAAGUUUUAUUAUUGUGAUUGUCUUAGGUUCAAAUCCCCUCAUAUUCAUUUUUAAUUAUUUUUUUUAAAAUAAAAAGAUUAAACUACCCUCGAACAAUAUAACUUAUUCUAAUUAUGAAAAAAUAUUUUCGUAAUUUCUCUAACUGAAUUGGCGACACCAAUUCAGUUAGGGACUUAAAUAAUAGUAUAGAUAAUAUAAUUUUUGGCCCUCAACUUGGGAAUUAGAUGCACUUUAAUAUUGUAUUAUUUUUUUCCAAUUUUAUAACUAAACUUGGCAAGUAAAUUCAAGUGGUCAUUGAACUUGGAUUCUAUCAACAUUUGAUGAUGUGACUGGUGUUAUUGAAACAAAAUCAGAUCAUUCGGUCAAAUUGACUGAACUGAAAAGCGAUUGGUAUAACGGUCCAAACAAAGGGGUUGAACUGAUUGAAUCGGAAAUUGGUCAAAAUUGACAAUUUAAAAAAUUAUUUUAACUUUAUUUUUAGAUUUUUAGGAAUUUUUAAUUAAUUAUUUAAUUAUUAUUGGUCUAGCAGUCGAACCGAUUGAAUAAGAAAUCAAUAGUUUUAUCUUUUAACCACCGGUCCGAUUAUUAAAACACUAGAUGCGAUACUGUGAGAUUGUAGCACAUCAUCACCUAAAAUUUUAUAUAAUUUUUUAAUUUUCAAGUGAUAUAUGUGAUCAUGUCACAUAAUCAAACUUUUAAAUUUUGUAUGUUCAGGGAUUAAAAUAGACCUAAUUGUUAAAUUCAAAUGAUAAAGUGGGCUAAAAAAAUCCUGGUAGCCAAUAAUAGAAAAAAUAUACUAUUUAAAAAAUAAUAAUUAAAGCGGACCCACUUGGUGAUAUUGCUCUUUUUCCAUAGUUCCCGACAAUAUUGUAUCCGUCUAUAUGUCUUAAAUAUGCUGCAACCAGCAAAAUUUGUUUUCUAAUAUUUGGCAAUUUUUACUUGCAAGACAACGAUGAAAAACACUUAAAUAAUCAGUACAGUCCUCCUCAAUAAUUGUAAGUCGUAAUAGACCUGAUAUUUUGGCUUAUAAUAAUGUCUCACAUUUACUUUCAUAUCUAAUCUUGAUGUUUUUAACAAUAGCGUAGAGUAGUGGACAUGCUCUUAAAUUAAUAAUAGUAAAAUUAUAUUUUAUCCUUAAAAAAAAUAAAAUUUAAUUUAAUUCAAUUCUUUAAAAAUUAUAAAGAUGUAUACUAUUAAAAAUUAUAUUUUGUUUAUUUACGUUAUCACGUGUUACCUGUGUAGAAAAUGAAGAUUUUGACAAUAAAAAAGAAUAGUGUGGUGAGAAUGGAGGGUUAGAAAGGAAUAAUGCUUCAUUAUUUUAUUCAUUCCCAAAAAGAGGGAUAUAUGAUAUAAGUAAAUGCAAGGAAUGAACGCGUAUAAAAUUUAGACAUGUUACUUAUCCACCUGAAUGGCAUCAUAGACUGGUGUUUUGGCUUUUAUAAUAUUAAUCUCUCACAUAUACGACCAACCUACCCUGAACAUAUGACGAACCCAUUUGCGUCAUUGCAAACGCAAUUUUGGUCCUUAUGCUAUAAUAAAGGAGGAAAUGGUUCUGGUUUAGAGAAGAAAAAUGAAUGCGCUGAUGAUGCUUCUAAUUCUUGCUCCAUGUUGCUUCUUCUUCAUAGCUUUAAUAAAGUUACUUUAUGAUUACCUAUGGAUACCCCUCCGUAUUCAGCAUAUGCUGAAUUCACAAGGGAUCAAAGGACCUCCUUACAGAUUCAUCCAUGGCAACAACAAGGAAGUUACCAAAAUGAAACAAAAAGCUUUAAGUAAAUCUGUGGGCUUGACAGAUGAUUUAUUUCCCAAAGUACAGCCACAUAUUUACACCUGGACCAACAGAUAUGGUAAGAUCCAUGCUUGUUUUUUUCAAUAUGAUUUAUAACUUGUAGUUCUAAGAAAAGGUAGACCCUUUUUCUUUUCAUGUUAUUAGGGAAGAAUUUUGUUUAUUGGAACGGUGCUCGAGCUGAAUUGGUGAUUUCAGAGCCUGAAUUAGUCAAAGAGGUUCUGAAAAAUAGUGAACAAAUUUUUCAGAAAAAGAAACUUUCAGAUAUUGGUAGGAAGUUCUUGGGGAAUGGGCUUAUAUUCAUUGAGGGGGAAAAAUGGGCAAAGCAUCGAAAGCUGGCCAAUCACACUUUCCAUGGGGAAAGCCUAAAGGUAAGUCUUCCAAAUAUAUAAACUAGGUGUAAUUAAUUUACAAGAAUUAUACAUAGACUACAAUAUUUUGGUAAAAUUUUGUAUUGUUAGCUAAGGAUAAAUUUAUUAUGGACGUUGAAUUUUAGACUUAAUGUUGUAAAAUAAAAGAUUGAGUAAGAGAUUUAAAAAAAUAUAUAAUUUCAUUAAAAAGCACUCUUUUAACUUAUUGACUUGGAUUAAAAUCUAGUUUGAAAAGGUGUUUAUUUGUCAAAUUGUUUAAUUUGAAAUCAUGAUUUUGUGUUGAAAAGUGUUUUUCUGACUCCAAUUAUAUAUGUCACUACUACUUACAUAUAGGAGGAUUGUUUGGGCAGAACAUGACUCCAGCAAUAAUUGCUAGUGUUGAAACAAUGCUAGAAAAGUGGAAAGGCCAAUAAGGCAAAGAGAUUGAACUGUACCAAGAAUUUAGGUUAUUAACUUCAGAAGUGAUUUCCAGAACAACAUUUGGUAGCAAUUACAUGGAAGGGGAGAAGAUAUUUGCCAUCUUGAGCAAGUUGGCAGUAAUUAUGAGUCGAAAUGUUUCCACGACUAGAAUUCCUUUGAUCAGGUAUCUUCCCUCUAAGCUUAAUUAAUCCCAACUUUUACCUUGAUUUCAACUAGCUUUUGAAUGCAACUUUUAGACUUUCAUUCCCCAUGGAUUUGGUUUUCUCCUUAUAUAUAGCUGACCCUGGUUUGCUUUUGCAGCAAGUUGUGGAAAUCUGCUGAUUUGCUAGAGUCUGAAAAACUUUCAAAAGAAAUAAAAGAUCGUCUGAUGAAGAUUGUUAAGAAAAGAGAAGACAAAGUUGUGAAUGGAGAAGUCAAUAGCUUCCGCAGUGAUUUUUUUGGAUUACUUCUAAAUACCUAUCAUGAUUCGGAUGCGAAAAACAGGAUUUCAUUGGAAGACGUGGUAGCUGAAUGCAAAACAUUCUUUUUUGCUGGACAAGAAACUGUUAAUUCCUUACUUGCAUGGAUAGUCUUGCGCAUUUGGCAAUCCAUGGAGAUUGGCAAGAAAAAGCGAGAAGAGAGGUGGUUGACAUAUUUGGUAACCAAAAUCCACAUCUCGAAGGCAUCGCCAAACUCAAAAUAGUAAGAAAACUAUCUAACUGGGAAUUCAAAUAGCCAUCGACAUGAUGUAAUCUGACAUAUUUUUCUAUUUUCCAAACAGAUGACCAUGAUCAUCAAUGAAGCUCUAAGAUUGUAUGGUCCAACAGGUGUCCUCCAAAGAACAGUUACAAGAGAAAUUCAGUUGGGAAAGCUACUCUUGCCUGCUAAUAUAGAUAUUCUGCCUUUAAAUAUUGGACUUCAUCGUGACCCUCACUUUUGGGGAAAUGAUGUGCAUCAUUUUAAACCUAAGAGAUUCGCUGAAGGGAUUGCCAAAGCUACCAAUUACACCGCGGCUGCCUUUUUCCCCUUCGGAUUAGGACCUCGAUCUUGUGUUAGUAUGACAUUUGCAAUGAUAGAAACCAAGAUUGCUCUCUCCAUGAUUCUACAACGCUACACCAUUAUCCUUUCCCCUGCUUAUGUCCACUCUUCAAUACUUAUUCUCAACUUUCAACCCCAAAAUGGAAUUCAAGUAAUACUUGAGCCGAAUACAUAGUAAUGCUUGAAGUACAUAGCCGUUAAGAACUAGAGGUUUAACAUGGUUCAUGUAUUUUACUUUUAAGAGAUGAUAUUUAAUAUGUUUAAAGGUUCUAGCAUUCAUCAUUAAAGACAAACGACUUGUGGCCAUGUUUACUUUUUAUCUAUCAUGCAAUGUCGAUAAGAAGAUAUCAUUUACCUUUUAGUUGGGUUAUGAAUUCUACUAUUGUGAAUGAUGUUACAUACUAUACAAGUUCUAUACCCAAUGCACCAACUUUCGGUUCUUUAUCUAUUUGAACUUAGCCUUUUACUUGCAUCAAAGUAUACGAGUCAUGCUUGUAUAGUCCACCAUCCACUCAAGAUUAAGGUAUAUCACACAAUGAACAUCACAAGUAAAUAGAUCCAUAAAUGGAUCUAGAAUCUAUUCUACUUGGGUCUUUUCUGAUGUAUUGUCAGUCCAGUCAAUCACAUCUAUGUCUUUAUCUUUUAGGAGUUAUCUGUUCCAUUUAAGACAAAGCAUCUCCACAAUUGGGUUUGAUAGACGACAUCUUAGUUUUUCAAUCGAUUUGCUCAAUUUUGAUUAGACUAAGGACAUAUUUAGGUUUAUAUACUAAUACAAGCUAUCUUUCCAUAUCAAGAUCUGACCACGUAAUACCGCUUAGUAUUAAUUUAAACAAUAGAUAACCAAUGAGCCAAUAUUUGCUUCCAUUUUGCUUUGUGUGCAAAAACAUUGAGGACAAUAUGCAAAGGGUAUUAAUGUAAUUAAUAGAUAUUAUUAAACCAAUUUGUUUGAAAAAUACAAUUAUAUAAAACGAAUAUAGUACACUUAGUGUACCAAAUCCAACAAUGGCCACUACAGCUAGCAUUGCCAUAAGCAACAUAACUUGACAUUUUUGGAGUUGAAAUCUUUUUAACAAAAUCAGUUGGGCAACGACUUAGAUGAUUUUGUGGACAUGUGUUGGCUCAUAUUUGAAGAUCCAUUUUGUGGAGCAAUCAAUCUGUUAAGAUUAAAUCAAUCUGAAUCAAGCAAAUCGGAUCACUUAUUUUGUGGAGAUUGGCUUGACUUAUUUUAAAAUUUAUUUUCGAAAUCUUUGAUUUAUUCUUAACUUUCAGGAUAUUUGUAAAAUUUGAUAACACUCUAGAAUAACGUAUUUUUAUGUAUUAAUUAUGUAUUUAUUUUGAAUAUGAUCCUGCUAAUUUGAGCUAUUUAUGAUAUUUUAUCUCAUAGGGACUAAAUUUGAGACAAAAGCAAAAUUAAGGGCCAAAAGUGUGAAUUUAGAGAUAAAAUGGGCCAAUGUGCGACACAAAUAAAAGUUGGUGCCAAAAGUGCAAGCAUGGAGGACACAAGGGUUGAAAUGCAAAAAAAAGAGAUUUUAUUCUAUCAAACUCUAUUUUAAUUAUAUUAGGAUAAUUAAUAUUAAGAUAAUUAUUAAGGAUUAUCUAAUUUUAGGAUUUUAUUUUAUUUAUCUUCAAUUAAAUGUAUUUAUCUUUUGGAGUUUAAGUAGGAUUAGACUAUCUCCCCUAGCACUAUAAAUAGGGGUAAAGUAACUCAAAAAUGAUGUAAACACUCUCUCCCCCAAAAGUCUAGGCUUUUGUUCUCCUCAUAUUUCCUUUCAAUAAAAUCUCUAUUUUUAUUUUAUUUAUUUUCUUUUUCACCACAACCAUGAGCCACUAAACUCAUCUAGCUGAAAGUUGUCGAUAUUUUCCAAAAAGGGUUCUCGAGGCCUAGAGUCCGUACUUAGCCUCCUCGCUGAGUAUUCAUUGUUUCUCUGCACUACGGGGCUGACGCUUCCGUCCAUGUCCCUUAAGAAGUAAGAUUUUCAAUGUAUGCAAAGGCGACUGCUUUGUAUGUUUUAGGAAGAUUGCAUAGUCAAUUCGUUAACUUACUGCGUUAGAGGUUAGUGAGCCCAAGAGACAAAAUGGCAUGGGAUUCACCAUUGAGAAUCGCUGAUCUAGCAUAAGACGAUCCCAUAGAAGCAAUUGUUGGCUAGAGUCAGGUUUCACUAAAUCGUAAGUCUAAAUCCUUAGAGCUGGUGGUCGUAGGCGUCCUCUUCCACUAUAACUGGCUUAUUCGGUUUAGGAAGGAUCAUCUAAAAGUUGAGGAUUGAACCCAAGGCGGAACGAGAAAGCUGGAGGUUAGAAUCUCCCAUAAGAAUUUUCUUUCUCUUAACUUUAUUUUUAAUUUCUCGAAUUUUUGAUUCAAUAUUCUUAAUUUUGUUUUUAUUUUAUUUUUCGUUUCCAGACCCAAACCUUUAAUUCUAUUUUUUUUAUUUUUUUUCCAGGAACGCAGGUUUUCUCGGGAAAGAUUCUGCCUGGGAUUUCACAAAAUAAGAUAUUGUGCAAAUCCAGUCCCUAAGGAUUUUACCUUACUUUCCUUUUACUAUUCUUUUUCAUUAUUUAUUAGGGAUAGGAUAUUUUUUGUGCUUUCAACAACCGCAUUAGUAAAGUUUUUUUUACGAGGCUAUUUUUUGUGGGAUAUUGAUUCGAAUUGAUCUUUAUCUUUGCAAACAUUAAAUUCUUAUAUAUUAGAGGCUUGUGUAAGUUAAAAUAAGAUAGAGUUUCUAUUGCACUUAUUUUUUUCAUUGAGGAACUUGUAAUUGAUAGUGCAUUAAGAGUGUAAAAUAAGUUUGUUGCUUGGUUUUACAGCCAAAAUUCUCAAGGGAAGAACUUAGUGGUGAAUGAUUUAGAUAUUUAGAUACAAAAGUGAGGUUGCUAUACCGAGUUGUGAUAGGACUUAAAUAACUUGUUGUCUUGGGAUUAAAAAUAAUGGAUUUACUCAUUAAGUUAGGUUCCAUAGACAUAGAAAAAUCGAUAUGCAUAAACAAUCAUUUGUGUUCUAUUUUUUGUUGUUGUGUUCAUCAUAGUGGCAUCAAAGGUUGCCAUUACAACCAUCACUUUGUCAUCAAUUACUCACUUUAUUUUUUUAAGCAAUUAUCAACUACAUGCGCCAAGAGAAUGCUUGUUUCCAGUACUAUUGAUCAAAAUUUUGUAGGAAGCAUAAUGACAAAAAAGGAAAUGAUUACAAUCAACCCCUUAUGUAACAAUUCCAUUUGUAUGUUUGCAUGUUAUAAAAUGGUGGUUGUUAUAUACUACAACAUGUUGUUAUAAAAAGAUAAUUAUUGUAAACCUAAAAUAGAAUUUACAUUGCGAAUUACUAUCAUAUAAAGAAGGUGGGAAUUAUAUUAAAAAAGGAAAGUAGAAACCAAUUCAACAAAAUUAAAAGAUGUAUAAUAGGUGCAUGCAUUAUUACCUUUAUAUUUUAUUUUACAUUUUUCACAUGAUUAAUCGAUAUGAGUUUAAAUUAAAUUAAUUAAUUUAUCAUGUGUCAUUAAAUUCAAGUAAUUAAUUUAUAAGAUUAUGAUGUUCCAAAUUUAUAGUAGAAUAUUUAAUUAGAGAACUUAAUAGUUUAUUGAAUUGAUAUCUUUAAUUCCACUCAUUGAAGAUUUUGUCAUGUGAAAUUUAAACAUUUUAUUAAAAUAAUAUUUUAUGAUUGUUUAUGAUAAACUUAGGAUUUUUAAUAGUGUUUAUAUAUGUAUUAUGUUAAGAUACAUAAUGAUAAAACUAGAGUUUGUGGUAUGUUUUGAGAUGAUAGGCUUCACGAUUAUGUGAUUUAUUGUCCUUAGCUAAUUCAAAUAUAGAUUAAUGAGGUUGGUUUAAUAUAUGUUGUAGGGAACAACGAAAAUGGGAAAAAAUUAAAUAUUACCCUAAAACAAAUUGAUAAUUAAUAUAGUUAAAUUAAAUCCAUUUUGUUUUGGCAAAUGAAAAUCAUUGGUUUAAAAGGUUUGAGAAUUGAGGAACCUUUGCAAAACAUAAUGCGAUAUCAUCACUGUUUAUAGGAGCUGAGUAUAAAUAUUCUCUUUUCAUGUCUUUGUUGUUGGGUUUUUAGGUCUUUUUGUGACAAUUAUCAUUCCUCUCAUUUCAAUAUUUAUGAUAAUAAUACCUGUAAAGCACGUUGGUCAUGUCUUAUUUUUACUAUUUAUGUAAACAUGAUUCCCGUAUAAACUAUACUAAAAUUCGUAUUAUUGUAGUACUUAUUAUUAAAGUUUCAGUCCUGUGACAAUUGGUAUUGGACUGAGAUUUGAAGCUACCAGUUGAGAUGACAAAAGGAGUAGAAGAGCAGAUUGAACCCAGAGAGACCAUGGGAGGGGCAGGAGCUAUUUAUAUAUUUUUGAGAUGUUGAUAUCUUCCAGAGCCAUUUAUGACCACACACGAUAAUGGGUAAGAUAGGGUCCUACCUGACUUAUGGUUUAUCUGUUUUGAAGGGGGAAAUGGUUUUGUUUUAGAGAAGAAAAAUGAAUGCGUUGAUGAAACUUCUAAUUCUUGCUCCAUGUUUCUUCUUCAUAGCUUUAAUAAAGUUACUUUACGAUUACCUAUGGAUACCUCUCCGUAUUCAGCAUAUGCUGAAUUCACAGGGGAUCAAAGGACCUCCUUACAGAUUCAUCCAUGGCAACAACAAGGAAGUUACCAAAAUGAAACAAAAAGCUUUAAGCAAAUCUGUGGGCUUGACAGAUGAUCUAUUUCCCAGAGUACAUCCACAUUUUUACACCUGGACCAACAGAUAUGGUAAGAUCCAUGCCUGUUCUUUCACUAUGAUUUAUAACUUGUAGUUCUAAGAAAAGGUAGACCCUUUUUCUUUUCAUGUUAUUAGGGAAGAAUUUUGUUUAUUGGAACGGUGCUCGAGCUGAAUUGGUGAUUUCAGAGCCUGAAUUAAUCAAAGAAGUUCUGAAAAAUAGUGAACAAAUUUUUCAGAAAAAGCAGCUUUCAGAUAUCGGUAUGAAGUUCUUGGGGAAUGGACUUAUAUUCAUUGAGGGGGAAAAAUGGGCAAAGCAUCGAAAGCUAGCCAAUCACACUUUCCAUGGGGAAAGCCUAAAGGUAAGUCUUCCAAAUAUAUAAACUAGAUGUAAUUAAUUUACAAGAAUUAUACAUAGACUACAAUAUUUUGGUAAAAUUUUGCAUUCUUAGCUAAUUUAUUAUCGAAGUUGAAAAGAUUCGUGAAAAGUAAUUUUGAAAAAUUUGACAGCAUUUACCACUUAAGAUAUCAAUUUUAGAUUUAAUGUUGUAAAGUAAAAAAUAAUUCAGAGAUUUAAAAAAGAAGUCAUUUCAUUGAAAAACACUAUUUUAACUUUUUGACUUAGAUUAAAAUCUAAUUUGAAAUAAAGUUUAGUUUGAAAUUUUGUUUGUUUGCGAAUUUUUCUAAGUUGAAAUCAUGAUUUUGUGUUGAAAAGUGUUUUUCAGACUCCAAUUAUAUAUGUCACUACUACUUACAUAUUGGAGGAUUGUUUCCGCAGAACAUGACUCCAGCAAUAAUUGCUAGUGUUGAAACAAUGCUAGAAAAGUGGAAUGGCCAAGAAGGAAAAGAGAUUGAAGUGUACCAAGAAUUUAGGUUAUUAACUUCAGAAGUGAUUUCCAGAACAGCAUUUGGUAGCAAUUACAUGGAAGGGGAGAAGAUAUUUGCCAUCUUGAGAAAGUUGACAGUAAUUAUGAGUCGAAAUCUUUCCAAGACUAGAAUUCCUUUGAUCAGGUAUCUUCCCUCUACGCUUAAUUAAUCCCAACUUUUACCUUGAUUUCAACUAGCUUUUGAAUGCAACUUUUAGACUUUCAUUCCCCAUUGAUUUGGUUUUCUCCUUAUAUAUAGCUGACCCUGGUUUGCUUUUGCAGCAAGUUGUGGAAAUCUGCUGAUUUGCUAGAGGCUGAAAAACUUUCAAAAGAAAUAAAAGAUCGUGUGAUGAAGAUUGUUAAGAAAAGAGAAGACAAAGUUGUGAAUGAAGAAGUCAAUAGCUUUGGCAGUGAUUUUCUUGGAUUACUUCUAAAUGCCUAUCAUGAUUCGGAUGCGAAAAACAGGCUUUCCUUGGAAGACGUGGUAGCUGAAUGCAAAACAUUCUAUUUUGCUGGACAAGAAACUGUUAAUUCCUUACUUGCAUGGAUAGUCUUGCAUUUGGCAAUCCACGGAGAUUGGCAAGAAAAAGCGAGAAGAGAGGUGAUUGACAUAUUUGGUAACCAAAAUCCACAUCUCGAAGGCAUCGCGAAACUCAAAAUAGUAAGAAAACUAUCUAACUGGGAAUUCAAAUAGCCAUCAACAUUAUGCAAUCUAACAUAUUUGUCUAUUUCCUAAACAGAUGACCAUGAUCAUCAAUGAAACUCUAAGAUUGUAUGGUCCAUCAAAUGGCCUGGCAAGAGCAGUUACAAGAGAAGUUCAGUUGGGAAAACUACUCUUGCCUGCUAAUAUAGAUAUUCUGCCUUUAAAUAUUGGACUUCACCGUGACCCUCACUUUUGGGGAGAUGAUGUGCAUCAUUUUAAACCCGAGAGAUUCGCUGAAGGGAUUGCCAAAGCUACCAAUUACACCACGGCUGCAUUUUUUCCCUUCGGGUUGGGACCUCGAUCUUGUGUUGGUAUGACAUUUGCAACAAUAGAAACAAAGGUUGCUCUCUCCAUGAUUCUACAACGUUACACAAUUACCCUCUCCCCUGCCUAUGUCCACUCUCCAAUACCUAUUCUCACCCUUCGACCACAACAUGGAAUUCAGGUAAUACUUGAGCCGAUACAUAGUAAUGCUUGAAGUACAUAGCUGCUAAGAAAUAAGGGUUUAACAUGGUUCAUGUAUUUUAGUUUUAAAAGAUGACAUUUAAUAUGUAUAAGGUUCUAGCAUUUGCAACCCCUUCCCUCCUAUGGUGUGCCCACCUUCAUACAUAAUGAAAUGCAAGUAGCUACUUAUUUCCAAGAUGCUAAAACACACAAUCAAUAAAGAAGAAUAUGUCGAGGCAAGUUUUGGGAGCAGUGACUCGAGAAAUGACAACUGCGUUUGGCACGCGCAGGUCACAUAACUUUUAGCAUGUUUGAAAAAAAAUAUUUUGAUUACUUGCUUGCAUCUUUUUUAGGAUUUUGUGCAUCCAAUCUUGUGUUUAUUAUUUAAUUAAUCUCAGAUUGAUUUUUCUUAAACUAGUGGUUAUACUAAGGCUUGUUAGCGGAUUAAACUUUGUGCAAAACACUAUAGAUGUAGAUGUGUUUCCCGUGAUGGGAUUUGUAUCUACUAAAAAUAAAUUCCUACACUUGAAACCAAAAUUAAAUUUGUAGUAUAUAGAGUAGGGUUGAUCCCACAAAGGUUGAUCUAUCCAAAUUUCUAUUUCUUUAUAACUAGAACGUGUCCCGAGCAGUUUUUAUGCCCAUGACUUGUGCCAACCUAUACGAAAAACUAAGGGGAAUUAAAUCUGAAAAAUAAAUAAACAACAAAAAUAAAUUAAUAAUUAAAAUGAAGUAGAAAUAAGUAAAAUGAAAUUAAAAUUGAAUAAACCGAUAAAACAAAAGCUUUAGCUUCAAGCUCGAUUUUGACUUAGUCUUCAAACUGAUCACGGAGAAUGAAUUUUUUUUCCUUUAAUUAAUAAGUCAAUUAUAGAUGCCAAGGAACGAACCUCAAAGCACCUAAUUCUUCCAUAGUGGUAAAUUAAUUGCGGGAACAGCUCGACGGCUAAGCCUUAUCAAGUGAAUAACCUUGAAAGUAGCAUUGGUGAUUUAAUUCAUUGGUAGCCUUGCAAACUAAAAGAACCUGACUCAAAUCAACGGCCUCAAUUGUAUGAGUCAUUUAAACUUAAUUAUUAACUUCUUUGAUGGAUCCAACCACUCACGCCAUUUGUCAUGUCAAUUUGUAAUUCAGUGGAUCUAAUACAACAAUUACGGAUAGCAUCGAUUCUCUAACUUUAUGUCGUUCAACACUAAACCAAGGGACUCUUCUUGAUUUUGAUGCUAAAAUAACAUUGAGAAGUGAUCAAGUUUAUCUUUUAAAUUGGAGAAUUAACGAAUACCGAAAUGGAGAAUAUAAAUACGAUUUUAAAAGUUCACUGUUCAAAUAUUGGAUCAAUUAUCAAUCUAAAACUAGGUUAAAUUUAACAUCUCAUAAAUUAAAAAACAAGAAAAGAAAAUAGUUGAAGGAGAAUAUUUAAUUGAAAUUAAAAAAACACUAAAAUAAAAUCAAAACAAUAGUUAAAUGAUGAAGUUGCUUUGAAACUGGAGUUACCAUUUUCGUUGGAGGAGAUAACAGAGGCAGUGUGGAGUUGCGAUGAGUCGAAAGCAUCUGGGUCGGAUGGCUUUAAUAUGUGCUUUUUUAGAAAAUGUUGAGAUGUUGUAAAAGAGGAACUUUUUAGAAUGAUGUUAGACUUUUUUAGAUCUAGAAAGCUUGAGAGGAGCAUAAAUUCUUCAUUUAUUGCACUCAUAUCCAAAAUCGAAAAUCCAAAUAAAAUAUUAGAAUUUAGACCAAUUUUUUUGGUGAGCUUGUUGUACAAGAUAGUGGAAACGGUGUUAUCUCGAAGAAUUAGGGAGGUUGUUGGAGAGGUAGUGAGUGAAACACAAUGUAAAUUUACCAGAGGUAGACAAAUAUUCGAUGGAACUUUAAUUGUAAAUGAAAUUAUCCAUUCGAUUAAAAAGAAAGAUGGUAUUGGGGGGCAAUCUGAUUUUUAAACUAGAUUUUUCUAAAGCAUAUAUAUGAUUGUGUUUGUUGGGAUUUUUUGGAGUUAGUUUUACUCAAGAUGGGAUUUGGCGAGAAAUGGAUAGAAUGGAUUAUGGAGUGUGUAUCUAUGGCGAGAGUAGCAGUAAUUAUCAAUGGGUCAACCAAAAAUGAAUUCAGAUUCCGCCGAGGUCUCCAUCAAGGAUAUCCGUUAUCCCUAUUUUUAUUUAUCCUAGUGACGGAAGUGCUACAUUUCUCGAUGGAUAAAGCAGUGGAGAUGGGACUAAUUUAGGGCAUUCAAGAUGUUAUUCCCGUGUAGAUUUUUUCUCAUUUACUAUUCGCGAACGAUACUAUACUAUUCUUGAGAGCAGAUGAAGAUGAGGUGAGAAAUUCGAAGUAUAUUUUAUGGUGUUUUGAGAUCUUUUCAAGUCUUAGUAUCAAUUUCAAAAAAUCAUGUUUAGUAGGAUUUGAUGUGAAUGAAGAACUCUUAUAUCAAAUGGCUACAAUAUGUAAGUGUAAGAUAAGGUUUUUGCCUUUUAAUUAUCCAGGGAUUCUAUCGGGAGCAAAUCUGAGGAGAGUAUCCACUUGGGACGCAAUUGUAGAGAGAUUCAAGAAGAAAUUAUCGGGAUGGAAAUGUCGUCCGCUCUCAUGGGCUGCAAGGAUUGUAUUGAUUAAUGUUGUUUUGUCUGCCUUGCUAAUUUAUUUCAUGUCUAUAUUCCAAGCUCCAGUGACAGUUAUUAAAAGGAUCGACAAGAUAAGGAUAAAUUUUCUUUAGAGGAGUAUAAAUGGUAAAAGGAAGAUGGCAAAGGUAAGCUGGAAACAUAUAUGUAAGCCAAAGGAGAAGGGAGGAGCAGGAGUGGUGAAUCUCAUAAUUAAAAAUAGAGCUUAUUAGCAAAAUAGAGUUGGAGAUUCGCGGUUGAAAAAGACGCGCUGUGGCGAAAACUCAUCCUAGCAAGGUAUGGUUAGCGCACGCAACAGUGGCGCUUUAGGACGACUAAUCUAAAAAAUAUGUCGAUUGUAUGGAGAGGUAUUGUAGAAAAUUCUAAAGACGCUAAUUGUAAUACCCCUAACCCUUAUCCAUCACCAGAAUAGGGUUAUAAAGCUUUACCAGACUUUUCAAAAUCAAACACGAUCAUUUCAUAACAUUUAGUAUACAUAUUAAAAACUAUUCAUAUAAUACUCAUAUUGUCCCUUAUAUAGGCCCUCAAGGCCCAAAAUACACUUUAGAAGUGAGUCGGGAUUAAACCGGACACUCUAGAAAUUUUUCGCGAAAUGUCAAAAUUUUCCUUAGAAAUAAGGAACACACGCCCGUGUGGCCAAGCCGUGUGGCUCACAUGGCCUGAAGACAUGCCCAUGUCCUAAGCCGUGUGGGCAUUCAAUGUGAGGCACACGGCCGAGUCCCAGCCCGUAUCCUUACCCGUGUAAUUCUCUGACUUGUGUCACAUGGCCAACCACACGCCCUUGUGCUAGGCUGUGUGCAAAGUACAGGGGUCACAUGUCUGUGUGCUAGGUCGUGUGUAAAAACCUAGGCAUUCUGUUUUGAAAUUUCAAGGUGCAGGGGACACACGGCCAGAUCACAUGCCCAUGUGCCAAGCCGUGUGUCACACACGGCUGAGACACACGCCCGUGUCUCUGCCCGUUUGGACGAAAAUAGGCCAUUUUAAGGCCACUUUUCUCACCUUUUUUGACAUCAACCUAUAGACAGCAAUUCAAUAUACCAAAUAUCCCUAAUCAAGCAAUAAACACAAGCCAAAAAUCAUGUUUUAAGCAUAAUAAGCUAUCACGAAAUUCAAUUGUCUAAAUUUGCCAAACUAACUUCAUUCAUUGAUUUACCAAAACCUACUCCUAGCUAUAUACAUACAAACACACGCAUAUAUAUAUAAUUGUCAUUCAUAAUUAUACUCCAAGUAUAGCCUUUUUCAAUCCAUCCCUAUACAUGCCGUAUAAACCAUAAAAUGUACAACAAAAUCUACCGGAGUAAUCUAGAUAGUGUGACCCGAUGUGUUGAUUCGAACUUCUUGAAAAUCUACAAAGAACAUUAAACAACACAAGUAAUCUUAAUGAAGCUUAGUAAGUUCGUUGGCUUAAUACAUAAAUCUUACCGAACAUACCAUGACAAUUCAUUUAAGUAAAUCGUUCAUUACACAUUUCCUGCCAACUACAACUUUAAUCGAUGAAUUCGCUUCUUUGAGCUCAAUAUCAAUAAUAACCUAAAUUCUUCCACAUUAAUUCCAUAUAGCACUUGCCACUUCUUGUCAAUCAAAGAACGAUUUACGGAUUUGAGUACAUCGUAAACAAAAGCCCAAAGGUUGCACGAAAGAACAUAAGUGCUAAACUGAAACCUAUAAGGGUUGAACGAAAGCUCAUAAGAGCUAAAUGGAAACCCAUGAGGGUUAAACUGAAGCUCAAAAGAGCUGAACUAAAACUCAAAAGGGUUAUACUAAAGCUCAAAGAGCUAAACGGAAACCCAUUAAGGUUAAACGGUAACUUGUAUAAGUUAACUAAAGCUCAUGAGAGCUAAACGGAAAGUACACACGAAAUUUUGCAACAAAUGCUGAACCUUGAUUUACUUGGGUAAUUUACCGUCAAUUCCUCAUUUACACAGAACGACCUUACUCAAUCCGGCAUUCUGUUUGCUUCAAACAUUCAAUUCAAUUUCAUAACUUUAACAAUAAUAUUAUUUUCAACAAAUGACAUGAAUAAAUACAUAAUGUCAUUCAUCAAUUUAACAGUUAACAUUUAAAUUUAACCAUACGAACUUACUUGGGCUAAAUUGUAGAAUUCGUAGUAAUUCGGGGACUACUCAGCUAAUUUAUCUUUUUCACGAUUUUCUUCAGGCUCUUGAUCUAUAAUAUAAAAUUGUUCAUUUCUCAGUAUCUAAAUCAAUUCUAAUUCAUUUCAGAACUUAUGCCCUUUAAUUUUUGAAAUUACACAUUUGCCCCAACUUUUACAUUUUUUACAAUCUAGUCCCUCAUCAAUUUACCCAUCAAUUAAGCUAAUUUUUCUCAAUUAACACUUUAUCUAAUUAUUUUAAGUUACCAUAUACCCUUGAUAUUUAGAAUUUUAACACCAAACCCUAAUUCUUAACCUUUUUACAAUUUGGUCCUAAUAUCAAUAUCUAUCAAAAUUACUUAUUAAAAUCAUUAUAUAACAAAAUUAAAGCUUAAAUUCCAUGAUAAUUCAUCAUAAAAAUCCAUCAAUCAUCAAUGGUAACUUUUGAAAUUACCCAUAGAAUCAAAAACUAAUGAAAUAAGUAGUCGGACCUAAUUGUAAAAGUCUCAAAAACACAAAAAUUUCAAGAAAAGAGCAAGAAUUAAACUUACAUGAAGAUAAAAUAUGAAAACCAGCCUUGAGAGCUUUUCAAUGGUGUUUUUGGCUAAAGAAAAGUGAAGAAAUGUCUAGAGAUUCAAUUUAGUCCAAUUUUAACUAUUUAAUUUUAUUUCUUUUCCAAUUUUGCCCCUUGUUCACACUUAUCCUUUGAUUUUUUUCUGCUUGUACCGUCCAAGCCUUUCACUUUGGGCUAAUUUUCCCUUUUAGUCCUCCCUUAUUAAACACUUAAGUUAUUUAAUCAUUUUAGCAAAUUUUGCACAUUUUUCAAUUUAGUUCUUUUUAAUUAAUUAACCAUCAAAACGUUAAAAUUUUCUAACAAACUUUUGAUAGUAACUCAAUGACACUCCGUAAAUAUUUCUAAAAUUAUUUACAGCUCAGUUUAUAAAUUUUAGGCCUCGAUACCUCGUUUUCAAAACCACUUUUCUUAAAAUUCUUCUAAAACACAAACCACCAAAUCAAAAAUCUUUCUAAAAUCACACUUGACUCGUAAAUAAUAAUUAAUAAAAUUUUCAAACUCACUCGUCAGAUUUAGUGAUCUCGAAUCACUAUUUUUGACACCACUAAAAGUUGGACUGUUACACUAAUGUUUCUAAAUGGGUGGGGAACAAAGCUUUUAGAUGGAUGGUUGGGAAUGGAAGGAUGGCGAUGUUUUGAGAGGAUAUUUGGUGUUGUAAUCAACCACAAAAAAAAAAGAAUUUCCUAGAGUUUUUCGCUUAGCAAGAAAAAAGAAAGGUAUGGUAACAGAUUACUCGAGCAACAAUGGUUUCAGCAAUAUGAAUUACGGUGAAUUCUAACGAAGCUUUUAGAUGGAUGGUUGGGAAUGGAAGGAUGCGAUGUUUUGAGAGGAUAUUUGGUGUUGUAAUCAACCACAAAAAAAAAAGAAUUUCCUAGAGUGUUCCGCUUAGCAAGAAAAAAGAAAGGUAUGGUAACAGAUUACUCGAGCAACAAUGGUUUUAGCAAUGUGAAUUAUGGUUAAUUCUUUACACGAACAUUAUUGGAUAGAGAGGUUGUGAUGCUUCGUAGAUUGGAGGAUAUGGUGAAAAGCAUGGAGUUAGUUCUAGAGGUGAAGGAUCAGCUAAAUUGGGUGCAUGAUAGUAAUGGGGAGUUCACGGUAAAGAAGUUAUCUAACUUAUUAAUUAAGGUUGGAGGGGAAGACAUAAGUUUUGCUUUUGAAAAAAAUUGGAAGUUAAAGGUACCACCGAGAGUGCGAAGUUUUCUAUGGAUGCUUGCUAUUGAUAGAUUCCUACAAAUGAAUUUCUUGUUAAAAGAGGGGUAUAGCUUCAACACAUUUCAAUCAAAUGUGCAUAGUAUGAAAGAGUACCAGAGAGAGCAGAUAAUCUAUUCUUCAAAUGCAAAUAUAUUGAAGGGUUUUCGUAUAAAUUUUUCAAAUGGUGGGAGGUUGAAUGGAAAUCGGUAGAACGAUUUGCUAAUUUUAUUCUUUGUGUUAUAAUGUGAAAUUGUUAGGAAUCCGAAGAAUGUUAUGGUUGCUAUCAAUUUCGGCAGCUUGCUGGUCAGUGUGGACAGAAAGAAAUGAAAUUGUCUUCGAAAGAAAGGUGAUGACUAUGGAAGCUUUGAUAUUUCAAUCCAAGAUGAGGGCAAUGUUGUGGAUAAGGGUUGUAUAUGAUGAGUUAAUGGUGCAGGAGAGCUCUUGGUGGAUUUGUCCGAACAAGUGCAACUUUAAUACAAUUAAACCAGAUCCUCUUCGUCGAUAUGGCGCCUUCCUCCACAAGGCUAUCUGAAUUUCAAUGUAUGCGGGAUAGUAAAUGAGAAAGUUGCAGGUUGUGGUGGAGUACUAAGAGAUAUGGAGGGUGUUGCAAGAGCUUUAUUUUCGGGUCCUAUUGCAGCUAAUGACGCAGAUUCAGUAGAGGUAGAGGCAGUGUUUAUAGCAUUGGAUUUGUUGUUAUCCAUGGGAUGGAAGAUUAAUAGCUCUCUUAUUGUAGAAAUUAGUUCAAAAAUGGUGUACAAUUGGUGUCUGAACAAGAAUAUGAGACUGUGGUCGUUACAAACAACAUUUUCAGAUAUUGAAAGGAAAAUUGAGCAGGUUGGUAGUGUAGUAUUCUUGAUGGCAGAUCAAAAGGUAAUGAAAUGGCUUCAACCUUGGCGAUAGUAGGUAUUAAUCGUGGUGACAUGUUUAAAGCUUGUUAGUGAGUAUUAGCUUUGAUUUCGAAUAAUAGUUUUCAAUUGUAGGAAAUGUUUCAUUGUGGUAUUUUGUAAGUUGUACCUUUGAAUGUUGUUCUUGUUGUAUUUACAAUAGAUUAGUUUGAAUGAAGCAAAAAAAAAGUUGGUGGGUACCGUGUGCCCCCUCUCUUCACGCCUUACUAUAUAAUAAUAAUAAUAAUAAUAAUAAUAAUAAUAAUAAUAAUAAUAAUAAUAGACAAGCUUAAGAAUAUAAAAAGCCUUUACUCAUUGCCUAAGAUAAAAUUUAAUCCUCAUUAAUAUCUUAAAGAGAAAUCUUUCUAAAUAAUAAUAAUAAAAUAAUCCUAAAUUUUAAAUGUCUUGUAUGUCAACUUCUCAAUCCAACGAUAAAUUUACUUUUUUAUAUUGUACUCUAACACUUCGAACAUGCGCUAUAUUUAUAUAGAAAAUAGUCAAUAAAAUACCAAAGUAGUAACAUCCAUGUCCAAAAUUAAUCAGAAUAAAUCAUUAAAAAAAUGUCUAUUAAGAACAUUAUCAAAUCCCCCCUUAAUCAAUACUUGCCCUUAAACAUUUUAUGCAUUCAUCAUCUAAACAUAUCACAAUCAUCAAAGCCAAUUCAAUUUUCACAGUCCUUAGUUCAAUAAAAAAAAUAAGCACUAUCAAAAUUUUAACCCUACAACCGUCUCGCUCAAGCAAGCACAUAGAUUAACAAUUUAUGAUAAGUGCUAAAAGUAACAUAUUUUAACCUCGUUCUAUAACAUCUCAAAAUUGGGGGUUAGAAGUUUUGAGGUUUGUAGUGAGGGUCAGCGAGUAGGUCGAACAAUUGGUUUUAUUUUCGCUUUUUAAUAUCAAAAUGAGCUUGUUGGUUUGAUGGUAGAGUAUGUUACUAGUUUCCCUUGGACGAGUGUUUGAAUCCCAAUGUGAGAAUAAAGGAAGUUUUGUUUUAAUUUUAUUUAUAUUUUUUAUUUGAAAAAAAUAGAAGAAAAUCCUAAAAAUUUCUCACGUUCUCCACUUUCUCUUUCACAUCAGUCUCCCUCUUUCGGUAAAGAAAAAUUAUAGAUUCUGAUUUUCUUUCUUUUCUUUAUUGGGUUUCAAUACUUUUGUAAACCGCUGCCUUAAAAUCCUGGUGGUGCUUUUGUUCUUCGUUUGAUCAGACGUCGAAUAGGUUUAUUCGGUUAAUACUUGGUAAUUUGAUAUAAAUUUUAGGUCGAAAUUGUUUAUAGCUUUAGUAUGUUUGCAGAACUGAGUUUCAGGUCGUUAGAGUAAAGGCGAAGUGGUCGGUUCUUGGUGCUCUGGAACAUCAAUCAGGUGUGUGUUCUGAAAAUGUUUAAUUUUGGUAUCGAAUUGCUAUUGGAUUCUAUGGAAUUCAGCAGUUUCUAGUGUGUUUAUGAAAUUGUGUGAAUUCGGUAACGAAUUGUUGUUGGAUUUUAGGGAAAUAUGCAAAAUUCUGAUGUGUCUUGAAUGGUUAGCGAUUUGGGGUUUGUUUUGCUGUUGUGAAAUUGCAAUUUUAGCUUGUUUCGGUGUGGUUUCUUUACCACAUGGGCGUGUGCCGCACACGAGUAGUCCACACGGUCGUGUGACAUUGGAAAUUUGGGAUUUUGGACUUUUUUUAGUGCCACACGGUCGUGUGGCAGCUAUUUAGGGAUUUUUGUGUGCCUUGGACACACGGUCGUGUCCCUUAGCCAUACGGGCAUGUGAGAUUCCCACACAGCCCUGUUUACUUUGCUCCUUAUUUUGACAUUUUUGGACAGUGAGUGACAUUAAUUAUUCACACGACCAUGUAACUCGGUCGCACGGGUAUGUGUCUCCUCCACACGAGAGUGUACAGCUUGCACACGGGCGUGUAGACCACCACACGACCUAGUAGACCUCCACACAACCUAGGCACUACCACACAGCCGUAUGGCCCUGUUUUGCAAAUUUUUGUUCAGUGUUGAAAUUUUGCUCGUUUUGUGUUUCUGUAUAUUUCAACCCUUGGUUAAGUCUUGGUAACUGUAUUUGGGACUCCGCUGCAAUAUGGAUUUAAGUGUGUAUGUAUGUGUUCAGUUUAGGUAAUCAGGAAAUGUAUUAAUGGAUUAUGAUGAAUGAGCUUGAAUUGCUUACUUGUUGUCGUAAUUCUGAAAUAUGUACAAACGCUAUUGAUUUUGAAAUUGUUCGGCUGAAUGUGAGUGACGGUCUCUGUGAGUCUAUUAGCGUAUGUUGUGCAUUCAUGCAUUUGCAUAAAAUCGAGGUUUUUAGUUGCGAAGAGAAGGAAGGCUGAUUGGGUAGUUCAACUGCAAUAUUUUUGUACAGCAGUUUACCGUAAUGAUUUAUACAUUUGUCAGCUAAGCUACAUAUUGUUAUUCGAGUGGCUUAGUUCCACAAUAUGUGGUGUGUAGGGUAGAUGGGCCUAUCAUGGUCCUAUGUCGUGUGCAGGGUGGACGGGCUUGAUAUAGCUCAUAGGUGGUGUGCAGGGUGGUCGAAGUGGUCUUCAGAUGGUUGGGGUGGGUUUUUGACUCGUUACAUUCGCUACGCAUCUAAAUAUAUGUUUGUUUAUGUGAGCAUUGAGGUGUUGGAGAUAUGACCAUUAUAACUUGAUGUGUUUUAUCUAAUAUGUGGUUUGGUAUGCUUUAAAAGCACCAUGUUAUUGAAUUACCCAUUGAGAUUUCCAUUUAUGAUUUGUGCUCAUAUACUGUUUUGGAAUACUCGAUGUGUUACUCCGUUUUGUUGAUUGCUUUUGAUUUCAGACUCACAUUGAGCUCAAGUAGCUCACCUCACCUUAGUGUUUCAUUCUUCGAGGUACUUUUCGUGUUCGAAAGCUGGACUCGGCAUGCCGGAGGUUUCAGACUAUCGAGUAAAUUGAUUUUGGUUCAAAUGAUGCUACUUAAAAAUUCAGUUGUUAUUUUCAAAUGGUUCGUAGGAAAGAUUAUAAAAAAUGUGGUAUGAGUUAAGUCUGGAUUUUCGAUCAACUAGUUGUUACGGUUUUAAACAAUUUAUAUGUUCCGUUAUAUCAAGGUUUCGAAAUUUUGGUUUGUGAAUGACAAAUUUAUGCUUUCAGAACUGUCAAAUGAUUCCAUAAGAAUUACUUCCGACUUGCGUCGAAUGCCAUUUAAAUGAUUCCAUAUGAAUUACUUCCGACUUGCGUCGAAUGCCAUUUAAACUUUGUUUCAAAAUUUAAUUAAGUGUUAUCUAACUUUCUAAAAUUACAUGCUUGUGACAGAGUUUUUAUCUCAACCACUUUAGGUGGUCAAUGUGACCUCCGAGAUUCGGUCUAAACUUUUAGGUCGGGUUUUAGGGUGUUACACAUUCUUAGUGUGUUUUUGGGUGAUUAUUCAAUGUUAAUGGUGAAUUUUAUGCUUCUAAUCCUUCAAAUUCUUAUUUUUAUGCUUAAAAGGGCAUUUGGGAGUAAAACAAGCAAAAAUUGGAGUAAGGUACAAGAGACACACGGGUUGACCCCUUCCACACUUCCUGAUAUUUAAAAUAAUCUAGAAAUAUAACCGAUUUUGAAAUAAAAUUUAAACAGAUUCUGAAAAAAAUUUUAACAGAUUCCCUAAAAAUCGUGGUUUUUCGCAUUUCAAAGUGCAAUUCUGCAAAAUUGACAUGACCUGCCACAUUGAAGCUGAUUUUGAAGUAGAUUUCUGUCAAGAUUGAAGACUCCCAGUUGAUUUCUUUGGAGAUUAUCAUUUCUUUAUUUCUUUCGGUUAUAUUAUAUCUUUGAUGUUUUUAUUUUCAAGCAUGAACUAAUUUUCUAAAUACAUAGGGAGAUGAACCCUAGGAUGGAUUCUGUCGUUUGAUUUUUAUUUUGCUCAAUAAAUACUUAGAUCUUAAUUCUUGAUAUAAUAUUUCUAGAUUAUUUAUCCAUGUUUGGUGUGCUUAAAUCAGAGGAGGAAUAGACCCUGUUUAAGAGUAGAUCUUGCGUAAUUGAGUGGAUUUGCAUGCAAUCCUAGACAUAAGACAACAUAAAUCUAUCGAAUUAGAGUCAAAUCUAAUAAGGGAAUUCAUAGCACAAGUUAAUGCGAUAAUAGGGGUUUUAAUUAGAAAGAAAUUUCAAUUAAUCAAUCUUGAGUUAGUUGCUCUUAUUCUCGAAAGAAAUAUUUGUAUAAUCUAGGGAUUUUUACAAAUCAAGUUGCUAAGUAAAGAAAUUGCGUAACUUAGAUUGAUAACGACAGAUGAAACCUAGAUGAGUAUUGUUUCGCUUCUUGGUUGUUAAUCGCUUAUUUUUCUGAUAUAUUUUUUGUCACAUUCUUUAGUUAGUUAAUUUAGUUAAUUUUAAUUUUAAUCAAUCACUCAAAUUUAUCGGUUAAAUAAUAAAAAGACAGUAUUUACUAGUACUUUUAGUCUUCGUGGAAACGAUAUCUUUAUUCACCGUAACUAUAUUGUUAAUUGAUACGUACACUUACCUUAGUCAAAUUUUUAGUUGUUCACGACACAUCAAUUCAAUUAAGCAUACAAUUAUUAAAUUAUCUCAUAAUUAAGCUGCACAACAUUAACUUACGUUAAAUUGUCAAGACACCAAAAUUAACAACCAUUUGUCCCAUAUUUUUGUGUUCAUUUUUUUUUCUUUUAAAAGUUUAUCUAGAGUGUCACGAGAUCUUUUUCCAUGAAAAAGGAUGACAAUCCAAACACUCCACUCCGAUUAAUCAAUUCACCACAUGUUGACUAACUUUAGUCAAAAUUGUUAAGAUCAAUAGAAUAGCUGAAUAGCUUAGAAUGUCACUAAAUCUUUUGACGUGAAGACAAAUGACAACCUAAGCACUUGACUCAAGUUACUCAAUCGAUCACAAUUCUAAGACUUUACUCAUAAUUUAGGCAAUUAAUGAGUAUUUAUUAAAUUAUUUUAUUGAUUAUUUUUUUCAAUUUUUUUUUGUUCGAAUGCAAGAUGAAACAUGUUUUAAGAGUAUUAAUCUCGUUAAAAAUUGCGUGAGCCUAAUUUUUUUUUUUUUGGUGAGUGCUUCAGCUAAGUAAUUAAUAAUUAUUAUUAUUUACUUUAAAAUAAAAUAAAAUUCAUGUAAAAGAGUAGCAUAUAUAGGCAGAGUAUUUAAACAUGCUUAAUAGAAAAUAUUCUAUCAAUUUUUGAAUCGCUUAAACAAUAAAAUGAUAUCUAAAUUAUAUUAAUUUUUUAAAAUUGGUAUUUAAAUUUUUCUUAAGUCAAAAUGGUACCUAAACAAUUAAUCUAUUAUCUAUUUAAUUCAGCCAAUCAAUUGCCACGUAAAUAUCUAUUUAUUUUUUUCAAAAUAUUACUAAAAUUUGAUAAAUAAAAUUAAAAAUAGUUAAAAAUAAAACAUCAUAAAUUUAAUAAAAUUUAAACCUUACGAAAAAAACAUUUUACUGAUUGAAAAAACAUCAUAAAUUAAUGCUACCAACAACUCCUAGAAAGAGUAUCCACUAAUAACAAUAAACUUACAUGAGUGAGGGAUUUAUUGAAACAAUCAGCAACCAAUUUUGACACUUUUUACCAAUUAUUUUAUAUAUUUAUUUUUUAUUAUUAUUAAAAAAAUUAAUUUAACUCUUUAAAAAUUACAAAGAUAUAGACUAUUAAAAUGAUGAAAUUAUUUAUUAUUAUUAUAAAAAUAUACAAUUUAAUUUCGACCUCCCAAUAAAUAUUUCAAAAUCCGCCACACGAAUGAUCCAAAUAAAAAGACGACAGUCAAUACAAUUAAAUUUAAAUUCUCACUUAAAUCCAAAUUCAAAGUAAAACAAAUGUGACAGAAUGAAUCAAAUAGUGGGAGAAUGUUUUUCAAGAAGUAGAAAUGCAAAAAUAGCUUCAAAAUCUACUCUUACUAAAAAAAAAGAAAAAUAAGAAAGAAUUUAUUAUCUUUUAUACUAUUAAUCUCUCACAUAUACGGCCAAGCUACUCUGAACGUACAACGCACCCAUUUGCGUCAUUGCAAACGCAAUUUUGGUCCUUAUGCUAUAAUAAAGGGGGAAAUGAUUCUGGUUUAGACAAGAAAAAUGAAUGCGUUGAUGAAGCUUCUAAUUCUUGCUCCAUGUUGUUUCUUCUUCAUAGCUUUAAUAAAGUUACUUUAUGAUUACCUAUGGAUACCUCUCCGUAUUCAGCAUAUGCUGAAUUCACAGGGGAUCAAAGGACCUCCUUACAGAUUCAUCCAUGGCAACAACAUGGAAGUUACCAAAAUGAAACAAAAUGCUUUAAGCAAAUCUGUGGCCUUGACAGAUGAUCUAUUUCCCAAAGUACAUCCACAUAUUUACACCUGAACCAACAGAUAUGGUAAGAUCCAUGCUUGUUUUUUUCACUAUGAUUUAUAACUUGUAGUUCUAAGAAAAGGUAGACCCUUUUUCUUUUCAUGUUAUUAGGGAAGAAUUUUGUUUAUUGGAACGGUGCUCGAGCUGAAUUGGUGAUUUCAGAGCCUGAAUUAAUCAAAGAGGUUCUGGAAAAUAGUGAACAAAUUUUUCAGAAAAAGAAACCUUCAGAUAUUGGUGGGAAGUUCUUGGGGAAUGGUCUUCUAUUCAUUGAGGGGGAAAAAUAGCCAAAGCAUCGAAAGCUGGCCAAUCACACUUUCCAUGGGGAAAGCCUAAAGGUAAGUCUUCCAAAUAUAUAAACCAGGUGCAAUUAAUUUACAAGAAUUAUACAUAGACCACAAUAUUUUGGUAAAAUUUUGUAUUGUUAGCUAAGGAUAAGUUUAUUAUGGACGUUGAAAAAGUGUAGUAAAAACAUACUUUCGAAGAUUUUAACACCAUUUACUACUUAGGAGGUCAAUUUUAAACUUGAUGCUGUAAAAUAAAAGAUUGAAUCAGAGAUUUAAAAAAAGUAAUUUCAUUAAAAAGCACUCUUUUAGCUUUUAGACUUGGAUUAAAAUCUAGUUUGAAAUAAGAUUUAGUUUGAAAAGGUGUUUAUUUGUCAAAUUUUUUAAUUUAAAAUCAUGAUUUUGUGUUAAAAAGUGUUUUUCAGACUCCAAUUAUAUAUGUCACUAUUACUUACAUGUUGGAGGAUUCUUUGGGCAGAACAUGACUCCAGCAAUAAUUGCUAGUGUUGAAACAAUGCUAGAAAAGUGGAAAGGCCAAGAAGGCAAGGAGAUUGAAGUGUACCAAGAAUUUAGGUUAUUAACUUCAGAAGUGAUUUCCAGAACAACAUUUGGUAGCAAUUACAUGGAAGGGGAGAAGAUAUUUGCCAUCUUGAGCAAGUUGGCAGUAAUUAUGAGUCGAAAUGUUUCCACGACUAGAAUUCCUUUGAUCAGGUAUCUUCCCUCUAAGCUUAAUUAAUCCCAACUUUUACCUUGAUUUCAUGUAGCCUUUGAAUGCAACUUUUAGACUUUCAUUCCCCGUGGAUUUGGUUUUCUCAUAUAUAGCUGACCCUGGUUUGCUUUUGCAGCAAGUUGUGGAAAUCUGCUGAUUUGCUAGAGUCUGAAAAACUUUCAAAAGAAAUGAAAGAUCGUGUGAUGAAGAUUGUUAAGAAAAGAGAAGACAAAGUUGUGAAUGGAGAAGUCAAUAGCUUCCGCAGUGAUUUUCUUGGAUUACUUCUAAAUGCCUAUUAUGAUUCGGAUGCGAAAAACAGGCUUUCAUUGGAAGACGUGGUAGCUGAAUGCAAAACACUCUAUUUUGCUGGACAAGAAACUGUUAAUUCCUUACUUGCAUGGAUAGUCUUGCAUUUGGCAAUCCUUGGAGAUUGGCAAGAAAAAGCGAGAAGAGAGUUGGUUGACAUAUUUGGUAACCAAAAUCCACAUCUCGAAGGCAUCGCCAAACUCAAAAUAGUAAGAAAACUAUAAAACUGGGAAUUCAAAUAGCCAUCGACAUGAUGUAAUCUGACAUAUUAUUCUAUUUUCCAAACAGAUGACCAUGAUCAUCAAUGAAGCUCUAAGAUUGUAUGGUCCAACAAAUGUCCUCCAAAGAACAGGUACAAGAGAAAUUCAGUUGGGAAAGCUAAUCUUGCCUGCUAAUAUAGAUAUUCUGCCUUUAAGUAUUGGACUUCACCGGGACCCUCACUUUUGGGGAAAUGAUGUGCAUCAUUUUAAACCUGAGAGAUUCGCUGAAGGGAUUGCCAAAGCUACCAAUUACACCGCGGCUGCCUUUUUCCCCUUCGGAUUAGGACCUCGAUCUUGUGUUGGUAUGACAUUUGCAAUGAUAGAAACCAAGAUUGCUCUCUCCAUGAUUCUACAACGCUACACCAUUACCCUUUCCCCUGCCUAUGUCCACUCUCCAGUACUUAUUCUUACCCUUCAACCCCAAAAUGGAAUUCAAGUAAUACUUGAGCCGAUACAUAGUAAUGCUUGAAGUACAUAGCCGUUAAGAACUAGAGGUUUAACAUGGUUCGUGAAUUCUACUUUUAAGAGAUGAUAUUUAAUAUGUUUAAAGGUUCUAGCAUUUAUCACAAAGACAAACGACUCGUGGUCAUGUUUACUUUUCAUCUAUCAUGCAAUGUCGAUGAGAAGAUACCAUUUACCAAUUAGUUGGGUUAUGAAUUCUACUAUUUUGAAUGAUGUUACAUACUAUAGAAGUUGUGUAUCCAGUGCACCAACUUUUAAUGGUUCUUUAUCUUAGCCUUUUACUUGCAUCAAAGUAUACGAGCCAUGCAUGCAUAGUCCAUCAUCCACUCAAGAUUAAGGUAUAUCACACUAUGAACAUCACAAGUAAAUAGAUCCAUAAAUGGAUUUAGAAUCGAUUCUCCUUGGGUCUUAUCUGAUGUACUGUCAGUCCAGUCAAUCACAUCUAUGUUUUUAUCUUUUAGGAGUCAUCUGUUCCAUUUGAGACAAAGCUUCUCCACAAUUGGGCUUGAUAGACGACAUAUUAGUUUCUCAAUCGAUUUGCUCAUUUUCAAUUAGACUAAGGACAUAUUUAGGUUUAUCUACUAAUACAAGCUAUCUUUUCAUAUCACGAUCUGACCACGUGAUACCGCUUAGUAUUAAUUUAAACAUUAGAUAACCAAUGAGUCAACAUUUGCUUCCAUUUUGCUUUGCAUGCAAAAACAUUGAGGACAAUAUCCAAAGGGUAUUACUUUAAUUAAUAGAUAUUAUUAAACCAAUUUGUUUGAAAAAUACAAUUAUAUAAAACGAACAUAGUACACUUAGUGUACCAGAUCCAACAGUGGCCACUACAGCUAGCAUUGCCAUUAUAAGCAACAUAACUUGACAUUUUUGGAGUUGAAAUCUUUUCAGCAAAAUCAGUUGGGCAACGACUUAGAUGAUUUUGUGGACAUGUGUUGGCUCAUAUUUGAAGAUCCAUUUUGUGGAAUCAAUCUUUGAAUAUUAAAUCAAUCUGAAUCAAGCAAAUUGGAUCACUUAUUUUGUGGAGAUUGGCUUGACUUAUUUGAAAAUUUAUUUUCGAAAUCUUUGAUUUAUUCUUGACUUUGAGGAUAUUUGUAAAGUUUUUUUUUACAAGGCUAUUUUUUGUGGGAUAUUGAUUCUAAUUGAUCUUUUAUCUUUGCAAACAUUAAAUUCUUAUAUAUUAGAGGCUUGUAUAAGUUAAAAAAAGAUAGAGUUUUUAUAGCACUUAUUUUUUUCAUUGAGGAACUUGUAUUUGAUAGUGCAUUAAGAGUGUAAAUUAAGUUUGUUGCUUGGUUUUACAACCAAAAUUCUCAAGGGAAUUUAGUGGUGAGUGAUUUAGAUCUUUAGAUACAAAAGUGAGGUUGCUAUACCGAGUUGUGAUAGGACUUCAAUAACUUGUUGUCUUGGGAUUAAAAAUAAUGAAUUUACUCACUAAGUUAGGUUUCAUAGACAUAGAAAAAUCGAUAUGCGUAAACAAUCAUUUGUGUUCCAUUUUUUGUUGUUGUGUUCAUCAUAGUGGCAUCAAAGGUUGCCACUACAGCCAUCACUUUGGUCAUCAAUUACGCACUUUAUUUUUUUAAGCAAUUAUCAACUUUAUGCUCCAAGAGAAUGCUUGUUUCUAGUACAAUUGAUCAAUUUUGUAGGAAGCAUAAUGACAAAAAAGAAAAUGGUUACAAUCAACCCCUUCUGUAACAACUCCAUUUGUAUCUUUGCAUGUUAUAAAAAGGUGGUUGUUAUAUACUAUAACAACAUGUUGUUAUAAAAAGAUAAUUAUUGUAAACCUAAAAUAGAAUUUAUAUCGUGAAUUACUAUCAAAUAAAGAAAUUGAGAAUUAUAUUAAAAAAAGGAAAGUAGAAAUCAAAUCAACAAAAUUAAAAGAUGUAUAAUAGGUGCAUGCAUUAUUACCUUUAUAUUUUAUUUUACAUUUUUCACAUGAUUAAUUAUAAAAUUCAUCAAUCUAACAAAUAAUUAAUCGAUAUGAGUUUAAAUUAAAUUAAAUUAGUUAAUUUAUCAUGUGUUAUUAAAUACAAGUAAUUAAUUUAUAAGAUUAUGAUGUUCUAAAUUCAUAGUAAAUUAAUAUUUAAUUAGAGAACUUAAUAGUUUAUUGAAUUGAUAUCUUUAAUUCCACGAAGAUUUUUCAUGUCAAAUUUAAACAUUUUAUUAAAAUAAUAUUUUAGUUAAGAUCAUUUUUAUUUAAUAAAUUAGAAUUCAUAUAAGCAAUAUAAUUAAUCAUAAUAAAUUAUAAUUAAUAGGCUUGUAUAUCGGUCCAGUGUAAUUAAUAGACUUGCUUAAAUGAGUUUUAAAAUAUAUUUUUAAAUUUAAAAUUUUAUUUCUUGAAUAAUGAAUUGUUACCUGCUUAAUUUAUGAAAUAUCUUUAUUGACUUAUUUGAUUGCAUUGGUGAAACAAUUAUUUUAGUAUUUUUAAAUUUUAUGUAUAUAAAAUUUUUAAAAAAAUAAUAAUAAAUCUAAAAUGACACAUCGAAACAGCUGAAUAUUGGCACAUGCGAAUACCAAUAAAAAAAUCAACAUCCACCAAUUUACCCGUUACUUUUUGGUAUUAGGUAGUGGGAGAUUUGGUUUUUGCUUUUGUUUUUGAGAUGUUGAUAUGUUUCACAUCAUCCAUAAGAUGGGCUCUACCUCACCUUUUGUUUGUCUGUUUCCCAUGCUUUCCAUACAAAUCACUAAAAGAAUGGGCUAAAAUGUCAAAUAAACUCUUCAAAAAUAAUUUUUAAAAAACUUAAUUAAGUCUCUUAUAAUAAAGUGCACCAAAUUGAGCUUUUUUAAAUCACAAUUUGCACUUAAUUAAUCCCCUUGAAUUCAUUUUCCCAUUGAAUCCCUUUACGUUCAGUUAACUGCUGACGGGGCAGGUGAUGUGGAAAAAUGAUGGUGUGUUAAUUAGUUUAUAUGGCAAGCUAACAUGGAGGGCUUAAAUGAUUUUUUAUUAUUUUACAAGGGUUUAAUUAAUUAUUUAAAUAAAAAUUAUUAAAAUUUUAAAAAAUCUAAUUUUAAAAUAUAAAUUAUAAAAAUCAUAAAAAAUAUUUUAAAAAUAUUAAAAAUGAUAGAAAAUUUUUAAAUGUUAUAAAUAGUUUAUAAAAACACAGGAAAUUUAUUAAAACAUCGUUAAAUAUAAAUACAUUAUCAUAAAAAUAGCAUAAAAUUUUAGAAAUUAUUAAAAAAUACAAAGAAAUACGAGUAAGUUAGAGAAAAUUAUUAAAAAUACAAAAAAUAUUAAAAAUUAGUAGUAACUUUUAUAAAAAUUAUUAAAUAGAUUUUUUUAUUGGUUUGGAGUGUUUGGCAUUUUCAAUUUUAUUUUUUUGGACAUUAGAGUCUUUGGUUUUAGUAAUAAGGAAAUGGGGAGAUUGAAGUGCGAUGAUCAAACUUGUGAGGGGUUUGAGUGACCAUGGGUUUAGUACUUGAUGGCUUAAAGUGAGCGAUCAAUAGAGGUGUUCAUGGACCGAUCCUGUUCAAAAAAUAAAAAAAAUGUUAAAGAAAGCUUUUCUAAAUAUUUUAUAUAUCUUAUAAUUAAGUUAAAAAUAUAUUUUUAUUAUUUUUAAAAUGGCGAAACGAAUCAUUUUGGCGAGCUAGGUCUAGUUGGGCUCAAGCCUAGAAAGUUUUAUGAAAUUAGGCUUAAGCUCCACCCAACUCAUGAAUACCUCUAGUGAUAUAUAAUGAUGUUGUAUUUGAGGAAAGAUGAUGCGAGGGACAUUAAUAAGGAAGGGUUGAUAUAUGAUGUAUGACAAUGCGUGAGAGAAAACAAAAAUGUGUAAUAAUUUUAAAUUUUUUAUAACUUUUUCUUUAAUUUUUAUAUUUCUUUAUAGUAUUUGAAUAGUUUUAAUAAAUUUUAUAUAUUUUUUCUAAAAAAAUUUAUAACAUUUUAUAUUUUUCUAUAUUUUAAUGUCUUAUAAUUGUUUAUAAAUUUAUAAUAAUUUUUAUGAAUUUUUAAUUUAUAUUUAAAAACUAGAUUUUUUUUUUAGAAUUUAAAAAUCGAAACAAUUGAAUAGGUGGAAUCGCUUCUUUAAAAAAUAUUUUUUUAUAUUUUUAUGAAAUUUUAAUUAUUUAUUUAAUCGUUGUUAGUUUAAGAGCCGAUUGAAUUAAGAAUCGAGAAUUUUAGACAUUGUGUCCUAACUUACGGGACGUGAUUCUUCUUCUGGAUUAACGUAGAAAUAUGCUUCUCUCUUUAAAGUUUAUUUUUCAAAAUUUUGAUAAAGGAUCGUAUUUUGAAUCUUUUUCAAGUUUUCAAUAUUCGACACUAAGACAUUAAUUAAUCAACUAGGUAUCAAUUUUGGGCGUUACGAGGGUGCUAAUCCUUCCUCGUGCGUAACCGACUCCCGAACUUAUUUUUCUAAAUUUCGUAGACCAAAACCGUUGUUUUAAUAAAAUCAAAUCGUUUAUUAAAAACAACUACUUUUCGAGGUGACCCGAUCACACCUCAUAAAAAAAAAGGAUUGGUGGGGACAUUUGUUUUCGUUUUCAAAAUCCAAGUCAAGCCCGUUUUAUCAAAAAAAUGGUUACUAGCUUUAGUCAAAAUUGUUAAGAUCAAUAGAAUAAGCGAAUAGCUUAGAAUGUCACUAAAUCUUUUGACGUGAAGACAAAUGACAACCUAAACACUUGACUCCAGUUACUCAGUCGAUCAGAAUUCUAAGACUUUACUCAUAAUUUAGCAAUUAGUGAGUAUUUAUUAAAUUAUUUUAUUGAUUAUUUUUCAAUUUUUUUCUUUUGUGAUCGAAUACAAGAUGAAACAUACUUUAAGAGUGUCAAUCUCGUUAAAGAUUGUGUGAGCCUAAUCGUUUUUUUUUUUUUUGUGAGUGCUUCAGCUAAGUAAUUAAUAAUUAUUAUUAUUUACUUUAAAAUAAUAAUAAAAUUCAUGUAAAAGAGUAGCAAUGGCAUAGUAUUGAAACAUGCUUAAUAGAAAAUAUUCUAUCAAUUUUUGAAUGGUUUAAACAAUAAAAUGAUAUCUAAAUUAUAUUAAUUUUUUAAAAUUGGUAUUUAAAUUUUUCUUUAGUCAAAAUGGUAUCUAAACAAUUAAUCUGUUAUCUAUUUAAUUCAGCCAAUCAUUUGCCACGUAAAAUAUUUAUUUAUUUUUUUCAAAAUAUUACUAAAAUUCGAUAAAUAAAAUUAAAAAUAGUUAAAAAUAAAACAUCAUAAAUUUAAUAAAAUUUAAACAUUAAGGGAAAACAUUUUACUGAUUGAAAAUACCCUUAAUCAGAUUUUACUAACAAUCCCUAUUUUUUUCAAACAAAUCACAAACUCUUUUAGUUCAAAAAAUUGCAAAUCAUCUUUUUACAACCUUCAUUAAUCCUUUGUGGAAUUGAUAGAAGGGUACGUUUGAAGAAUUAAUUUGUUUUUCUUGAAACCCUUGUUUGUCAAUUUCAUUGAUGAAACCUUUCUAAUUUCAUCAGUAUUUGAUUUUUAUUUUAGGUUAAUCGUAAAACUUUAAUUGAUUUGGGCAAACCGAAGGAGUUGUAAAAAGGUUGAAAGGUAUGAUUUAGGCUUAAGGGUUCUUUUAUAGUUAAUAUGUAGAAUCGAAUGUAUGUGACUUUUGGCAAGUUGUCGGUUCUUGAAAUUUUAUAUUGAGAAAGUAGAACACACCUUUUAAGGGGAAGUUCUUUGUUUGACUCGAGAUUAUUAGUCUGUUGACAAAAAGCCAAAAAAAUGUGCCAUUUGCUUUGAAGUUAUUUAUGAUUGUUUACGAUAAAUUGAGGGUUUUUAAUGGUGUUUAUAUAUGUAUUUUGUUAAGAUACAUAAUGAUACAACUAGAGUUUGUGAUAUGUUUUGAGAUGAUAGGCUUCUCGAUUAUGUGAUUUAUUGUCCUUAGCUAAUUCAAAUAUAGAUUAAUGAGGUUGGUUUAAUAUAUGUUGUAGGGAACAACGAAAAUGGGGAAAUAUUAAAUAUUACCCUAAAACAAAUUGAUAAUUAAUAUAGUUAAAUUAAAUCCAUUUUGUUUUGGCAAAUGAAAACCAUUGGUUUUUAAAGGUUUGAGAAUUGAGGAACCUUUGCAAAACAUAAUGCAAUAUCAUCACUAAAACACUGUUUAUAGGAGCUGAGUAUAAAUACUCUUUUCAUGUCUUUGUUGUUGGGUUUUUUAGGUCUUUUUGUGACAAUUAUCAGUCCUCUCAUUUCAAUAUUUAUGAUAAUAAUACCUGUAAAGCAUGUUGGUCAUGUCUUAUUUUUACUAUACUAAAAUUUGUACUAUUGUAGUACUUAUUAUUAAAGUUCUAGUCCCGUGACAAUUGGUAUUGGACUAAGAUUUGCAGCUUUCUGUUGAGAUGAGGAAAGGAGUAGAAGAGCAGAUUGAACCCAGAGAGACCCAUGGGAGGGGCAGGAACUAUUUAUAUAUUUUUGAGAUGUUGAUAUCUUCCAGAGCCUUUUAUGACCACACACGAUAAUGGGUAAGAUAGGGUCCUACCUGACUUUUGGUUUAUCUGUUUUGAAGGGGAAAAUGGUUCUGGUUUAGAGAAGAAAAAUGAAUGCGUUGAUGAAGCUUCUAAUUCUUGCUCCAUGUUGUUUCUUCUUCAUAGCUUUAAUAAAGUUACUUUAUGAUUACCUAUGGAUACCUCUCCGUAUUCAGCAUAUGCUGAAUUCACAGGGGAUCAAAGGACCUCCUUACAGAUUCAUCCAUGGCAACAACAACGAAGUUACCAAAAUGAAACAAAAUGCUUUAAGUAAAUCUGUGGGUUUGACUGAUGAUUUAUUUCCCAAAGUACAGCCACAUAUUUACACCUGGAUCAACAGAUAUGGUAAGAUCCAUGCUUGUUUUCUUCACUAAGAUUUACGACUUGUAGUUCUGAGAAAAGGUAGACCCUGUUGGUGCUGUAACUGAAACUAACAGACUCAGCACAGACUUGUCGAGCAAGUCUCGAGACUUGCUGAGCAAACAAGAGAAUUCGAGCAAAAGAAAGGAAGAAAAGCUAAGAAAAAAUGAAUAGGAAAAUUGAUGAACAAAACUGAACUAUAUUCAUAAAAUUGAAUAAUGGCAUAAUGCCAAUACAUAAAUCAAGCACUAAGCUUGUCAAAAACAGCAAGUAAUUACCUAAACAUCACCUACUCCCACUAAUUACAUGGAAACUUGAAAUUUUAGCUUGUAAACCUAUACAAAGUUGUGUUUACAGCUCAUACAUAAGCUAAUUACAUCAGUCAACAACCUAACUUAGUUAGAAAUGAACUAAGAUUACAUUUCAUUGACUAGAAAUUACAAAAUAAACAAAAUAAGCUUGCAUCAGCAGCUCCUGUAUGUCUUGGUCUUCAUGGCCUGCAUGCUGUCGAGUUUGUUGCAUGCUGAACCAACUUCAUCACUCCUCCUUGGUUUGCAUGGAGCAAACACCUAGCUUCUUUCUUAGACAUUCGAACCUUGUGACACUAAGGGCUUUGGUUAAAAUGUCUGCAAGUUGAUCCUCUGAAUUACAGUGGAUCAGCUUUACUUCCUGAGCUUGCUCCAUUUCUCGAACAACAUGCAGCUUGAUGCUGAAAUGCUUUGUUCUUCCGUAGAACACUGGAUUUUUAGCAAUUGCUACAGCAGAUUGGUUGUCACAGAAGAUCUCAGUAGCUUCCUCUUGAUGCAUAUUCAAGUCAGCUAAGAUUUUCCUUAGCCAUAUGGCUUGGUUGACAGCACUUGCUGCGGCCACAUACUCUGCUUCAGCAGUAGAUUGAGCCACUAGACUUUGCUUCUUCGAGCUCCAGCAAAACAUGGCUAAACUAAGAUUAAAAGCAUACCCUGAGGUGCUUUUCAUGUCAUCUAUCGAGCCAGCCCAGUCACUAUCAGUGUAGCCAACCAGCUUCAGAUUUCCUUCUUUGCUAUACUUCAAACCAUAGUUCAAAGUGCCUUUGACAUAUCUCAGCACUCUCUUUGCAGCUUGGAAAUGCUUCUCAUUGCAGCAAUGCAGGAAUCUUGAGAGCAAUCCUAUAGCAUACAUGAUGUCUGGUUUAGUGGCAGUCAAGUAUAGCAAACAACCAACUAGACUCCUGUAGGUUGUUUCACAUACCUUCUCAAAAACACCUUGGCUCGAUAGUUUUUCUCUAACAGCAACAGGUGUUUUAGUUGCCUUGUUGUUUUGCAUGGAAAACUUGGUCAGAAUCUUUGUGGCAAAGCUUCUCUGGCUUAGAAAUAUCUCAUUCUGUACUUGAGACACCUCCAUUCCAAGAAAAUAGGACAUCUCCCCAAGAUCAGACAUUUCAAACACUUCCUGCAUCUUGGUCUUGAAAUCAGCCAGCACUGCUCGAUCUCCUCCUGUCACCAGAAGGUCAUCAACAUACAGGGACACAAUGAGUUGUGUUUGUGUCCAUUGUUUCUUGACAUACAGUGUUGGCUCACUCUUGCUUCGAUCGAAUCCCAGAUCAGUCAAGUAGCCAUCGAUUCUGCUGUACCAGGCCCUUGGAGCCUGUUUUAAUCCAUAUAGGGCUUUCUUCAGUUUGUAGACCAUAUGCUCUUUGCCAGCUAUUUCAAACCCUUGUGGUUGUUCAACAUAGAUGUUUUCAUCUAGGAAACCAUUCAGAAAGGCUGAUUUUACAUCGAGCUGAUGGAUCUUCCACUCGAGCUGUACUGCUAAGCCAAUCAGUAGUCUGAUGGUGUCGAGCCUGGCCACUGGUGCAAAGGUCUCCAAGUAGUCCAGGCCAUAUCUCUGACUGAACCCCUUGACUACUAGCCUUGCUUUCAGCUUAUUCAAGGUACCAUCAGCAUUCUGUUUGGCUUUGUACACCCAUUUCACCCCAAUCACCUUCCUUUUGACUGGCCUUUCAACCAAUUCCCAGGUCUGGUUCUUCUCAAUCAUGUUGAUCUCCUCAGCCAUUGCCUGCUUCCACCCUUGCUGAGCCUCAGCCUCUUCAAAGUUGCUUGGUUCAGCUAUGGCUACAUGAGCCCUUUCAUAAAUCUCAGUCAAUGGCCUUGUUCCUCUGACUGGUUCAUCAUCAAUGUCCAUUUCUGGAACAUUUUGGUCUGGCUCAGCUUGGUCUGUUGCUAGUUCUUCAGAAACUUCUUCAGGUUCAUGUCUUUCCCAGUUCCAACAUGACCUUUCAUCAAAUACCACAUCCCUACUAACUGACACUUUGUUUGUUGAAGGAUCCAAGAUCCUAUAGCCCUUCUUAACAGUGCUGUAGCCCACCAGUACAGCAGGUUGAGCCCUUUCAGACAAUUUGUCCCUUUUAACAGCAGGUACAUGUGCAUAACAAAUGCAUCCAAAGACUUUCAGAUGAGCCAGUGAUGGCUUGAAGCCAAAUCAGGCCUCGAAUGGGGUCUUCUGAUCCAAGGCCUUUGUUGGUAGUCUAUUUUGAAUGUAUGUUGCAGUGUUAACUGCUUCUGCCCAUAGUAUUCUAGGCAAAUUCUUCUGAAUCAUUAAGCAUCUGGCCAUAUCCAUCAAACUCCUGUUCUUCCUUUCACUUACACUAUUCUGCUGAGGUGUAUAUGUGUUGGUAAGUUGAUGUUUGAUGCCUGCCUUAUCACAGAAGGCUUGGAACUGAGCUGAGGUGUACUCAGUCCCAUUAUCAGACCUUAUGGUCUUCAGCUUGCAGCCUAUUUCAGUCUCAGAAGCAGUCUUGAACUUCCAAAACACUGAGGCCACCUCUGAUUUUUGUUUUAAGAAGUAAAUCCAACAAUAUCUUGAAAAAUCAUCAAUGACCAGUAUAAAAUACCUAUUUCCACUUAAUGACUCAGUCUUCAUAGGGCCACACACAUCAGUAUGCACCAGUUGGAGUUUUUCAGAGGCUCUCCAGGCUUGAUUCGAGGGAAAUGGGAGUCUGGCCUGCUUUCCUAGCUGACAUACUCCACAUACAUCAUCAUGGUCCACUGAGUUGAUGAAGUUUUUAGCCAGGUCUUCUCUGACCAUUCGGGCCAUCGAUCUGAAGUUGGCAUGUCCCAGCCUUUGAUGCCACAACUUGGAUUCAUCUGAUGUGGCUGUGUAGGCAAUGUCUGACUUCUUUGUCCAGUCAACCACAAAGCUCUUAUCAGCCAUAGGGACUGCCAUCAGUUUGGAUCCACUUGGAUCACUGAUUUGGCACUGGUUGUCUUUGAACACAACAGAAUACCCUUUCUCCAGCAAUUGAGCUAUGCUAAGCAGGUUUCUGUCAAUUUCAGGCACCAAGAGCACAUUUGAAAUCACUUUGGCACCUGUAGAAGUGCAUAUCAGCACAUCACUCUUGCCUUCAGCUUGAAUGAAAUGACCAUUUCCUAUUUUGACCUUAGUUCUGCAGCUUCUGUCUAAAGACUUGAAGAUUGCAGCAUCAGGUGUCAUGUGGUUGGUGCAUCCACUGUCUAGGAGCCAACCAGAUGAGAACCUUUCCUGAGCAGCUGAGCAUGACAUAGUAAAAACUUGCUCCUCUUAGUCACUGUCCUCCUUAGCUACUCGAGCCUCAGCUUUCAUCUGUUGAAACUGAUUGUGCCUUGAUUUGGCCUUGCUCUUGCAAACUCUCUCAACAUGACCCUUCUUCUUACAAUGCUGACAUACAGUUUCUGGAUUAAACUAGCACUUUUCUUCUAGAUGACCAACCCUUCUGCAGUGCUUGCAAGUCUGACCUUCUCUCCUUGCAGCAUCAUUCUUUGGCUUGUCUCUCCAGGCCUUCUUGCCUUUAUAGGCAGUGUUUAUUCUUUCCUGAAAGGCACCUUCUUGAUGCUCCUCCAGCCUGCUUGCUCUCCUCUACUCUUGAGCAUAUAGAGCAUUGAUCAACUCUGUCAGGGAGAUGGUGGACAGAUCCCUUGAGUCCUCGAGAGAUGAGAUUUUUGCCUCAUACCUCUCAGGCAGAGUUGCUAUAACCUUCUCCACUAUCCUAGCUUCAUUGAACUGCUCUCUAAGGAGCCUGAUGCUGUUAACCACAGCCAUAAUCCUGUCAGAAUAUUGCUUGACAGUUUCUUCUUCCUUCAUCUUCAAAUUCUCGAAAUCUCUCCUCAAGUUCAACAACUGUUGCUGCCUUGUCAUCUCUGUCCCUUGAAACUCUUCCUGCAACUUGUCCCAGGUCUGUUUUGGUGAUUCACAGGCCAUAAUCCUUGUGAAAAUCACAUCAGACACUGAGUUCUAGAUGCGAGACAUGGCUUUGUGCCUCUUGGUCCUCUCAUCAGCAUGCUGCCUGAUCUGAGCCACUGUUGGAUUGCCUCUAAGUGGUUCUGGUUCAACAUCUGAGUUGACCACCUCCCACAGAUCGUAUGCCUGCAGGUAGGUCUUCAUUUUGACCACCCAUAUGUGAUAGCCUUCUCCAUUGAAUACUUGAGGUGCAGCUGGUGAAAAGCUUGAUGAAGCCAUGUAUUUGUAUAACAGAUCCCUUAAGAAAUAGGCUCUAGAUACCAAUUGUUGGUGCUGUAACUGAAACUAACAGACUCAGCACAGACUUGUCGAGCAAGUCUCGAGACUUGCUGAGCAAACAAGAGAAUUCGAGCAAAAGAAAGGAAGAAAAGCUAAGAAAAAAUGAAUAGGAAAAUUGAUGAACAAAAAAGAACUAUAUUCAUAAAAUUGAAUAAUGGCAUAAUGCCAAUACAUAAACCAAGCACUAAGCUUGUCAAAAACAGCAAGUAAUUACCUAAACAUCACCUACUCCCACUAAUUACAUGGAAACUUGAAAUUUUAGCUUGUAAACCUAUACAAAGUUGUGUUUACAGCUCAUACAUAAGCUAAUUACAUCAGUCAACAACCUAACUUAGUUAGAAAUGAACUAAGAUUACAUUUCAUUGACUAGAAAUUACAAAAUAAACAAAAUAAGCUUCCAUCAGCAGCUCCUGCAUGUCUUGGUCUUCAUGGCCUGCAUGCUGUCGAGUUUGCUGCAUGCUGAACCAACUUCAUCAGACCCUUUUUCUUUUCAUGUUAUUAGGGAAGAAUUUUGUUUAUUGGAAGGGUGCUCGAGCAGAAUUGGUGAUUUCAGAGCCUGAAUUAGUCAAAGAGGUUCUGAAAAAUAGUGAACAAAUUUUUCAGAAAAAGAAACUUUCAGAUAUUGGUAGGAAGUUCUUGGGGGAAUGGUCUUAUUUUCAUUGAGGGGGAAAAAUGGGCAAAGCAUCGAAAGCUGGCCAAUCACACUUUCCAUGGGGAAAGCCUAAAGGUAAGUCUUCUAAAUAUAUAAACUAGGUGUAAUUAAUUUACAAGAAUUAUACAUAGACUACAAUAUUUUGGUAAAAUUGUGUAUUGUUAGCUAAGGAUAAGUUUAUUAUGGGCGUUGAAAAAGUGUAGUAAAAACAUACUUUUGAAAAAUUUAACACCAUUUACUACUUAGGAGGUCAAUUUUAAACUUGAUGUUCUAAAAUAAAAGAUUGAAUCAGAAAUUUUAAAAAAAAAGUAAUUUCAUUAAAAAGCACUCUUUUAGCUUUUUGACUUGGAUUAAAAUCUAGUUUGAAAAGGUGUUUAUUUGUCAAAUUGUUUAAUUUGAAAUCAUGAUUUUGUGUUGAAAAGUGUUUUUCUGACUCCAAUUAUAUAUGUCACUACUACUUACAUAUAGGAGGAUUGUUUGGGCAGAACAUGACUCCAGCAAUAAUUGCUAGUGUUGAAACAAUGCUAGAAAAGUGGAAAGGCCAAUAAGGCAAAGAGAUUGAACUGUACCAAGAAUUUAGGUUAUUAACUUCAGAAGUGAUUUCCAGAACAACAUUUGGUAGCAAUUACAUGGAAGGGGAGAAGAUUUUUGCCAUGUUAGACAAGUCGACAAUAAUUGUGAGUCAAAAUCUUUCUAAGACUAGAAUUCCUUUGAUCAGGUAUCUUCCCUCUAAGCUUAAUUAAUCCCAACUUUUACCUUGAUUUCAACUAGCUUUUGAAUGCAACUUUUAGACUUUCAUUCCCCCUGGAUUUGGUUUUCUCCUUAUAUAUAGCUGACCCUGGUUUGCUUUUGCAGCAAGUUGUGGAAAUCUGCUGAUUUGCUAGAGUCUGAAAAACUUUCAAAAGAAAUAAAAGAUCGUCUGAUGAAGAUUGUUAAGAAAAGAGAAGACAAAGUUGUGAAUGGAGAAGUCAAUAGCUUCCGCAGUGAUUUUUUUGGAUUACUUCUAAAUACCUAUCAUGAUUCGGAUGAGAAAAACAGGAUUUCAUUGGAAGACUUGGUAGCUGAAUGCAAAACAUUCUAUUUUGCUGGACAAGAAACUGUUAAUUCCUUACUUGCAUGGAGAUUGGCAAGAAAAAGCGAGAAGAGAG